CUCACAAUUAAUCCGACUACACACGAGCUUCUCUCCCUGGCCAAGACACAAUCAUAGUAUGAUGAAGAACAUGGCACUAGCCGGCAAUGGUAUGAAGAAGUUAAUCCUCGCUGUUCUCUUACUCUGUCUAGUUAUAGGGCAGAUACAAGUGGAAGCUAAGAGCUGCUGCCCAUCCACCACUGCAAGAAAUAUCUACAAUACCUGCCGUUUCGGGGGUGCAUCCCGUUCAAUGUGUGCAAAACUGUCAGGCUGCAAAAUUAUCAGUGGGAACAAAUGCAAGCCCCCUAACGACCACCUCACCCUUGACCCGGACACUGGUAAAUAAUAAAUUUAUCUCACUUGAUUUCUUCGUGAUUUGAGUCGUUAAUGUAUUUUCCAUCUGAUGAAACGUAUUGGUUUUGCAUUGAAGAGGAAGUUAAUGUGCUUAACUUCUGCAAGUUGGGGUGUGCGUCGUCUGUGUGCAACAACAUCAACGCUGGUAAGCACCUUUUGCUCAGACGGAGAAAACAAUAAUCAUUAAUUAGCGGCAGCUAGAAUCCUAUAAUCUAAUAUAUUUAUAUAUAUAUAUAAUUUUAUCAGCUCUGGGAAAUGAAGAGGCGAACGAUGCCGUUGAGAGUUGCGACCAAGCCUGCUCUAGCUUCUGCAGCGUGCAUGUUGGCAGCGCCACCGUGGUUGCUUAAGCAAAUGCAUGCAACUAGAUCGUCCUUGUGCUGAAUAAUUGGAUAUCGUAUCCACUUAAAGCUGCCUUGUGUAGUACGUCUUUGUUUGUGUCUCUCUUUAUAUUCCACUAAGGUCGGUGAUCUUGAUGCCACACACACUCAGAUGUGUGUUCAUCUCCAGAUACUACUCCAUGCUACCUGCCCUUUUUGUUUUGUUCAAUAACUGGGUAUCAUAUCCCGGCCAGUGUGCCAUCUAUUUUGUGUUUGUUUCCUUCUAGUUCCAAAGGGGUCAUCAUGAUGUUACCUUCUUUCGAUAUGGUGCUUUGCAUGACAACUGUUGUAUGGUACCAUCUUGUUGGCCAAUAAAUACAUCUUAUCCUAUGACCCUUUGCUAUGACCCUUUGCAAAUAAGUACAAGAUUGUUAUAAGCGUCAAUACUCAGUAUAAUUGAUCGCUGCUGUGAGUUCCCUUUCAGCUUAUCGUAGGCACACAUUAUUGCUAGCACGGUAAAGACAACCAACACGAAUGAUGAAGUAAACGUAGCGGUACUUUUGUAUACCAACACCCUUACUUAAAUGUACUGGUGUCAUUCCCUACUGGCACAUAUAUUCUUAUAUGCUAGCCAGAUUGGAAAAUUAACCAAUUAAAAUAAUUAUUUCAAGAUAGAAAUAACUUAUCGGCUUCUCGAAGCAUGUGUAAUUUUAAUUCAAGGACUCAAUGGAAGUUGAAUCACUUCAUCUAGAUUGCCUUCUGGAUUUUGGUUAACUAAAUUUAACAUUUGUGUCGGGGGGAAAUAUUAACGAUUUUCUUACGCUCUCUAAUUAACGGAUACAAGGGCUAGGGCCCACCCCUAAUACCCAUAAUCUCCGCUAACAACACAUCCCAGAGGCACUCCGCUCCGCCUCGCCCGACUUCAGGGUCGCAGGGUCGGACGUGCCCGACCCCCCAAGGCCUCGCCUCGUCUCAGCCGAUGGAGUUCCGCCUCGCCCGACCCUGAGCCCAACGGAUCGGACGCGCCCGACCCCUCGAAGCAGGACUCCGCCUCGCCCGACCCUGAGCGCAAGCGGUCGGACGUGUCCGGUCCCACCUGACAGAGCUCCGCCUACCCGAAGGUACGAGCAGGUCAUCAGACGGAAGCGCGGGCUCUGUGAGUCCCCCUGGGCUCACCCAACCGAUGGGACCGCGCAAGCUUCCAGAUACAGUUCUGACACAUGGAGAGGCGCCCGCGUUCCUCGACAUGACCUGUCAAAAUGUUGGUCUGCGCACUGCUGCCACGACUGCACAGGGCUACACCUGCACCGUCCUACCCCACUGUGACAUCUGUCAUAGGGCACUCAUCGCUCAUACCAUCUAAUGGAGGAGGGAAAACCGCCUAGUUUUCCACGUGGGCUAGCAAGAAGAGCACGUCAGCCACGCCGCCCCGUCAGGGUGCAUGGCUACAGUGGUUGACCAUCACCCGCGACGUGCACAGUCACAGUGGCCAGUCGUCACCACCAACUUGCACAGCUACAGUGGUCGGCCGCCAUGCACGACUCGCGUGUCCGGCUACAGUGACCGACCGCCGAGUCACCGAUGGGACCCAACGGCAACCCCUAUCCCUUAGUAGCAGUACCGACAAGACGCAGAGACAAGAAGGGAAGACGACGUCUCUAGUAGCCCCACUUGCUUCCCUUUUUACCUUUCUACCUGUUUACCUUCCUUACUCCCGGCUCAUUUGUAACCUCUGUAUCCUCCUUGCACUAUAAAAGGAGACCAGGGGGUCUGAGGGCAAGGGACCCUCGGAGACCGAACCCCGAAUUCACCCAAGUACAAACCAACCGAACCACCAGACGAGAAAGACUCACAGAGAUCUGGGAACCAGCUUCCCUCUCUCACCUAUUUGUAGCCUCUACUCCAGACUUGGUACGAGUAACACGAGCAGCCACCCGCACUGGACUCCUCCGCCAGAAACUGGUCCAACCAGUCGGGUCCCUCCCCCUGCUCUUCGUCCUCAUCAUCCUCAUCAUCGUCGUCCUCAUCCGUUGCCGUGUCUGGCCCCUCCGCAGCCUUCAGAACUCCGCUGCAGCUUUCUUUUUCUUCCUCACCGUCUCCUUGUCCUUCCUCUUCUUCUGUGCUUCGUCGAGGAGGCGGUUCCGCUGCCUCUGCACCACGUCCUCUGGCACCGGUGGACGGGAGGCUGUGACAUGGUUUAAGUUACCCUGCAGAUUCGAAGACUCCGCGUCAGAAUAGCAAACCAGGAAAUGCAGGAAAGAAGAACGAGAGUGCAAAUUUCUAACCAGCAGGACAUAGGCCUCGUCCGGGCGCAUCGGAGGGUGCCCCGGCACCGGGAACACGACAUCCCUGUCACCCAAUGCAUCCCGGACACGCUGCUCGAUCUCGGCGUCGGCAAUUGCACCCGUCGCAAGGACGGUGCUGUGGUACGCCCCAACAACUCCGGCCCCGGUCAGGCCCUCCUCCUUCAGAAGGUUGAUGGCUUCGAGGAGACCCCGGAUAUUCUUCUUCUCCUUCUCAACAGGGCCAUAUGUCCACGUUCCCGGUGCCUCCACGAUGACGCGGCCAGUGAACUCCGUCAAGAGGACAUCGGGGCGGUUCUUCACAUAGAGCCACUGCUGAUGCCACCCUUUGUGGGAUGACGGGGUCUUCAUCGAUGUAUACUCCUUGGGCCGAUGGCCACAGAGGUGGAUGCCGGCACACCCCAUCAGCAUCGGAAUCGUCCGCGUCUGGUUUCCUCUCUUCUCGGUCCUCUGAUGAAGAGUGACAGCGAAGAAGUACUUCCACAGGGCGAAGUUGGGCUCGAUCCCCAGGUAUCCCUCCCAAAGCACGACGAACGCCGCGAUGUGCUGGAUUCCGUUGGGGUUGAGGUGCUCCAGCUCAAUGCUAUAGUAGUGCAGCAGCCCCCGGAAGAAGCGACUUGGGGGAACCGCGAACCCCCUCUCGUGGAAGUGCGCGAAGGAGACGAUGUACCCGUCCUCCGGCUGUAGCACGGCCUUGUUCCCGGGAUACCGCCACUCGUUCUCGGCGAUCCUAUCGCGAAGAAGGCCCUUCUUCACGAGACCGAUCACGCGCGCGGUGUUGAAGAUUGACCAAGACCUUGAAUCCAUCGCCGAGGAAGGGGAAGGCUCGACGGCGGUGGUGGAAAGGUGAAUGCUCUGGCUCGAAAGAGGAUGAAAAGUGAACAAGGAGGCGAGAAAGGCUGAAGACGAGUGCGGAGCGGAGCAAGCAAGGUAAGCUCUCUCGUUUUACAGGGGGCGUGCGAGAAACGAAAGGCGAACCGAACGCAUUUAUUGCGACGUCAGGUAUGCCCCAUCGCCUCCGCCUUUCUUCGGAAACCGUACGCAUGAUUUCUUUUUAACCGCAGGGAACGCUACGCCCCCUCGCCCCACGAGCCCGGUGUUUUUUGCCGCUUCGUCUCCUGGAGGUCAUGCGCACAACUUCCUCCACAAGCGGCCCAGGGCCCGCUUCAGGUAAAAAAGGGAUACAGAGCUGAAAACACUCUAACGGCCCAUUACGGUCCAGGGGUUCGAAGGCUGGCCCUCUAGAGGGUUCGACAUCCACCCCAGGACAUUUCUUGAGCAAGGGGUGAGAAGGGACGGGUCCGCUAGCGACCACUACCCUGGUGAACAAAAGCCAAGGGCGUCCCGACCUCACAUUUGAGUCUCGAUUGGCGUUUAAGUUCAUGGUUUUUCCCCGAAGAAAGGCAAAGUGCCCCCGGAUCCGGUUGAACAGACCUGGGAACUAUAUGAACUGGCCGUCCGAAAUCUGGAGUACGCCACCAGCUUGGCCCAAGCCGGACCCGCCCGAACAGGGACCGGGACUCCACUCGAACUGACCCGUUAGCAGCUCACCGAGCACCAUGGUUCGUCCGAUGAGGAUAACAUGGCACGGCUCACCCCCUCCGUCCCAACGAACGGACGCUGAGGGGUAACGACUAAAAGACGAUCCGACCUCUCGAUCGGUCCCCUGCAAUGCGCGGGGGCUCGAGGGCUGGAAUCACAACGAAACGACCAUGCGCAUGGUUACGACUCGGAAUUUUGAGGCAGGAAUGGUCAUUGAAACAAUAGGGAAUCUUCCCAAACCGUACCAUCCUCAGAACACUCUGGCUACCCAAAACUCCCCGGCCAGGCCAAACAAGCAAAACUUUUCUCCUGAUCAAAUCAAGGUACAUGUUAAACAAGACCCCUGACAAACACUCUGCCGAGAGCCAAUCACAGCCUCUGGAGGAGCACCUUGCUCCACCAAAGGCUCGGGGCCUACUGUCAGGGGGAAAUAUUAACAAUUUUCUUACGCUCCCUAAUUAAUGGACACAAGGGCCAAGGCCCACCCCUGACACCCGUAAUCUCCACCAACAACACAUCCCAGAGGCACUCCGCUCCGCCUCGCCCGACUACAGGGUCACAGGGUCGGACACGCCCGACCCCCCGAGGUCUCGCCUCAUCUCAGCUGAUGGAGUUCCGCCUCACCCGACCCCAGGCGUAAGGGGUUGGACGCGCCCAACCCCUCAAAGCAGGACUCCGCCUCGCCCGACCCCGAGCGCAAGGGGUUGGACACAUCGGAUCCCACUAGACAGAGCUCCGCCUCGCCCGAAGGUAUGAGUAGGUCAUCAGACGGAAGCGCGGGCUUUAUGAGUCCCCCCAGGCUCACCUAACCGAUGGGACGCGCACAAUUCUAGAUACAGUUCUGACACGUGGAGAGGUGCCCGCGUUCCUCGACAUGACCUGUCGGAAUGUUGGUCUGCACACUACUGCCACGACUGCACAGGGCUACAACUGCACCGUCCUACCCCACUGUGACAUCUAUCAUAGGGCACUUAUCGCCCAUGCCGUCUAACGGAGGAGGGCAAACCGCUUGGUUUUCCGCGCAGCCUAGCAACUACAGCACGUCAGCCACGCUGCCCCGUCAGGAUGCAUGGCUACAGUGGUUGACCGUCGUCCGCGACGUGCACAGCUACAAUGGCCAGUCGUCACCACCAACUUGCACAGCUACAGUGGUCGGCCGCCAUGCACGACCCGCGUGUCCGGCUACAGUGGCCGACUGCCGAGUCACCAAUGGGAUCCAACGGCAACCCCCAUCCCUCAGUAGCAGUACCGACAAGACGCAAAGACAAUAAGGGAAGACGGUGUCUCCAGUAGCCCUACUUGCUUCGCUUUUUACCUUUCUACCUUUUUACCUUCCUUACUCCUGGCUCAUUUGUAACCCCUGUGUCCUCCUUGCACUAUAAAAGGAGACCAGGGGGCCCGAGGGCAGGGGACCCCCGGAGACCGAACCCCGAAUUCACCCAAGUACGAACCAACCGGACCACCAGACGAGAAACACUCACAAAGAUCUGGGAACCAGCUUCCCUCUCUUGCCUGUUUGUAGCCCCUACUAUAGACUUGGUACGAGUAACACGAGCAGCCACCCGCACUGGACGUAGGGCUAUUCCUGCCCGAACCAGUAUAAACCUCGCGCCCUCUCGUACAACCAUCCAAGCCUUACGCGUAGAGAAACAAAUUUACUAAGCCGGUAGUCUUGACCCGUGAUUCGUGAGACCGACAAUUUGCACAUACAAAUGUUAAAGUACAAAUGUUAAAUCUAGUUACCAAGCAGAAUACGAAAUAGCGGGCUAUAGUGAGGCUAUAGCGGCGCUAACUGCUGCAACAACAGUGUUGUACUAAUUAGCAGGCUAUAGCGGAGCUAUAGCGGUUGAGCACAGCUCUACGCUAAAUAUCAUAGCCCUCAAUUUUGUACAUUGUAUAUACUAUAUAAAUCUAGUUAACAUUUAGUCUAAAUGUUAAAUCGAGUUACCUAAAAUCCUGAAAGCAAAAUGUAUAAAUAUAUAUCUUUUAGGGUAGUAUAAGCUUCGAUUCCUUUUGCUGCUCUGUUAAAUCUCAUCUUUCGUUGUAGCCCAACACUCUAGUAUUGAUUUUGCACCAAGCUUCUUUGAGCCGCUCUGCCCUCUGAUUUUGCUGCGUAGGGGAAUCUUUAUCAGGUUGGGCUACUUCCAGUCGUGCGAUGUAUACCUUUGUAUCUUCUAGAAGGUAGACAGAAAACCCGCGUUCUCUUAAGGCAACAACCAGAAGAUUCUGCAGCGCACGGGGCAUAUCAUUGUUGUAGAAACGACCUUUAGUAUCGAUCUCCAACCCCUUAUAGUACUGGUUUUGCAACCAGUACCGUUAUGUCGGACCUUUAGUACCAGAUCAAAUAACCGGUUCUAAAGGGACUCCUUUAGUACCGGUUGGUAACCAGUAUCAACUUGUUUUGCGGCCAAAAAAAUAAAGAAAAAAAUAGCCAGAAGGCUAGCACACACACACAUCCCACGAAAUAUGCGCGUGCGCGGUCCAUGGGAUUCGAACCCAUGAAAUCAAGCUGCGCGCAACCCUUCGUUACCAUCUCACCUUCAGUACCGGGUCAUAACACCACCCGGUACUAGUAUCGGAUGCUGUAAUGACUCGAUACUAAAAGGCCUCUAGGGACCCUCAAAUUUGGACCCGAUACUAAUGCUAACAUUAGUACCGGGUCAAAGUGCAGCCAGUACUAAAGCAUGGGACGAAAGGUCAUAUUUCUAGUAGUGUAUAGUUGUUGUGUAGGACUGACUUGGCUGUCCUCUCUCUUCUCCAUCCCAUUGGUCUUACGCCGCCGCUCGCACGCGAGCCGGCACCCAACCAGAGGAGUGAGAGCUAGGGGCGGGUUGGGAGGUGGGGGUAGCGACUGGUGGCUAGGGUGAUGGUUGAUGUUGGCGGGGUUAGGGUUUCAUGGUUUUCAAGCUACCUACGGCCGGCGAACCUAGAGGAGGAGGUCGACAUCAGCUGCAACCCGCGGUGGUGGUGGUUUGGCCGGCGCCCCAGGCGAGGCAGCGUGGGAGUGCUGCUGGCGGGUUGGUGUUGGCGCUCAUUAUUGACACAUUUUUAGUACUAUUUUGUUCAUGGAAUAACACUCAAACGUGCUGGUGCUGCUGCCGCCAUCGCCGCCCUAGCCAUAAUAUAAAGGCAAAAUUUGCUAGAGGACAUGCAAAAUGAUGCUAGUUUGCUGGAGGGCACCGUUGACCAUGUAAUAUGCUACAAGACACUCUAGUUGUUCUAGAGUGUAUCAAUUUGCUGAAAGACAUUGCUACGACUAAAAUAAUGUUUCUGGACUGAGUUGGAGAGAGAGAUGGAGUGAAAUGUCUGUUUUGCCCAUGACCCCACUGAUCAGAUCCUUCUUCUUCCACCCUCCUUUCUUCUUUCUUCAACCAUUACCCAGCUCUAGUGUGUUGCAGAUCUACGAGGGUGGCGGCCCGGGGCGAGGGGCAUCGCUUGCCCUCAGACGAGCGCCGCGAGCGACGGCGCGGGGGCAGCAACGGCGCGUCGGAACCUGACCGUUCGUUAGCUCCUCUCGCUGCUGGGGAAGGAGGGGGAGGGGCCAUGGACGGGGUUCCCUCGAAAACCUUAGCCUCGAGCUCAGGCGGCUACGCGCAGGCAGCACUAGGCUCUUCGCGGGGAGGGGGCGCGGCCAAUCAUUGGCACCCCACUGGUCCAAUGCUGAUGAAGAUGGUGCCAGCGUCGUGAAGAUGGUGCCAGCGUCGUGUGAGGACCUCUCAUCUCCUCGAGUUCCAUGGCCAGCACAGGUGAGCGUCCGCUACCACAAAACAGAGGUGUCGUGAGAGUCAAAAAAACUCAUGAAAAUAGCUAAAACCAUCAUGAAAAUAAUCCAUGACACGACACUCUAACGAAAAUCCUCUCACAAAUAUGGUGCCAUCAAAAUACCAUUUUCAUGAGAGUGAACUGUCAUGAUUUUAUUUCGUGAGAGUAUUUCCUAUCAAUGACCUCCACGAAAUACUUUGUGCCACCAGGUCUUCAAGAUCAUUUUCAUGAGAGCCGAACGUCACGAAAGGUCCGCCACAAAUGUUUUUCCUGGGAGCCUCUAACUCUCAUCAAAAGCAUGUGGGCCGCCGCGAAAAACAGCCUGACCAAAUGACAAUUUUCAUUUUCAUGUGCUCUUACCGCCAUGAAAAUGGUCAUUUUCAUGAGAGUUGAUGAAACAAAAAAAUAGUGCCAUUUUCAUGAGAGUUCAAGCAACCAGGAAAAGGCACUAAUAAACAUCCAGAUCCCAUCCAGCACACAUCCAUGCACAUAUAUAACCCACAUAUUGCUCCAGCAACAUCCAUGCAUAUACAAGAUCCAAAUGUCUUGGUAUGAACCUACAUGCAUGUGAUGAACCAGUAACCUGCAAAAAGAGCUCAUAGGAUCUUGUCCUCAUAUUGUAGCUGUGAAAUUCUUGCAAGUAGUGUUGCAAUCAGUUCACUUUGAACCAAAAGAGCUCAAAGGAUCAUGUCCUCAAAGUUCCUCUUAAAGCUUAUGGGUUUGCUGGUGGAACUGGAAGGGCUUGAUGCAGCAUGCCAUUCUGCAAUAGAGAAAAAUUUAGAAAGCUGUACUAGUUAAAAUUGGAUGCAGCAGAGACACAUGAAACUAGUAUUUAUACAAUUCUAUAUAUAUAAUAAUUUGUCCCCUAAAUUUUUAGGAUCCUCUCGACGGUGGUGAGUCUUCCAGUAAGGCAAUUGAAUGUCCAUCGUGAUAAAAUUCUCCUUUGGAUUUAUCAUCUUCUCAACCAGAAAUCCUAGGAGUUCAUCCUUAAGCCUUACCAGUUGUAAUUUGGAAAUAUGUGAAAGUUAAACGAACAAUUAAAAUCUAAGGAUCCUUAUCAUCAUUUCCAUACGUUUGCGAAUUAAAAUAAUGAAGGAUACAAUGUUAGGUGAAAAUUCAAGAAACAAAAUUUUGUAUAGAGAUAAUGGUCCGACAUUAUUACAAGUUAAAGUUGUUUUAAAUAUCCUUGUAAUCUUCCUUUGGUUUCCUCGACGAUUCCAAGACAGUAACCUUGCUUCUAUCAAUGAUAAUUAUAAGGAGAACCCAAUGAAAACUGUGUAUUCAUAUUAGAACUAACUAAGGUUAAUUCGGAUAGGAAAGGAAAUCAAAAAUAGAUGGUACCCACACUUACUUAAAGUUGUAGGGUAGUAGUAUGUAAUGCUUGUAAUUCUGUUGCUCCAAGAAUUUGUAUAUGUGGUUCAAUGUAGACUUUGGUUGAUCCUGUAUCUGCUGUUGGUUGAAUAAGUGUUUCUAACCAUUUCUAGCCGUUAGAACUGGGACUAAAGGGAGCUCUUAGUGCUGGUUGAUAUUACUAGUCGGGACUAAAGAGCCCCCGUUAGAGUUGGUUUUCGGACGUGGAACUAACCACUCCUUUAGUCUCAAGUCCAAAAAUGAUUGAGACAUUUGUUGCUGGAUGGAACACUAGUAGAGAAUUGGCUUUCGAUGCGCCCCCUUUUGUCCCGGUUUAAAGUUGGACUGGGACAAAAGAGGGUGCGCCACGGUAGGUAAAAAUGGAGGGGGGAGUUAGUCCCGGUUGGUAAUUGCAACCGGGACUAGAGGCCCCCCUUUAGUCCCGGUUGCAAUGGCUAGCUGGGGGGCGUCGGUGGCGGCACCUUUUUGUCCCGGUUGGAGUCUCCAACCGGGAUAAAAGGUCCACCCUUUUAUCCCGGUUGGAGGCUCCAACCGGGACAAAAAGUUUAGUCCCGGUUGGAGCUUCCAACCGGGAUAAAAGGGUGUCCCUUUUGUCCUAGUUGGAGCCUCCAACCGGGACUAAACUUUCAACCGGGACAAAAGGUGUGGUUGGAGUUUUUAACUGGGAUAAAAACUCAUCCCCCAUUAUAUACCAAGACAGAGGACUUUCUUCCUCCUCCAGCCCGAGCCAGUCCAGCACAUUCACAGAGAGUUGACCUUCACCUACUCUCCGGUGGUGCCGAAGCAAGGAGGUGCUGCCCGAAGUUUUUUCCCUCAUUUUCGUGGGAAUUUCACUCAGCUAACACAAGUGUUGUGAAGGUUUGCUACUUCAUCCUCGUUUAUGCUUUGAUUUAUGCUUUGGAGAUGGAAAGAUUAUUUGUUAGAAUGUGAUGAAGUAGAAAAUGGAGAGAAUAUUUUGAGCUAGAAUGUGAGGGAGAUUGAUGUGUCAUAUAUAGUAUGCAUUCUUGCAGUGGUUUAAGAAUGAUGCUACCUUGUCCAGACAAUUUAUCUUAUCAAAUUCAAUAUAGUUUUUCAAAUCCAUACUUGUUGAACUUGCAUACCGUGUUCAUCUCUACGAGGAUAUUCUCUGCCGAGCAGCAACGUAUGUCAAGAAGGAGGUUCGAUUCUACGAGGAAGAGUGGAUACGGACAUCGUGACCGUGUCCCCUUUUCCGUAGCAUCUAACCUCUUUCAUGAUGAAGUGCGGUGCCGCCCAGUUGAGAACAUGCUCGCGAGAUGAACACAGUAUGCAAGUUCAACAACUUCUGCAGUAGUAAGGAAAGAAUUUUUGUACAUAGAUGACUUCUGCUACUUGUUGAACUUAUCAAAUUCAAGAAGGUUUUUCAAAUCCAUACUUGUUGAACUUGCAUACCGUGGUCAUCUCGCAGAGGAUGUUCUCCGCCGAGCAGCAACGUAUGUCAAGAAGGAGGUUCGAUUCUACGAGGAAGAGUGGAUACAGACAUCGUGACCGUGUCCCCUUUUCCGUAGAAUCGAACCUCUUUCAUGACGAAGUGCGGUGCCGCCCAGUUGAGGACAUGCUCGCGAGAUGAUCACGGUCUUUAAGUUUAACAACUUAUGCAGUGUUAAGGUAAUAAUUUUUGUACAUAGAUGGCUUCUGCUACUGGAGAAAGUGGCGAUGGUGGGGGUGAUCGUGGUUCCUCUUUCGGCAAGGGGAAAAUCAUAGUUGGCCCUCAGCAUAAGCCAAAGAAAAAGAGCGCACUGGAAAAAGCAAUGCUUCGUUAUUUGCAGCAACGUCAUGAAGAAGUUGUUGCCGCGGGUCAGGAACCUCCUUUUGGUCGUCGUUAUGCUCCACCCUUAGUCCCGGGUGUUUCACAUCCACUUAGUACUACCGUUUCAGGCGGCACAAAUAAACCUAAGGAUGAGGCUAGGUCAGCGGAACUUUCGUCUUCACUGUCCAAGGAUGCUUAAAGUCCUCCUAGAUAAUAACCAGUGGAUGGCUUGUUGUAUUGUAUCAUGUUGUUUGGAUCUUUAAUUUAAAUAUGUGUAUUUGGAUCUUCAUGUUGUUGUAUUGUACCAUGUUGUUUGGAUCUUUAAUCAAUUUUCACACGUAAUCCAUUGUCAAGUGUAAUCCAUUUUCAUGCAUAAUAAGAUGCAGAUGGACCGGCAAUGGAUGUAUAAUGCAGACAGGCAGAGCAAGGUGUUUAUUGAUGGCUUGCAUUAUUGUCUCGAAGUGGCCAAAGCGAACAAGCCAGAGAAUGGGUUCGUAUGUUGUCCAUGCUUCCAAUGCAAUAACAAGAAGGAGUAUUCAUAGGAUUCCUGGGGGACUAUUCACAGCCACUUGUUUAAAUACGGUUUCAUACUUAACUAUUUGGUUUGGACCAAGCACGGUGAACGAGGGGUCGUAAUGGAAGAUGGCGAGAAGGAGGAGGAAGAUGACACCAUUCCAGACUGGGUUGUAGGCCAAGCUUUUGCAGGUACUACAAUGGGCGAGGCUCAUGAAGAUGAGUUUGCAGAAAAUGGCCCUAUUGAUGACUUUGGUCAGGUGAUACGAGAUGCAUACAGAGAUUGCGAAAUUGAGAAGGAAGCAGCAAAGUUGCAGCGCAUGAUAGAUGAUCACCAAAAAUUAUUGUACCCAGGUUGCCAGCUGGGCCAUAAAAAACUAGGUACGACACUAGAAUUUGUGCAAUGGAAGGCAAAAAAUGGUGUGUCCGAUAAGGCAUUUCAGGGGAUGUUGACCAUUGUCAAGAAGAUUCUUCCCGAGAAUAAUGAAUUACCGUCCACAACAUAUGAAGCUAAACAGAUUAUUUGCCCUCUCGGAUUGGAUGUUCAGAAGAUACACGCAUGCCCUAAUGACUGUAUCCUCUAUCGUGGUGAUGACUACGAGAAAUUGGAUGCUUGUCCCGUGUGCGAAGCCCUGCGGUAUAAGAUUAGGUGAGAUGAUCCUUGUGAUGUCGAGGGGCAGUCUCCCAAUAAGAGAGUUCCCGUGAAGGUGAUGUGGUAUUUCCCUAUAAUACCACGCUUGAAGCGCUUGUUCAGGAAAAAGGCGAAUGCUAAGUUGAUGUGAUGGCACAAAGAAGACCGUAAGGAAGAUGAGAUGCUGAGACACCCCGCAGAUGGGGCACAGUGGAGAUCAAUUGAUAGAGCAUUCUCGGACUUUGAAAGUGAAGCAAGGACAUAAGGUUUGGUUUAAGUACUGAUGGAUUCAAUCCAUUCGGUGAGUUGAGUAGUGGCCAUAGUACUUGGCCUAUGACCCUAUUUAUGUUGAACCUUCCUCCUUGGCUAUGCAUGAAGUGGAAGUUCAUUAUGAUGCCGGCGCUUAUCCAAAGUUCAAAACAACCCGACAACGACAUUGACGUGUACCUAAGACUGUUGGUUGAUGACCUUUUACAGCUCUGGAAGGAAGAAGGUGUACGUGUGUGGGAUGAGGAUAGACAAGAGAUCUUUAAUCUACGAGUAUUGUUGUUUGUAACCAUCAAUGAUUGGCCUGCACUGAGUAACCUUUCGGGACAGACAAAUAAGGGAUAUCGGGCAUGCACCCACUGUUUAGACGACACAGACAGCAUGUAUUUGAAGCAUUGUAAGAAGGUCGUCUACAUGGGUCAUCGUCGAUUUCUCCCUGCUCACCACCAGCUGAGAAAGAGCAGGAUGCAUUUCAAAGGGGCGCCAGACCAUCGUAAAAAACCUGCACACCAUAAUGGAAAGUGUGUCUUCAAGAUGAUGAAGGAUGUAAAUGUAGUCUUUGGAAAGGGUCUUGGUAGCCAACCUAUUCCAAACGACAAUAACGGACAUGCACCCAUGUGGAAGAAAAAGUCAAUAUUUUGGGAGCUACCUUAUUGGGAAAUCCUAGAGGUUCGCAAUGCAAUAGACGUGAUGCACCUGACGAAGAAUAUUUGCAUGAACGUGCUAGGCUUCAUGGGUUUUUAUGGGACCUCAAAAGACACAUUGGAAGCACGACAGGACCUGAAAGCCAUGGGGCAACGAGAUGACCUACAUCCGAAAAAGAGAGAUAAUGGAUAGCACUACUUACGUCCUGCCAGUUACACUCUGAGCAAGGAAGAGAAGGAUAGCAUGUUUGAAUGCUUGAAUAGUAUGAAGGUCCCGUCUAGGUACUCCUCGAAUAUAAAGGGAAUAAUAAAUAUGAAAAAAAAGAAGUUUAUAAAUCUCAAGGCCCAUGACUGUCACAUGUUGAUGACCCAGUUGCUUCCGGUUGCACUGAGGGGUGUUCUACUAGAAAAUAUCCAGUUGCCGCUCGUAAAGCUAUGUGCGUUUCUAAAUGCGAUUUCACAGAAGGCAAUCGAUCCAUCCAAGCUAUCAAAGCUACAGAACGAUGUGGUGCAAUGUCUUGUCAGUUUUGAGUUGUUAUUUCCACCAUCCUUCUUCAAUAUUAUGACGCACUUACUGGUUGACCUAGUAAAAGAGAUUGGUAUUCUCGGACUUGUAUACCUGCACAAUAUGUGGCCUUUCAAGUGUUCAUGGCAGUCCUAAAAAACUAUGCUCUUAAUCGUGCCCAUCCAGAAGGAAGCAUCGCCAAGGGAUAUGGAACAGAGGAGGUGAUCGAGUUUUGUGUUGAUUUUAUUGAUUCAAUUGACUCGAUUGGGGUUCCAACUUCACGCCAUGAGGGGAGGCUCCGAGGAAUGGGCACCCUUGGAAGGAAAUCAAGUUUGAGCAAUGAUACUGAUUUGUUCGACAAGGCACACUACACGGUUCUACAACAGUCAUCCUUUGUGUCUCCAUAUAUUGAGCAGCACAGGCAGAUGGUAGUUUCCAAAAACCCGACCAAAUCCGAUGCUUGGCUUACCCGUCUUCACAUGGAAACUUUUCCCUCCUGGUUGCGCCAACAACUUAUGGGUAACUCUGAGAUUCACCCACAGCUUGCCUGGUUAGCCAGGGGACCUGCUAGCACAAUUGUGAAAUUUCAAGGCUAUGAGAUAAAUGGUUAUACAUUUUACACGAGAGCCCAGGACCAGAAAAGCACGAAACCAGAAUAGUGGUGUCCGCAUACAUGCCAUGGACAGAAAUAAUAGCAAGGAGUCGUAUUAUGGUUUCAUAUAGGAGAUAUGGGAACUUGAAUACGGACCGUUGUACAUCCCUCUAUUUCUUUGUAAUUGGGUGAAGCAAACUGCCGUAACCAAAGAUCAGUACGGAAUGACAAUAGUAGAUCUGAGCAAGACUGGAUACAGUGAUGACCCAUUCGUACUUGCCAACAAUGUGCAACAGGUGUUCUAUGUGAAGGACAUGUGUAGCAAACCCAAGAGAAAUCCAGAAGAGACAUGGGAGCCAAAGUGCCACAUAGUUUUUCCAGGUAGAAGAAAAAUCGUGGGAGUCGAGGAUAAAACAAACCAAUCAGAUGAUUAUGAUUAGUUUGAUGGCAUGCCUCCAUUCGCCGUUGAAGUUGAUCCAAGCAUCCUGCUAUCCAAAGAAGAGGCUCCGUACUUACGCCGCGAUCAUGAUCAAGGAACUUUCGUGAAGAAGAAAUUCUACAACGUUGUAUUGUAAUGCGCUAAAUUUACAUGACCUUUGUGUAGUAAUUGAUACAAUUUUUAAUUUACCCUAUGUAUGAUUUGAUGUGUUCUUAAAUUUGUUAGGUGAAGAUUUAUUAGAUAAACAUGAACAAUGUUAACCACAUACAUACAUGGAUUUUUCUGCGCAUUGAAAUUAUUUAAUGGAAUAAUUUCUUGAUCACAGCGAUGUAGUAAAAUAAAUAUUUUAGAGCCUAAAUGAACUGGUAUAGAAUUAAUGACUAACUCACACUUAUUGUCAAUUUACUCGCUAAUUAAAUAUAUUUUUGCAUGUACAAAAUAUGUGAAGGUUUUUGUUUUUCAUCCUGAAUUGCAGUGAAAAGAUAAAUAAAAUCCAUUUCCAAAAAACAGGCGGGAGAAGAAAACUGGGAAAAGGACCUUUUGUCCCGGGUGCCAACAGAAACCGGGACAAAAAGCCCCCCCCCUUUUAUCCCGGUUGGUGGUGGCACCCGAGAUAAAAGGGUAGGCUCCAAGCCCCACUUGGCGGACGCACCCUUUUGUCCCGGGUCCCGUCACCAACCGGGAUAAAAGGGGGGGCCUUUUAUCCCGGUUGGUGAGGGGACCCAGGACAAAAGGCCCUUUAGUCCCGGGUGUCAUUACGAACCGGGAUAAAAGGGGGGUUAAAAGGCACUAUAGCCCCUUCUACCCCCCACGCCAGUUACAGUUAGCAAAAUUUUCACCAAGAUCCCGCGCGCACUCUGCUCCGUCGCUGCCCGUCCGCCUUCCUCGCCAGCCGUCAUCGUCGUCGUCCCCCAUUGCCCCGGCCGUCGUCGUCCCGCCGGCUGACCGUGCCCAGAUAGCCUCCUCCUCCAUCGCCCCGGCCCGCCUCGAUCCUCCUGCGUCGUGCCCGGCCCCUACCUCAUCGACGCCGGCCACCUCCAUCGCGGGGCCUCAUCGCCGCCUCCAUCCUCGUCGCCACCUCGACGCCCUGGGUCGCCGCCUCGUCGCCCCUCGUCGCUGCCUCGUCGCCGUCCUGCCUCCGCCGUCUCGCCGUCCCGCGCGCCUUCGCUCCGUCGUCGCCUCCGCCGUCCCACCGCCCCAGCCACCGCCAUCCCGCCACCCCGGCCACCUCGUCGCCCCGACCACCGUCGACCGCGCGUGAGGUCCGCCGCACCGGCACUGGCGCCGGGAGUACCGCCUUGCUGACGCAAGCCCACCGGCUUGCGUCAACAAGGGCCUUUUUUAAGUUAGAAAAUAAAUAGAAAGGAGUAGUAAUUAGGUAGAAAUUCAAUAGAUUUUUGUAUAUGUGUUACAAAAUCAAAUUAGUGUAAAUUAGUUGUAAUUAGGUUCGUCGCUCUGCCUAGGUUAGAAAUGAAUCGUGUUUCGUCGUGGUUCCGUCCCCGCCUCCGCCGUCCCGCCACCCUGACCGUCGCCGUCCCAACCUAGGCACCGUCUGUGGUUCCGUCCCCGCCUCCGCCGUUCCGCCUCCAUCGCAAAUUCAUGUUAUUGCUAGAAAUUCCAAUAAAUAUGAACAAAUUAGUAGAAAUUUGGUAGAAAUUAAUCAUUGCUGCGGCCACCUCGCUCCACAAAUUCAUGUUAUUGCUAGAAAUUCAUAAAAAUUCAUGUUAUCACUAGAAAUUCGUACAAAAUUCAUGUUAUUGCUAGAAAUUCGUAAAAAUUCAUGUUAUUGCUAGAAAUUCGUACAAAAUUCAUGUUAUUGCUAGAAAUUCGUACAAAUUCAUGUUAUUGCUAGAAAUUCGUCACAAAGUACUACUAAUUUGCAAAAAUUUGUAUAAAUAUUCCGGACUUUGUGGGAUUCAUGUUAUUUUCUGAUUUCAUGUAUAUACCCUUAUGUACAUAUAACUAAGGAGAUUUCUAUGACUUUCAUGUAUGUUUCAAUCAAUAGUUGAAAUGGCAGACGAUGAGACCGCAAGGUAUCUCAUGGAGCAGAUAAUCGCUGGUGAUGGUAGUGGCGACAACCUUCCACUAUCGUACACCGAUGAAGAGGGCACCCAGGCGGACAUGUUCCUCAACAUGUCCGCCGAUGGGAAUGAAGAGCAAAAGCCCCAGCAACACCUUGCCGGGGCGGAAGGUUCCGGCGAGGUAUAUAUAACGAUUCUUGUAUUGUUUCACACCACCGUUACUACUACGUACUAAUUAACGAAUCAUGAACCGUUAGCCCUCUGGAUCGACGCAAGGGCAGAAGACACGAGGUCGUACAAAGGUGAUGGAAGGGAGGCUUGUCAUCACGGAAGUGAUAGAAGAGGGCAGGCCGGUUGCUCCCGAGAAAGUAGCAAAGAAGUACGUGAGUCAGAUCGGGGCAAUCGUCCGGGACAACGUGCCUAUCAGCAUCAGAGAAUGGAAGGGCAGAAGCACUAAUCCGUACGCCCUCCUGGAGACAGAAAGAAUAUGCUGUGGGAAGAUGUCAAGAGACAUUUCACAUUCACCGAAGGAUAUAUUGAGAAGGAUGUGAAAGCGUGGACGCUUAAGAAGAUGGCUACACAAUUUCCAGACAUUUAAGAAGAUGCUAGAUACCCACUACAUUAAGAAGGGCCGAACUCCAGACUUCAACGCGUGGUCAAAGUUGAGGGACCACUAGGAUGCAUUUGUUGAAUAUAAGAGGAGUGAAUACGAUGUGAAAAAGAUCACGACCAACACAACAAAUGCUAGUCAGAAGGGCUACCAUCAUCAUCUGGGGCGAGAUGGUUAUGGCUCAGCAAUUCCCAAGUCGAGGAAGAUGGAACAAGAUCUGAUUGAACGGGGAAUCGUACCGGCAACUAUUGAAUGGCCCGAACGAUCAAAAAAUUGGUACUACGCUCAUGGAGGCUCCCUGUGCCAAGAGGAUGGGACGUUGAUUUUCAAUAACACAAUACGUUAGAAGGCCAAACAUCUUGUGAAGAACAUUGAAGAUUCUAAGGCUGGGAGGUUGAAGGUGGACCGAGAAAAUGAUGAGCUCACAUUGGCCCUUGGUAAUCCAGAGCACCCAGGAUGUUGCCGAGGGUUCGGGGUCGUUCCGUGGAAGUUUGUUUUCCGAGGCGACAGCGCCUCGUACAGAAGCCGGAAGCGAAGAAAGGAACAGAUCGAGGAGAGCUGGUGGCAGAUGCUAGAAUCCAAAGUGCAGGCACAAGAACAAAGAAUGAUGGAGGAAAUCAAUCGUCGAGUGGCCCACGCAGUUGUGGAGUUGGCCCAAUCUGGAGCAUUGCCGAAUCCUAACAACGCCAGCCCUUCUCAAUGCCUCUUGAGCAGUUAUGCUUCUACAGGGGUCCCCGAUGCGCACACGCCCAGGUUACCCGUGGAGGAGCAACGGUUCCCCGUGGAUGCCAUCACGCAACACACCACAUGUGAGCUGCAUGCACCGGUCGGCAACCUCACUAUUAAGGUAUACUUAUACAUAAUAUUUAUGCAAUCUUGUCAAUUGAUCCACGCCUCGAUAUCGGAGUUUAACUUGUUUACUUCUACUAUAUGUACAGGUAGCGUACGGGAGUGCGUUAGCAACCCUGGCGGGGCAGAGCAGUCAUGGCAUGAAGAUUCCACCUGGCUACGCUAGCGUCCGCGUAGAGCAAAUAGUUGAUAGCCAAUAUGAAGGUCUAGAGCUCGACCUCCCGGGAGGUGACAGGGAAAGAACACUGGCAGAUGCGCUUCAUGGGAUCAUUCUAUGGCGAAAACGCUACAUCAUUAUUCCCGGCACGGAGCCAUCUCCUCAGAGCUCAAGACCACUCCCCGUAGAUCCCCAGCAGCGACCUUCUCCUCAUAGCUCGAGACCGUCAUCUCCUGCACAACCUGCUCCAGGACCGUCCCUUCCAUCUAUAUCAAGGUCUCCAUCUCCACCACAUCCUGGUGGUGGGAGCGACGACGACAAUAACAACACCCCUUCCUGAUCACCAUCGCCGGCACCAAGAGCGGCCCCCAUGAAGGAACCUGCACCACCACUAAAAAAGUCACGAGCACCGCCUCCCAAGCAAAGACAGAGAAAGAAGAAAACAAAGGAGCCUGAAGUGACUCGUAAGGAACGCUGGGAGACAAUGUCUCAUGCGGAACAGUGGGCAGAAAUCCAACAAGAGGCCAGUGAGUGGUUCAAGAAACAAGCCGAAGAAAAAAAAGCAACGGAGAUGCAGCCACCGCCAGUAAAUCGAAGAGAUUUAAACUUUUUUAUCAGGAUGGAAGAAGGAGCCAAGAAAAGGAUACCACUCUUAUCAAACUAUGAACGGGCUUUAGUAAAGGCUGAUGAAAAGGAUAAAAGGAAAGGAAAGUCAUCUUCCAGCGGUGCUGUCCCCGACCUCAGCCAUUUAUCAAAAAAAGAUGCUCAACGGGUAAAAGCAAUGCCCUUGGAUCAACAAGCAGAAGUAUUGAAGUUCAUGCAAGAAACAGGUCUGGGACUUGAUGAAUGCCUAGGGCAAGUUGAGACGCCAACUGCACCGCCCCCUGAGCCGAGAUGGCCUUAUGAGCUAGGCAAACCUCUAGUAAAGCCUUCAUUGGUACGAAAGCUAUCAACAAAGAUGUACGCAUUCCAUCAAUGGUACAUGAUGGCAUCCGCUGACUCAAGGGAGAUGCUCGGCCUGAAGGUAAAACCGAUGGAUUUUCACGACAGAGGCGAGAAAGUGCUGUGGCUAGACUUCAAGGAUAUAUACGAAGUGUACCAUCAUGAUGCCAUAGACGUCUCUCUGAUCCGCGCUUGGGUUCUGUAAGUGUCCGUUUAUCUCUACAUGUAAAUUUUGGCGUGCGUCACCGUACUAACUUCGUCUUCCAUUUCAUGUAGGAUGCUAAUUCAGACAUGCCGCCGAGAGGCGUACCUACAUAUAGGCUUCAUGGAUCCAUCUGUAGUUAACCAACAGCAGAUACAAUUAGCAUCGGAGAAAACCUUGGUGGAAGUAUACAAUUUCCUAGACAAACAAACAUUCAAGGAUUUCAUACUAUUUCCAUACAACUUCAAGUAAGUGUGUGUAUACCGUCUACUUUCGAUGUCUUUUUCCUUAUCUCUACAUGUUAGUUAGCUCUAAUAUGCAUGAACAUUUUACGCACGCAGCUUCCACUGGAUCCUUAUUAUAAUUGAGCCUCAAAGAAGCCACGUCACUGUCUUCAAUUCGUUGAGGAAAGAUCCAGUGGAGCACCAAGAAAUGCAACACAUGCUAGGCUUGUAAUAAUUCUGGACCUUUAUCUCUAUGCAAAAGUUUGUUUCCUAAAUUCUAUCCCUGUUACACUAUAUCAUUCAUUAUUCUAAUCCACAGCGUAUGGAAACAAUUCAUAAGGACACAAAAAGGUCCAUUCAAAGAAAAACUUACAUGGAACACAGACUUCCCGGUACAUAUGAAGUCUGCACAUUUAUUACAUUGUAUAACACGAAUAUUUCAUAACUUAUUUUUUUCCGUAUUGAAGUGCUUAAGACAGGAACUCGGAAAUAAUCUAUGUGGCUACUACAUCUGUGAGCACAUGCACAGUUUUAUGGGACCCAAGGGACUAAAGAUGACGCCGCACAACUUUAAAGUACGUAAAAUAAAACUAUUACUAGUUAAUUAUUUUCUAGCUCCUUAUAUGUAUUUGUUCACGUAACAUUCACAAAUUUCCAAAUUAUAGAUGUUAAAUAUUCAACAAGGACUCUUGAAGGAAGAAAGAGUAGCGGCAAUAUGUGAAGGUCUCAUUGGAUUCCUAAUGGACAAGGUGGUAGAUCCAAAAGGAGAAUUUUAUUUUGAUGGACGACAAUUAGACACUCUGAUCAGCAACACCUCGAUGGGAAGAUUGUAGAUAGAUACUUUGAUUUAUUUGUAUAUAUAAUACGCGCUAAUUAUGAUCGAUUUGUACUAGUUGAAUUCUGUAUAUGAAUUGUGUAUAAGAAUUGUGUAUAUAUAUAGUAACUGUAUAAUUACAAAUCCCAUUCGUUUAAAUACUAGUUAAUUUCAUUCUAAAAAAAUCUCAACUACUUAAGGUUAACAAAAGGGCUGCGGUACUACGUACGUGAUGCAUGCAUGAAAAAUUCAGGCGCCAGGCAGGUGCCAUGCAGGGCAUCAUUUAGUCCCGUUUGGAAUCCAGCCGGGACUAAAGGGUAACCCUUUACUCCCGGUUGGGAAACCCAACCGGGACUAAAGGGGGACCGUUACUCCCGGUUAAAAGACCCGGGACUAAAACCCCCCCUUUUGUCCCGGUUGGCUUAUCCCGGAUAAAUUUUCGGGAGAUAUGCACCCUACCAACCGGGACUAAAGGCCAAUUCUCCACUAGUGGAAGGUCCUUUCUCUACCAUGAAUAUUGCCAGAAAGAAUUGAAAGAGACCGCUUGCUAAAAACAUGUCAUAGAUGCGGACCAAGCUACCAAGGAGGUAGACCAAACAUGAUACACACCAUGCGUACCUUGCUGUGCAGACUAUGCAUGGACAAGAUACCCGACCACAUGUUGGCUUUGGUCACAUCAAAAGAAUCAUGUAGGCCAUUAAUAAACUACUUGAAGCGUCAUUCCGUAUCUUAUAUCCAUCAUCUGCAUUACAUUACAUUAAAUAUUAUUAACUAUUUGAAUAAAAUGAACCAAUUUAAAAAUAAUGAAUUGUACAUUACUACAAAAAGCCCUAGCACUGCCAGUUCCAAAAACAUCAUUGUUGACGGCCGUUAAGUACCAAAUAUGACGGUCAAUAUCCUAAAGAAUAAAGGACAAUUGGCAUUUCUUACACACAUAUUUGGUUUCGAAUAAUGUAGUUCUACAUGUCCUUGGAGAUUAUUUGGGUGUGGGUGAAAUAAUACAAAAAGAAGGAGAAAACACACUCCCAUGGCAAAGAAACAUAACUCCGACCAAUGAGAGAUAGCCACAGGGGCAGCACAUGGAUCCAUGGGCCCACAAACUGCAUCAAACCAUCUUACAAGGCGGGUAGCACCCACAACUGUCAUUAGGACCCACCUGGAAGUCUAGCAAAGAAGAAGGUUGUGAGUGGGGCCACGAGGGGUUCGGUUGAAUCAUCUCUAGCUCCCUUCAUCCCCAGCUGGCGCGUGGCGGUGGUUCAUGGUGUCCCGACAUCGGUUAGAGGACAUUCCCCCAAAUAUUCCUCCUGUAAACCAGCUCUAUGAACCUAUAAAUAGAGGGGUGUGCUCUCCAUUCCAACACACACCACAAGUUGAAGCACUCUCUCCCUCUUUAGUUUCCAAGUUUACGGAGAUAGGCUGGAGUAGCUCUGCUAAAGGUUCCAAGUCCACUUGGAGUUAAGCGUAUGUCUCUUGUAUCAUUAUUUCCUAGAGAGACUUUAUGCUAUUCAAGUUAUUUAUCUUCUUCAUAUAGUGUUAUGCUUAGUUCUUAUAUGCAUGAGUUAGUCUAAUACCCUUGCUCUAUUGAUAUGCUCAGCUUAUGUGCUCGUAUGCUAGUCAUGUACCCUUGCUGUCAUAGUAUAGGGUUAUAUGCUGUCAUGUGUGCCUAUAGACCUUGCUACAGUAUAUACUUGUUGUGUAUACAUACCAUUUGUAUAUACAUUAUUACAAGUUAAGGUAGUUUUAAAUAUCCUUGUGUUGACAACCAAAGCUUGAUCUUUUGUUUCCAUUGCCAGCGGAUUCAUCGGCUCAGAGUAGGAUCAAGACAUCAAGUUGAUGGAGUUCUUUAUAUUUCAAGAGGAGUCAUGGAGUUCUUUAUAUUUCAAGAGGAGUUGAUGGUGCUUUCAAUAUUGCAACCAGACAUCAUUGGCUCUGAAGACACCGAAUCAUCGGAGUUCUAUGAUCAGUUUCGGAACAUGAAGCCUUCAUACUCCGAAACUGGGGGGCCUGUGUUGACACCGAAUUAUCGGACUUCUAUAAUUAGUUUCGGAACAUGAAGCCUUCAUACUUCGAAACUGGGGGGUAUGUGUUUACACCAAAAUUUAGAAAUGUGCUCUGAAAGGAAGGACCUGGGAGAUCUAUUGGCUGAAAUACAAAUCCAUCGAAACUAGCCUUAUGCUAAGAGAUCAGAAUAUUGUACAAAGUCUAGAAAGUUCUAUUUACAUCUAAGUAACUCGAUAACUAGCCUUACGCUAAGAGAUCAGAAUAUUGGACAAAGCCUACAAAGUUCUAAUAUAGGUAACGUAAUGACCAGGUGAGGAUAGUUACAAGCUCGCUUGAGAUCGAAGCCGAUGUAGCCCUGCGCGCAAGAAGAAACUCACCUAUUUCUACUCUACUCUUACUCCUAGGGUUUGAUGGCGUGGCGUCAAAAGAUUGUAUUGAUUGAUUGAUUAUUUGAUACAAAGCUCAUGGGCCUAUAUUUAUACCCUUGAGAAAGCUAAAAUCCUAAUCAGUUAUGACAUGAAUCGUGACAGAAAAUCUAACUAAAGAUAGAUCUCCAUGCUUUCCCUUAUUUGGUGGAGUCGAUUUCACUUCAUAUCGGAUCCCUCCCGAUCUUCUAUCGGCUUCUAGCAUCCGGUCAUCUGCGACUGGCCUUGGUCAACAUCAGGUGUCAACAGACUUAUUUCUUCUACAAGUUCAUCGGCUGUCAGAGCCUUGUCUUAGUCAGUUGACUCUAGUAAAAAAUCGAUGUCAAUACAUGCCCCCCAAUUUUUGAAUAAAAUAUUAUAUUUCAAAAUUCUCUUCUCUUGUCAACAGCUUUUGAAAGAAAAAGAGUCACUGCUGCAAUCAUAAUCUUUUUCCCCGGGUUUUGUGAUAGCACCCUCCUCAUUUUAAGGGAUUCACCAUGUGGAAAUUAUAAUAUAACUGCUUCACCCAUUUCGUUUUCUUCACCAAACCAACUAUUGUCAGCCGCUACAACCAAAAAUCAAUUAUUCCCUUCACAUGCCUAGCGACUGCAUCCAUCACUCAUCGUCACCAUUAGUCUCCAUGUGUCAAGGCUUCUUCAACCAGCAAUGGCGACAUUAUCUUCCAUUCCACAGGUACCAUGUAUCCUAGCCAUUCCUUUCCCCUUUCAACCUGAAAUCCAAUCUAGUCACUAUAUAUCAAACCUGUGUUCUUAAUCAAUACUUGCCCCCUUGUACUUAGAAACACCCUUUUGAUCCCCAUAUCCGAUACGCAAGCAGAAUACUUUCUAGGCCCCAUGGGUAGUGAAGACCCAAUAGAAUCUAUUAAUGCUGAAAUACUUGGACAAAGUCUAGAAAGUUCUAUUUACAUCUAAGUAACUCGAUAACUAGCCUUACGCUAAGAGAUUUAAAUAUUGGAUAAAGCCUAGAAAGUUCUUAUAUAGGUAACUGAAAAGUGUGUUGACGCAAAAAUUGGAUGGUUGACUCCUGCGUACUAACACACGGAACCAGGGAGAAUCUGCUUAGCUACUGUUCGGGUUAUAGCCCUCUCGAUCCGUAGCGUGCCAGUUAAUCUGACCUGCUGAUUGACAAGUAAAAAUGUCAAAUUAAGAGCAAAUCAGCUGGUGUUCCGAAUCGCUCCACGGGACGUAUCAGUAGACAGCCGAUACGGGCAAACGACAAUCAGCUAGAUCAGCCGAUUUGCUCUUGUAUUUGACGUUUUACUUGUCCUUCUCAAUCAGCAGGUCAGAUUGACUCGCACGACGCAGAUCGAGAGGGCUAUAACCUAAACAAGAGCUAAGCAGAUUCUCCCGGGUUUCAUGUCUUAGUACACAGAAGUCAACCGUCUGAUUUUAUCAUCAACACGCUUUUUGGCACGCUCAGUGGGACCCGAUUCAUAUCUUAAUGGUAAUUGGUGAUCAAGUUUCAAACAACGUAUCCACUGGUAGAAAACUGAGCAUUAGUCCCGGUUGGUAAGGGUCAUAUCUCUCGGAUAUCCAUCCGGGAUAAACCAACCGGGACAAAAGGGGGGGGUCUUUAGUCCCGGGUAUUUUAACCGGGAGUAAAGGACCCCCUUUAGUCCCGGUUGGUGUCACCAACCGGGACUAAAGGGCCUGCCACGCCAGGCGCGGGACAGGCCCUUUAGUCCCGGUUGGUGACACCAACCGGGACUAAAGGGGGUCCCUUUAGUCCCGGUUGGAUUUCCCAACCGGGACUAAAGGGGUCCCCUUUAGUCCCGGCUCAAUUCCAACCGGGACUAAAUUGCGCUUGCAUGGCACUGGUGACGCCUGAAUUUUUCAUGCAUGCAUCACGUAUACGUAUAGUAGUACCGCGGCCCUUUUAAUUUGUUAACCUUGUAGUUGAGAUUUUUUUAGAAUGAAUUAAAUCAACUAGUAUUUAAACGAAUGGGAUUUGUAAUUACACAACUACUAUAUAUAUACACAAUCCUUAUACACAAUUCAUAUACACAAUUCAACUAGCUUAAUUAGUACAAAUCGAUCAUAUAUACAAAUAAAUCAAAGUAUCUUCCUACGAUCUUCCCGUCGUGGUGUUGCUGAGAGGAGUGUCUAAUUGUCGUCCAUCGUAAUAAAAUUCUCCUCUUGGAUUUACCACCUCGUCCAUUAUGAAUCCAAUGAGACCUUCACAUAUUGCCGCUACUCUUUCUUCCUUCAAGAGUCCUUGUUGAAUAUUUAACAUCUAUAAUUUGGAAAUUUGUGAAUGUUACAUGAACAAAUACAUAUAAGGAGCUAGAAAAUAAUUAACUAGUAAUAUAUUUAUUUUACGUACUUUAAAGUUGUGCGGCGUCAUCUUCGGUCCCUUGGGUCCCAAAAAACUGUGCAUGUGCUCACAGAUGUAGUAGCCACAUAGGUUAUUCCCGGGUUCCUGUCUUAAGCACUUCAGUGCGGAAAAAAAAUAAGUUAUGAAAUAUUCGUGUUAUACAAUGUAAUAAAUGUGCAGACUUCAUACGUACCGGGAAGUCUGUGUUCCAUGUAAGAUCUUCUUUGAAUGGACCUUUGUGUGUCCUUAUGAAUUGUUUCCAUACGCUGCGGAUUAGAAUAAUGAAUGACAUAGUGUAACAGGGAUAAAAUUUAGGAAAUAAAUUUUUGCAUAGAGAUAAAGGUCCAGAAUUAUUACAAGCCUAGCAUGUCUUGCAAUUCUUGGUAGUCCACCGGAUCUUUCCGUAACGAAUCAAAGACAGUGACGUGGCUUCUUUCAGGCUCAAUUAUAAUAAGGAUCCAGUGGAAGCUGCGUGCGUAAAAUGUUCAUGCAUAUUAGAGCUAACUAACAUGUAGAGAUAAGGAAAAAGACAUCGAAAGUAGACGGUAUACACACACUUACUUGAAGUUGUAUGGAAGUAGUAUGAAAUCCUUGAAUGUUUGUUUGUGUAGGAAAUUGUAUAUUUCGGCAAAGGUUUUUUCCGGCGCUAAUUGUAUCUGUUGUUGGUUAACUACAGAUGGAUCCAUGAAGCCUACAUGUAGGUACGCCUCUCGGCGGCAUGUCUGAAUUAGCAUCCUACAUGAAAUGGAAGAUGAAGUUAGUACGGUGACGCACGCCAAAAUUUACAUGUAGAGAUAAUAAACGGACACUUACAGAAUCCAAGCGCUGAUCAGAGAGACGUCCAGGGCAUCAUGAUGGUACACUUCGUAUAUAUCCUUGAAGUCUAGCCACAGCACUUUCUCCCCUUCACCGUGAAAAUCUAUCGGUUUUACCUUCAUGCCGAUCAUCUCCCUCGAUUUGGCGGAUGCCGUCAUGUACCAUUGAUGGAAUUCGUACAUCUUUGUUGACAGCUUCCGUACCAUUGCCGGCUUCACUAGAGGCUUGCCUAGCUCAUAAGGCCAUCUCGGCUCAGGGGGCGGUGCAGUUGGCGUCUCGACUUGCCCUAUGCAUUCUUCAAGUCCCAGACCUGUUUCUUCCAUGAACUUCAAUAUAUUUUCUUGUUGAUCCAAGGGCAUUGCUUUUACCCGUUGAGCAUCUUUCUUUGAUAAAUGGCUGAGGUCGGGGACUGAACCGCUGGAGGAUGAUUUUCCUUUUCUUUUAUCCUUUUCAUCAGCCUUUACUAGAGCCCGUUCAUAGUUUGACAAGAGUGGUAUCCUUUUCUUGGCUCCUUCCUCCAUCCUGAUAAAAAAGUUUAAAUCCCGCCGACUUACUGGCGGUGGCUCCAUCUCCCUUGCCCUUUUUAAUUCGGCUUGUUUCUUGAACCACUCACUGGCCUCUCGUUGGAUUUCUGCCCACUGUUCCGCAUGAGACAUUGCCUCAAAGCGUUCCUUGCGAGCCACUUCAGGGUCGACCUUUGUUUUCUUCUUUCGAGGCUGUCUUUGCUUGGGAGGCGGUGCUCGUGACUUCUUGAGUGGUGCUGCAGGUUCCUUCGAGGGGGCCGCUCUUGGUGCCAGCGACGGUGAUCGGGGAGGGGUGUUGUUAUUGUCGUCGUCGCUCCCAGCACCAGGAUGUGGUGGAGAUGGAGACCUUGAUAUAGAUGGAAGCGACGGUCCUGGAGCAGGAGAUGCCGGUCUCGAGGUAUGAGGAGAAGGUCGCUGCUCGGGAUCUACGGGGAGCGGUCUUGAGGUCUGAGGAGAUGGCUCCGUGCGGGAAAUAAUGAUGUAGCGUUUCUUCCAUAGAAUGAUCCCAUGAAGCGCAUCUGCCAAUGUCUUUUCCCCGUCGCCUCCCGGGAAGUCGAGCUCUAGACCUUCAUACUGGGCAUCUACUAUUUGCUCGACGCAGACGCUGGCGUAGCCUGUUGGAAUGUCCAUGCCAUGACUGCUCUGCCCUGCCAGCGUUGGUAACGCACUCCCAUACGCUACCUGUACAUAUAGCAGAAGUAAACAAGUUGAACUCCGAUCUCGAGGCCUGGAUCAAUUGACAAGAUUGCAUAAAUAUUAUGUAUAAGUAUACCUUAAUAGUGAGGUUGCCGACCGGUGCAUGCAGCUCACAUGAGGUCCGUUGCGUGAUGGCAUCCACGGGGAACCGUUGCUCCUCCACGGGUAACCUGGGCGUCUGCGCAUCGGGGACCCCUGUAGAAGCACAACUGCUCCCGAGGCGUUGAGAAGGGCUGGCGGUGUGAGGAUUCGGCAGUGCUCCAGAUUGCGCCAACUCCGCAACUGCGUCGGCCACCCGCCGAUUGAUUUCAUCCAUCAUUCGUUGUUCUAGCAUCUGCCGCCAGCUCUCCUCCAUCUGUUCCUUUCUUCGCUUCCGGCUUCUGUAAGAGGCGCUGUCGCCUCGGAAAGCGAACUUCCACGGAACCACCCCGAACCCCCGGCAACGUCCUGGGUGCUCUGGAUUACCGAGGGCCAAUGUGAGCUCAUCAUUUUCUCGGUCCACCCUCAACCUCCCAGCCUUGGAAUCUUCAAUGUUCUUCAUGAGAUGUUCGGCCUUCUCACGUAUUCUGUCAUUGAAAAUCAGCGUCCCAUCCUCUUGGCUUAGGGAGCCUCCAUGAGCGUAGUACCAGUUCUUUGAUCGUUCGGGCCAUUCAAUAGUUGCAGGUAUGAUUCCCCGUUCGAUCAGAUCUUGUUCCAUCUUUCUCCACUUGGGAAUUGCUGAGCCAUACCCACCUCGCCCCAAAUGAUGGUGGUAGCCCUUCUGACUAGCAUUUGCAACGUUGGUCGUGAUCUUUUUCACACCUUCUUCACUCCUCUUGUAUUCAACAAAUGCAUCCCAGUGGUCCCUCAACUUGGGCCACGCGUUGAAGUCUGGAGUUUUGCCCUUCUUGAUGUAGUGGGUGUCCAGCAUCUUCUUGAAUGUCUGGAAUUGAGUAGCCAUCUUCUUAAGUGUCCACGCUUUGACAUCCUUCUCGCUAUAAUCUUCGGGGAAUGUGAAAUGCCUCUUCACGUCUUCCCACAGCAUAUUCUUUUCUGUCUCUGGAAGGGCGUACGGAUUAUCGCUUCUGCCCUUCCAUUCUCUGAUGCUGAUAGGCACGUUGUCCCGGACAAUUGCCCCGAUUUGACUAACGUACUUCUUUGCGACUUUCUCGGGAGCAACCGGCCUGCCCUCAUCUGUAACUUCGGUGAUGACAAGCCUCCCUUCCAUCACCUUUGUACGACCUCGGGUCUUCUGCCCUUGUGUCGAUCCGGAGGGCUAACAGUUUAAGAUUCGUUAAUUAGUACGUACUAGUAGCGGUGGCGUGAAACAAUACAAGAAUGGUUGUAUAUACCUCGCCGGAACCUUCCGCCACGGCAAGUUGUUGCUGCGGCUGUUGCUCUUCAUUCACAUCGGCAGACAUGUUGAGGAACAUGUCCGCCUGGGUGCCCUCUUCAUCCGUGUAUGAUAGUGGAACGUUGUCGCCACUAUCAUCACCAGCGAUUAUCUGCUCCAUGAUAUACCUUGCGGUCUCAUCGUCUGCCAUUUCAACUAUUGCUGCAAACAUACAUGGAAUCAUACAUGACAGUCAUAGAAAUCGUCUUAAUACAAAUUUGUAUAUAAUCACAGUUCGGAAUCAUACAUGUAUAUAAUGAAAUCAUAAAAUAACAUGAAUCGUACAAAGUCCGGAAUCUUUAUACAAAUUUCUAUGAAUUUAUACAAAUUUCUAUGAAUUUAUACAAAUUUCUAUGAAUUUCUAUGAAUUUCUAUGAAUUUCUAUGAAUUUCUAUGAAUUUCUAUGAAUUUAUACAAAUUUCUACGAAUUUCUAUGAAUUUCUAUGAAUUUCUAUGAAUUUAUACAAAUUUCUACGAAUUUCUAUGAAUUUCUACAAAUUUCUACGAUUUUCUAUGAAUUUCUACAAAUUUCUACGAAUUCCUACGAAUUUUGACGAAUUUCUACGAAUUUUGACGAAUUUCUACGAAUUUCUACGACGGCGAUAAGGGCGGCGAAGGCGGGACGGCGGCGGUCAGGGCGGCGGAGGCGGGACGGCGGCGGUCAGGGCGGCGGAGGCGGUUCACCGGAACCACGGGCGGUGCCUAAGCUACUACGUUGUGAUGGGCGGCAGGACGGCGGCGAUCACGGCGGCUACUCGGCGGCGAUCACGACGGCUACAAGGCGACUGUCACGGUAGCUACUCGGCGGGACGGCGGCGAUCACGACGGCGGGACGGUAGUUAACAACCUAACUACAAAUCUAACUUAACAAACUAACUAGAAAUCUAAAAAUCUAACUUAACAAAAUUAGAAAUCUAAAAAUCUAACUUAACAAAAUUACAAUUCCAUCUAAAAAAACAAAAUUAAAAAUUAAAAGAAAACGGCCAGCUCUCCCGGCGCACCGGCCGGCGCGGCAGACCUCUCGCGCGCGGGGCGGCGGCCGGGGCGGCGGGACGGCGGCGGCCGGGGCGGCCUGACGGCGGCGGCUGGGGCGGCGACGAGGACGAAGACGACGACGGCGGGAUGACGGCGGCCGAGGCGAAGACGACGACGGCGGCCGGCGAGGGGCGACGAGGAUGGAGCUGGCGACGAGGGGCGAUGCAGCCGGCGAGGGAGGCGGACGGGCGGCGACGGGCGGAGAGGGAGGCGGACGGGCGGCGACGGGCGAGGGAGGCGGACGGGCGACGACGACGGCGCAAUGCGGGACUUCGACGGCGCAAUGGGGGACGACGACGGCGGCGGCCGGCGAGGGAGGCGGACGGGCGGCGACGGGCGGAGAGCGCGGGACUUGCGAAAAUUUCGCUAAGUGUGGAACUGGCGGGGGGUAGAAGGGAGUACAGUGCUUUUAACCCCCCCCCCCUUUUAUCCCGGUUCGUAAUGGCACCCGGGACAAAAAGGGCCUUUUGUCCCGGGUCCUGUCACCAACCGGGACAAAAGGCCCCCCCUUUUAUCCCGGUUGGUGACGGGACCCGGGAUAAAAGGGUGCGCUCCCAGCCCCACCUGGCGGGGGCACCCUUUUAUCUCGGGUCCCGUUACCAACCGGGACAAAAGGCCCCCCCUUUUAUCCCGGUUGGUAACGGGACCCGGGACAAAAGGGUGCCCCCGCCAGGUGGGGCUGGGAGCGCACCCUUUUAUCCCGGGUCCCGUCACCAACCGGGAUAAAAGGGGGGGGCCUUUUAUCCCUGUUGCAAAUGGCAACCGGGAUAAAAGGGUACGUUCGGGCGGGAGACGAAACGUACCCUUUUAUCCCGGUUGCCGUUUGCAACCAGGAUAAAAGGGGGGCCUUUUAUCCCGGUUGCUGUUAGCACCCGGGACAAAAGGUCCUUUUUCCUAUUUUUCUUCUCCCGCCUGUUUUUUGGAAAUGGAUUUUAUUUAACCUUUUCACUGCAUUCCAGGAUGAAAAACAAAACCUUCUCAGAUUUUGUACAUGCAAAAAUAUAUUUAAUUAACGAGUAAAUUGACAAUAAGUAUGAAGUAAUCAUUAUUUCUAUACCAACUCAUAUAGCCUGUAAAAUAUUUAUUUUACUGCAUUGCUGUGAUCAAUAAAUUAUUCAAUUAAAUUUUUUGAAUGCGCAGAAAAAUCCAUGUUAGUAUGUGGUUAACAAUGUUCAUGUAUAUCUAAAAAAUCUUCACCUAACAAAUUUAAUUACAAAUUUUAUCAAUUAAUACACAAAGGUCAUGCACAUUUAACGCAUUACAAUACAACGUUGUAAAAUUUCUUCUUCACGAAAGUUCCUUGAUCAUGAUCGCGGCGUAAGUACGGAGCCUCUUCUUUGGACAGCAGGAUGCUUGGAUCAACUUCAACGUCGAAUGGAGGCAUGCCAUCAAACUGAUCAUAAUCAUCUGAUUGGUCUGUUUUAUCCUCGACUCCCACGAUUUUUCUUUUACCUAGAAGAACUAUGUGGCACUUUGGCUCCCAUGUCUCUUCUGGAUUCCUCUUGGGUUUGCUGCACAUGUCCUUCACAUAGAACACCUGAUGCACAUCAUUGGCAAGUACGAAUGGGUCAUCACUGUAUCCAGUCUUGCUCAGAUCUACUAUUGUCAUUCCGUACUGAUCUUUGGUGACGGCAGUUAGCUUCACCCAAUUGCAAAGAAAUAGAGGGAUGUACAGCGGUCCGUAUUCGAGUUCCCAUAUCUCCUGUAUGAAACCAUAAUACGACUCCUUGCUAUUAUUUCUGUCCAUGGCAUCUAUGCGGACACCACUAUUCUGGUUCGUGCUUUUCUGGUCCUGGGCUCUCGUGUAAAAUGUGUAACCAUUUAUCUCAUAGCCUUGGAAUUUGACGAUUGUGGUAGCAGGUCCCCUGGCUAACCAAGCAAGCUGUGGGUGAAUCUCAGAGUUACCCAUAAGUUGUUGGCGCAACCAGGAGGGAAAAGUUUCCAUGUGAUGACGGGUAAGCCAAGCAUCGGAUUUGGUCGGGUUUUUGGAAGCUACCAUCUGCCUGUGCUGCUCGAUAUACGGAGACACAAAGGAUGACUGUUGUAGAACAGUGUAGUGUGCCUUGUCGAACAAAUUAGUAUCAUUGCUCAAACUUGAUUUCCUUCCAAGGGUGCCCAUUCCUCGGAGCCUCCCCUCGUGGCGUGAAGUUGGAACCCCAAUCGAGUCAAUUGAAUCAAUAAAAUCAACACAAAACUCGAUCACCUCCUCUGUUCCAUAUCCCCUGGCGAUGCUUCCUUCUGGACGAGCACGAUUACGAACAUAGUUUUUUAGGACUGCCAUGAACCUCUCGAAAGGCCACAUAUUGUGCAGGUAUACAGGUCCGAGAAUACCAAUCUCUUUUACUAGGUGAACCAGUAAGUGCGUCAUAUUAUUGAAGAAGGAUGGUGGAAAUAACAACUCAAAACUGACAAGACAUUGCACCACAUCGUUCUGUAGCUUUGAUAGCUUGGAUGGAUCGAUUGCCUUCUGCGAAAUCGCAUUGAGAAACGCGCAUAGCUUUACGAGCGGCAACCGGACAUUUUCGGGUAGAACACCCCUCAGUGCAACCGGAAGCAACUGGGUCAUCAACAUGUGGCAGUCAUGAGCCUUGAGAUUUGUAAACUUCUUUUGUUUCAUAUUUAUUAUUCCCUUUAUAUUCGAGGAGUACCCAGACGGGACCUUCAUACUAUUCAAGCAUUCAAACAUACUAUCCUUCUCCUCCUUGCUGAGAGUGUAACUGGCAGGACGUAAGUAGUGCUGUCCAUUAUCUCUCUUUUCCGGAUGUAGGUCAUCUCGUUGCCCCAUGGCUUUCAGGUCCUGUCUUGCUUCCAAUGUAUCUUUUGAGGUUCCAUAAACACCCAUGAAGCCUAGCACGUUCACGCAAAGAUUCUUCGUCAGGUGCAUCACGUCUAUUGCGUUGCGAACCUCUAGGAUUUCCCAAUAAGGUAGCUCCCAAAAUAUUGACUUUUUCUUCCACAUGGGUGCAUGUCCGUUAUCAUCGUUCGGAAUAGGUUGGCUACCAAGUCCCUUUCCAAAGACUACAUGUACAUCCUUCAUCAUCUCGAACACACGCUUUCCAUUACGGUGUGCAGGUUUUUUACGAUGGUCUGGCGUCCCUUUGAAAUGCAUCCCGCUCUUUCUCAGCUGGUGGUGAGCAGGGAGAAAUCGACGAUGACCCAUAUAGACGACCUUCUUACAGUGCUUCAAGUACAUGCUAUCUGUGUCAUCUAAACAGUGGGUGCAUGCCCGAUAUCCCUUAUUUGUCUAUCCUGAAAGGUUACUCAAUGCAGGCCAAUCGUUGAUGGUUACGAACAACAGUGCUCGUAGAUUAAAGAUCUCUUGUCUAUCCUCAUCCCACACACGUACACCUUCUUCCUUCCAGAGCUGUAAAAGGUCAUCAACCAACGGCCUUAGGUACACGUCAAUGUCGUUGCCGGGUUGUUUUAGGCCUUGGAUAAGCGCCGGCAUCAUAAUGAACUUCCGCUUCAUGCACAGCCAAGGAGGAAGGUUGAACAUACAAAGGGUCACAGGCCAAGUACUAUGACCACUACUCAACUCACCGAAUGGAUUGAAUCCAUCAGUGCUUAAACCAAACCUUAUGUUCCUUGCUUCACUUUCAAAGUCUGGGAAUGUUCUAUCAAUUGAUCUCCACUGUGCCCCAUCUGCGGGGUGUCUCAGCAUCUCAUCUUCCUUACGGUCUUCUUUGUGCCAUCGCAUCAACUUAGCAUUCGCCUUGUUCCUGAACAAGCGCUUCAAGCGUGGUAUUAUAGGGAAAUACCACAUCACCUUCACGGGAACUCUCUUCUUGGGAGACUGCCCCUCGACAUCACCAGGAUCAUCUCGCCUGAUCUUAUACCGCAGGGCUUCGCAGACGGGACAAGCAUCCAAUUCCUCGUAUUCAUCACCACGAUAGAGGAUACAGUCAUUAGGGCAUGCGUGUAUCUUCUGAACAUCCAAUCCGAGAGGGCAAAUAAUCUGUUUAGCUUCAUAUGUUGUGGACGGUAAUUCAUUAUUCUCGGGGAGAAUCUUCUUGACAAUUCUCAACAUCCCCUGAAAUGCCUUAUCGGACACACCAUUUUUUGCCUUCCAUUGCACAAAUUCUAGUGUCGUACCUAGUUUUUUAUGGCCCUGCUGGCAACCUGGGUACAACAAUUUUUGGUGAUCAUCUAUCAUGCGCUGCAACUUUGCUGCUUCCUUCUCAGUUUCGCAAUCUCUGUAUGCAUCUCGUAUCACCUGACCAAGGUCAUCAGUAGGGUCAUUUUCUGCAAACUCAUCUUCAUCAGCCUCGCCCAUUGUAGUACCUGCAAAAGCUUGGCCUGCAACCCAGUCCGGAAUGGUGUCAUCUUCCUCCUCCUCCUCGCCAUCUUCCAUUACAACCCCUAGUUCACCGUGCUUGGUCCAAACCAAAUAGUUAGGCAUGAAACCGUAUUUAAACAAGUGGCUGUGAAUAGUCCCCCAGGAAUUCUUUGAAUACUCCUUCCUGUUAUUGCAUUGGAAGCAUGGACAACAUACGAACCCAUUCUCUGGCUUGUUCGCUUUUGCCACUUCGAGAAAAUAAUGCAAGCCAUCAAUAAACACCUUGCUCCGCCUGUCUGCAUUAUACAUCCAAUGCCGGUCCAUCUGCAUCGUAUUACGCACGAAAAUGGAUUACACUUGACAAUGGAUUACGCGUGAAAAUCGAUUAAAGAUCCAAACAACAUGGUACAAUACAACAACAUGAAGAUCCAAAUACACAUAUUUAAAUUAAAGUCCCAAACACUGCAUAAGUUGUUCAACUUGAAGACCGUGAUCAUCUCGUGAGGAUGUCCUCAACUGGGCGGCACCGCACUUCGUCAUUAAAGAGGUUAGAUGCUACGGAAAAGGGGACACGGUCACAAUGUCCGUAUCCACUCUUUCUCGUAGAAUCGAACCUCCUUCUUGACAUACGUUGCUGCUCGGCGGAGAACAUCCUCGGCGAGAUGAACACGGUAUGCAAGUUCAACAAGUAGCAGAAGUCAUCUAUGUACAAAAAUUCUUUCCUUACCACUACAGAAGUUGUUGAACUUGAAGACCGUGUUCAUUUCGCGAGGAUGUCCUCAGCUAGGCGGCACCGCACUUCGUCAUGAAAGAGGUUAGAUGCUACGGAAAAGGGGACACGGUCACGAUGUCCGUAUCCACUCUUUCUCGUAGAAUCGAACCUCCUUCUUGACAUACGUUGCUGCUCGGCGGAGAACAUUCUCGCCGAAAUGAACACGGUAUGCAAGUUCAACAAGUAUAUGGAUUUAAAAAACCAUAUUGAAUUUGAUAAGAUAAACCGUCUAGACAAGGUAGCAUCAUUUUUAAACCACUGAAAUAAUGCAUACUAUAUAUGACACAUCAAUCUCCCUCACAUUCUAGCUCAAAAUACCUCUCCAUUUUUCUACUUCAUCAUCACAUUGUAGCAAAUAAUCUUUCCAUCUCCAAAGCAUAAAUCAAAGCAUAACACGAGGAUGAAGUAGCAAACCUUCGCAGCACUUGUUGGCUGAGUCAAAUUCCCACGAAAAUGAGGGAAAAAAGUUCGGGCAGCACCUCCCUUGCUUGGGCACCACCGGAGAGUAGGUGAAGCUCAGCUCUCUAUCAAUGUGCUGGACUGCUCGGGCUGGAGGAAGAAGAAAGUCUCUGUCUCGGGGUAUAGUGGGGGAUGAGUUUUAAUCCCGGUUAAAAACUCCAACCGAGACAAAAGGAAACACCUUUUGUCCCGGUUGGAAAGUUAGUCCCGGUUGGAGGAUCCAACCGGGAUAAAAGGGACACCCUUUUAUCCCGGUUGGAGGCACCAACCGGGACUAACCCUUUUAUCCCGGUUGGUGCCUCCAACCGGGAUAAAAGGGUGUCCCUUUUAUCCCGGUUGGAUCCUCCAACCGGGAUAAAAGGGUCCCGCCACCGACGGCCCCCGCUAGCCGUUGCAACCGGGACUAAAGGGGGGCCUUUAGUCCCGGUUGCAAUUACCAACCGGGACUAAUGCUCCCCUCCAAAUUCCCGCACCCCGGCGCACCCCCUUUUGUCCCGGGCCACUUUUAAACCGGGAUAAAAGGGGGUUGAUCGAAAGUCAGUUCUCUACUAGUGAUCGGUGACUCCGCUCGAGGAGAAUUGUUUAUAUCAAGCAUAGAAAUGACAACGUUGGAAGUGGAGGAUAUAUUUUGCUCUGUUGAUUUAAUUGCCGCGAGAGUGGCGGACAAGUUCUAAUGAUUGAAGAUCAGAAGCGUCUCGUGGAGAAUUUUUCAGAAGCUAUAUUUGGAAUUAUUAUAUUAUCUCAGGAGCAGAUUAAAUAUAACGCCACCACUGAAAGCCGAUGAGAUGUAUCUAUCGGCUACAUGCUAUUCAGAUGAAUUUGAUGACAGAUUAAUUACGGAGGAGACCGACCGAUACAACAUUAUGGUUUCUUACUGCUGAUCUGUUAUGAAAGAGGAUGUGAGAAGCUGAUAAUCAAGCAACAAUAAAAUGAUAUACACGCAGGGCAUUAAAUAUUGAGUUAAUGAUUGGGAGUACUACCAUUAUCUUAUGAAAAGUCCAUCGGCUAACCAAACAGCGUCAGCCGAUGGAAGCAAAUAGUGUCAGCCGAUAGAAUGAUGUUAUAUAAGUAUAUAUAUCGGCCUCCGAGCCAAUGGGAAGUAGGAACUAUCAGCCGAUGCACACAUCCAUGGACAUAGCCGAUAAGACAUUGUAUCGGCUGCUUGGCAAAUAAAAAUAGCAUCGGCUGACCGCUUGUUAAAAUAUUAUCGGCCGAUUGCUUGGCAAAAUAGUAUUGGCUGACUGCUUGGCAAAUAAAAAAAUAAUAGGUUGACCAAAAAAGGAUAGCAUUGCCUGAUUGCUUGGCAAAUAAAAAAAAUUACGUCGGCUGAUUGGUUCCAGCAAAAUAGUAUCGGCUGCUUGUUGAUCAGAAAAAGCCGAUACUGUUACAGCUCCCGCAACUGUGCUUUGCUGUCAUCGGCUGGGUUGUUCGUGCUCCAUCUGCAAAUAUUUGUCCCGGCUAGAAAGUAUCGUACGUGCAUUGGGAUUCGGCAGUACAAAUCACGUACACGCGUAUGGUCUGCUCAGAAGCUGUCUGUUCGACGAAGUUCCAGGCCAAUGGUGGAGACUUGAUGACCAUGGUGACCUGCAUUAAUCAACAUGAAGUAUGUAUCGGCUGUUCGGUGAUUGGUAGCAAAUCAGCUUUCUCAUAGCCGGUGACAUAUGGGGCAAGAAAUAUCAGGCUUAAAAAAGGACAGUACGAUCAAUGUCGAAAGUUGUAGCCGACGGUUCUAUUAUUGUGCAGUCGAUGGAACAUAGAAGAUGCAUCUGAAUGAGCAAAAGGAAGGGAGCCGAUAGAAGGGAAUUUAAGUUGCAUGAGAUCCAAUUAAAUUAAGAUGACGAGAGGUGUUGACAUCGAAUCAUCGGACUUCUACGAAGUCUUCAUACUCCGAAACUAGGGAGUCUGUGUUAACACCAAAAUUUAGAAAUAUGCUGAUGCAAAAAAAUAAUGAAAUCUCCUAAAUAAGGCUCAAGAAAGAAAAAGCAAGAAAAGAAAAUCAAUCGCACGCGGCAAGAAUUGAAUAAAAUAUUCUAGAGGUAGAGUUGGUUAGGAUAAGCUUAAUUAGGGAUAGAGUUGGAUUAGUUAGAGAUAGUAUUUUGAUUAGAAAAGAUUGUGUACAUGACUUGUACGUGGUGCGUCAGAGGCCAUCCGCCCUAUAAAUAUAAGGGGUCGUGGCCAUUGUAAUUAUCAUCACACGAUCAAUAUACAACAUAUUUAUCUUUUACCUUUUCGGCUUCACGCCAUUGUAUUAGGAGUAGGAGUAAUGUAGCUUCCUGACGAGUUCCUUCUAGCAAGCUGUGCUGCAUUGACCUUGAUCUCUGGCGAGCUGCAAAGUUCCGUCACCAGGUGUUCUAGGCUUUAACCACCGGGCGCAUCGCUUGUGGUUUCGUCUAGUUUCAUCUACAAGGUAUCGAAUAUCAUGGAUCUUUAACUUACGCAUCGCUUCUGUCUUGAUCUACGGUAUUCACCAGUUAUCCUGCCUUGGUUAAGUCUGCAUCGGCUGAUAUUUAUCUGUUCUAUCAUCUUGCCGUUCAGUUUGCUUUAAUUAGCUUUAGAUCGGUUCAUUAUAGAUGAUAGAUCGCUUAAUAGCCUGUUGCAUCUUAAUCUUGGUUACCCCUUCAAGUGCUGUUGGGAUUAAGUUUCGUUAUGAUUGGAUUCAUCGGCUGGUGGGGUUGGUGGGGUUCAGAUUAACAUCGUGCUAAAUAUUUCUAGACUGCAACUACUGGACGCAUCGCUGUGGUUUCAUCUAGAGAUAUUGGUAGAGAGUUUAGUUUAGAUCUCAUCGGUUCGUGGCUCUAGCUAUGGUGGAGCGGCAGCUGAAUAGCAUCCUGUUUUCUAUCGGUCGCCUGGCCGAUAGUUAUUGCAAAAUAUAUUAAAUCGCCUGGAUGGCCGAUGGAUCACUCACGCUCGUCAAGGAUCAUAUCGGCCUGAUCGGCCAGUUGCCUCGGACUUCAAAGGAUUAUUUUCACCUUGUCAGUUGAAUGGUCAAACUGGCUGGCACGCCCGCGCACACCAUGCGCGCCGAUUUGGAUUUUGCACUGGAGUUAAGUAGAUCUUCCAGGUCCUCAUGUGGUGACGAAGGAUCCACCACCAUCAGGAUUUUGCGUCAACACAUUUUGGCACGCCCAGUGGGACACGGUUAUAAGGUUCAUAUUUUUAUUCAUAUAAAAAAGCAUCUUCGGCAUCAUCGGCCAAAUGAGUGUUCAUCGGCUUGUUAGAAUUAAUUCAAUAUAAUAUUUCAGCAAAAGCAGCCGAUGUAGCGAUUGGAGAUAAGGCCAAGUCAAGUCUGCGUGUAUACGCAUGUUCCGGUGGGAUCAUCUUCAUAAAUGCCAAUGACGAUUAGAGAUGAAGCUUCCUGCAAAAUGAUUGGCUACUCUAUCCGGGAAGAAUUGCUUUUUUAUGAGGCAUAUAUAGAGACCCAUGUUGCAAUUAGGGGGCGUAUUCGUGCAUUGGCUGAAAUAAAAAAAUGCAUCGGCAUAUUGAAAAUUGCAUCGGCCGAUUGACAGUCGUAUCAGCUGAUUGGAAAAAUAAAAAGGGAUCAGGGAUCCGCCGAUUGAAAAUUGCAUCAGCUGAUGGAAAAUGAGAGCAACAGUUACAAUAUUUUUUUUAAAAGAAAGCAAGUAUCGGCAAGCAGUAGCCGAUGGAUUUGUAUUUCAGCCAAUGGGGUUUUUGUUUCAGCUGAUAGUACUACUGGCUGAUGGCAAGUCCAAUGGAGUUAAAAUUGCAUUGACUGAUUGAAAUAAAAAUUAAGUAUCGGCUAAUUUAUGGCCAAGUAGCAUCUGCUGAUUUGUUGCAAAGUAGUUUCGGCUGAUUUAUGGCAAAAUAGAAUCGGCCGAUUUAUGGCAAAGAAGCCAAUAGACAAAAGCAUCGGCUGGUAGAGAAGCCGAUUGAGCAAGCAUCUGUUGAUGAGCUAUGUAUGGGAAAAAGUAUUGGCUGCUUAAACAAUUGACAAAAGCCAAUUGGUCAGACUGAGAAGCCAACUGGGAAAGCAUCGAUCGAUGGAUUGCGUAUGGGAGAGAGUAUCGGUUGAAGUCUUUAGUAUUGACUGCUAGAUAUUUGAGCAAGCGUCGGCCGAUUGACUGCUUGGUAAAAAAAACAUCGGGCUGAUUGCUUGGUUAAUAAAAAAAUUGCAUCGUUCAAGCAAAGAUUGCAUGGGCUGAUUGGUUCAAGCAGAAUAGUAUCGGUUGCUUAUAGAAUAUAUCGGAUAUUAAUUUCGAAGCAUGAAAAUAUUCAUACUCCGAAACUGGGGGGCCUGUGUUGACAACAAAAGCUUGCUGGUUACUGCAUCAAGUUUUGGUGUCAACAUACUUGAUCUUUUGUUUCCAUUGCCAGCGGAUUCAUCGGCUCAGAGUGGGAUCAAGACAUCAAGCUGAUGGAGUUCUUUAUAUUUCAAGAGGAGUCAUGGAGUUCUUUAUAUUUCAAGAGUAGUCGAUGGUGCUUUGAAUAUUGCAACCAGACGUCAUUGGCUCUAAAGAUACCGAAUCAUCGGACUUCUAUGAUCAGUUUCGGAACAUGAAGCCUUCAUACUACGAAACUGGGGGCCUGUGUUGACACCGAAUCAUCGGACUUCUAUAAUUAGUUUUGGAACAUGAAGCCUUCAUACUUCGAAACUGGGGGGCCUAUGUUAACACCAAAAUUUAGAAAUGUGCUCUGAAAGGAAGGUAUCGGCCGAUGAUGCAAAAAAAUAAUGAAAUCUCCUAAAUAAGGCUGAAGAAAGAAAAGCAAGAAAAGGAAAUCAACGCACACGGCAAGAAUUGAAUAAAAUAUUCUGGAGAUAGAGUUGGUUAGGAUAAGCUUGAUUAGAGAUAGAGUUGGAUUAUUUAGAGAUAGUAUUUUGAUUAGAAAAAAUUGUGUACAUGACUUGCCUUGUACGUGGUGCGUCAGAGGCCAUCCGCCCUAUAAAUAUAAGGGGUCGUGGCCAUUGUAAUUAUCAUCACACGAUCAAUAUACAACAUAUUUAUCUUUUACCUUUUCGGCUUCACGCCAUUGCAUUAGGAGUAGGAGUAAUGUAGCUUCUCGACGAGUUCCUUCUAGCAAGCUGGGCUGCAUCGACUUCGAUCUUCGGUGAGCUGCAAGUUCCGUCACCAGGUGUUCUAGGCUUUAACCACUGGGCGCAUCGCUGUGGUUUCGUCUAGUUUCUUCUACCAGUUACCGAGUAUCUUGGAUCUUUGACUUAUGGCACAUCGCUUCUGUCUCGAUCUACGGUAUUCACCAGUUAUCCCGCCUUGAUUAAGCUUGCAUCGGCUGAUAUGUAUCUGUUCUUUCAUCUUGCCGUUCAAUUUGCUUUAGUUAGCUUUAGAUCGGUUCAUCAUAGACAAUAGAUCAUUUAAUAGCAUGUUGCAUCUUGAUCUUAGCUAUCCUUCGAGUGUUGUUGGGAGUAAGUUCCGUUGUGAUUGGAUCCAUCAGCUAGCAGGGUUUAGAUUAACAUCCUGCUAAAUAUUUCUAGACUGCAACUACCGGGCACAUUGUUGUGGUUUCACCUAGAGAUAUUGGUGGUGACGUUAGUUUAGAUCUCAUCGGCUUGUGGCUCUAGCUAUGGCGGGGCAACAACUCAACAACAUCCUGUUUUCAAUCGACCGUCUAACUGAUAGCUAUUGUAAAUUAUAUUAAAUCGGCUGGAUGACGAUGAAUCACUCACAUUCAUCAAGGUACUGGAAUCGGCUUCACAGCCGAUAUAUUUGUCAUGAUUUAUUUUGUUGCACCAUUAUCGCUACUGUGCUAGGAUUAUAUCGGCCUAAUCGGCCAGUUUCCUCGGACUUCACAACGACUAUCAUCUCCUUGUCAGUUGAAUGGUCAAACUGACUGGCAUGCCCGCGCACACCACACGUGCCGAUUUGGAUUCUGCACUGGAAUUAAGCAGAUCUCCCAGGUUCUCAUGUGCUGAUGCAGGGUCCACCACCGCCAGGAUUUUGUGUCAACACCUUGUAAUCUUCCUUUGAUUUCCUCAAUGAUUCGAAGACAAUAACCUUGCUUGUAUAAAUGAUAAUUAUAAGGAGAACCUAGUGGAAACUGUGUAUUCAUAUUAGAACUACCUAUGGUUAAUUAGGUUAGGAAAGGAAAUCGAAAAUAGACCGUACCCACACUUACUUAAAGUUGUUGGGCAGUAGUAUGUAAUGCUUGUAAUUCUGUUACUCCAAGAAUUUGUAUAUGUGGUCCAAUGUAGACUUUGGUUGAUCCCAUAUCUGUUGUUGGUUAAAUAAGUGUUUCUGGCCAUUUCUAGCCGUUAGAACCGGAACUAAAGGGGGCUCUUUAGUACGGGUUGAUAUUACUAACCGGGACUGAAGAGCCCCCAUUACAGUUGGUUUUUGGACGCGGAACUAACAACUCCUUUAGUCCCGAGUCCAAAAACGACUGAGAUAGAAGAUCCUUUCUCUACCGUGAAUAUUGCCAGAAAGAAUUGAAAGAGACCGCUUGCUAAAAAUAUGUCAUAGAUGUAGACCAAGCUACCAAGGAGGUAGACCAAACAUGAUACACACCAUGCGUACCUUGCUGUGCAGACUAUGCAUAGACAAGACACCCGACCACAUGUUGGCCUCGGUCACAUCAAAAGAAUCAUGUAGGCCACCAAUAAACUACUUGAAGCGUCAUUCCGUAUCGUAUAUGCAUUGCCGGUUCAUCUGCAUUACAUUACAUAAAGUAGUAUUAACUAUUUGAAUAAAAUGAACCAAUUUAAAAGUAAUGUGUUGUACUCUACUAUAGAAAGCCCUAUCACUGUCGGAUCCAGAAACAUCAUUGUUGAUGGUCGUUAAGUACCAAGACGGUCAAUAUUCUCAAGAAUAAUGGAGAAUUGGCAUUUCUUACACACAUAUUUGGUUUUGAACAAUGUAGUCCCACAUGUCCUUGGAGAUUAUUUGGGUGUGGGUGAAAUAAUACAAAAAGAAGGAGAAAACACACUCCCAUGGUGAAGAAACAAAACUCCGACCAAUGAGAGAUAGCCACAGGGGCAGCACACGGAUCCAUGGGCCCACAAACCGCAUCAAACUGUCUUACCAAGGCGGGUAGCACCCACAACCAUGAUUAGGACCCACCUGGAUGUCUACCAAGAAGAAGGUUGUGAGUGGGGCCAGGAGGGGUUCGGCUGAAUCAUCUCUAGCUCCCCUCAUCCCCAGCUGGUGCAUGGCGGUGGUUAAUGGUGUCCCUACAUCGGUUAGAGGAGAUUCCCCCAAAUAUUCCUCCUGUAAACCACCUGUAUGGACCUAUACAUAGAGGGGUGUGCUCUCCAAUCCAACACACACCACAAGUUUAAUCACUCUCUCCCUCUUUAAUUUCCAUGUUUAUGGAGUUAGCCUAGAGUAGCUCUGCUCAAGGUUCCAAGUCCACUUGGAGUUAAGCAUAUGUCUCUUGUAUCGUUAUUUCCCAGAUUGACUUUAUGCUUAGUUCUUAUAUGCAUGAGUUAGUCUAAUAGCCUUGCUCUAUUGAUAUGCUCGGCUUAUAUGCUCGUAUGCUAGUCAUAUACCCUUGCUGCCGUAGUAUAGGCUUAUAUGCUCUCAUGUGUGCCUUUAGACCUUGCUACAAUAUAUACUUGUUGUGUAUACAUACCAUGUAUAGGCUAGUCGAUCUAUACCAUGGCAUUGGUUCAAUAGCCAUGUUUUUGGUGGCUCCAACCCUAGUCAGAAUAGCUCGGGACAGCUAGAGUGUUGUUAAAAAUGCAAGAGUGAUGGUUGGGUUGUUUAGCAUCGUUGGAUAUGGGUUUUCCCCACGGGUUUCUAAGAGUAGGCGGCAGCUAGUGACAGCCCUGUCCGUCCUUCGUAAUCCCCCCACAUUCAAGUACGCCAUAGAAGUUCAUAAAUUAGCAGUAACUACACCGGCAGACCGGUAGGGUAUUGUCUCCCUAUAGUACCUUGGUGCAUAGAACUAGGUCAUAUACACUGUGUGUCUAUGUUUACGCUGAUAUGAUCUGUGCAGUAUAUAGCAUGUAUAUAUGAACCUAGAGCUAACUCCUAGUCCAUUCUCCGUAGCUUAGUUAUCUUGAGAUGAUUCUUCUGUGUGUGUAACACUACCCAUCUUAUCAUUAUCCUUAAUCCUGUCUUGUGUAAUAUAUCUACUCAUCCUAUGAUAUACUCAUAUGCAUAGUAAACUAUUUUGACCUACCCGCCUUCCUUUGGGAAAUACGAUACCCUGGAAUAAUCCUAGGUGAAAUGCUACAACGGUAUAUCCAUGUGCUUACGGAAUUAUUCCUGACCAUUAAAUAUACCAACAAUCAUCACUAUCUAUUUUGGGCAUCGUUAGUGAAGGGUCGGCAGUGAUGGGCAUCCCCUUCACCAAUGGAGCUGGAACUGGCGGUGAUGGCCAUUAAAAAAAAUGGGACCCCACCCAGCGUACCCCGCAACCCGGCCGGCUGCGCCUCCCAUCAUCCCCGCCGGUCGCCCUUCCUCUUUGCCGGCCGAGCAUGGUUCCGGCCCUCGUCCCUACCGCCUCGCCUCCAUCGCGACCCCCUGCCGAUGCCCUCAUGCCUGGCCCCCCUCGUCUGGCCGGCCACCCUCCCGAUGCAUCCACCGGGGCCCUCGCACCACCAACCACCCUAGCCUAGAGAGAGAGAGGAGGAGGGAGGUGAGGCCACGCACCUCGUCCUACAACGCCGCUGUUGCUCCUCGGCCCACCGCGCCUCACCCCACACCACAGCCGCACCUCGCCAUCUUACCGGCCGCGACGCCCCAUCUCACCGGCCACCGUUCCUCACCCCCACAUCGGUCAUCGCUGCUCCUUGCCCUACUGCUGCUCUUUGCAGCCGCGAAUGAGGGGCGAGUGGAGGGGGAGGGGCGGGGCAGGAGGAGGGCAAGAUCCGGGAGGAAGGGAGAGAUUUUGGGAGGUGGAGAUGGAAGGAUAUGGCGGAAGGUAGAGAUCUAGAGGGAGAGAGCGGGGGGGAGAGGGGGGCAUGUGGGGAGAGAGCGCAUGUGGGGUGGGGCCGGGCUGGUGGGAUGGAAGGUAGAGGGGCCGGAGGGCGCAGUGCAUUCAACUGGAUUAAGUAAAUAUUUCGGAUUCGAGACCCCAGCUUUAUUAUCACCGCUGGUCCGUAGUACCAUUCGGUGCCGGCUCAUAAUUUAAUUUGAACCGGUGGUGAUGUUUUAUUAUCACUGCUGGUUUCAAUUUUCACCAUCGGAUCAUAUAAAAAUCCGGCGGUUAAAAAUCCGCUGGUUUCGAUGAAAACCGACAGUGAUAGGACGACUGUGAUAGUCUCUUCUCUAGUAGUAGUAUAUUAGUACCGGCUGCCGGAUGGUGUUGCCGACGAGUACUUCUCCAGGGGCGAUUCAGUACUGAUGUUAGCAAAGCUUGUUCUCUAUGAAUUUGGGGAUGGAAAGCUAGUUCUCUAGUUGUGAUUUGUUACAUAUAUCUCUAUGAUAGUCUAGAAAUUGCAUGUCCUUCGUUGACAUAGUUGAAGCUGCUUCAAGAAUUUACUUCGUGCAGUCGUGCAGCAUAUUGGAUUAUCACCUAGACAGGAUACAUAGGUGAAGCAUUGCAUGUGAUUGUGGCUGAUAAUUAUGCAGGACGCUGUUGCAAUCAACCAUCAAGAAGACUGGAGCGAUGGGGUUGCCUCAUCAACAAUUUUUAUAUAUGGCUGCAGUAUUAUUAAGCCCACGUCAAUAAUUUUUUCUCCGCAGCAUAUAUAUGGUUACUCAGUUCGCUGGAGUAUCGCUGUGGAAAAACAUACGUACUGCGCCUCGGAACUAACUGGCAUUCAGGCCAUCAACGACCAGAUAUUUGGGACAACCAACAAAUAGUAGGUGGUUCCUAAGUUGUAGUCGUAUGUACUAAUGCGCCUCGAUGGGGUUUUCUUCAGAUAUUUUAUUGCCGUUCAAUGAACAAGCAGAUACAUAACCUGUGCAGAAAAUUCCAUCUCCACGCAUGCCACUGCACCAACAAGAUCCUCAGUCGACGAUGAUGGCUCAGCCUGUUCCUUCUGCCACCAAAUCCUCAAUCUUCCCUCCAGCAACGGAGAAUGCACCUUUAGUACCUUCAGUAUCAGAUGUUGCAAUCGGUACCGUGAAACCGAGACUAAAAUCCUUACUUUGCAGGGGGCAAAACAAUCUUGCAAAUAUAUAUUUUGAAUUCCAACAAAAUUUAAGAAAUGUUAAAGAUGACUAGCUGAGAGUCAACAGACAAGAUAUGAUAUUAGGAAUGUGGGAGGAUGAAUGCAUUUGUACAGGGGUCAUACUAUUUCCAGACUCUUCUAUAUUUCCAUAUGACUACCUACUUCAAUGUCACGCGAGCCAUUCAAAAAGAUACAUGGUACACUUGUAUGUCUAAUCCAUUAUUGAUUAUUUCCUCUUGUCAUCUCUUACAAGUAUUUCUCCAUACUAUAGAAACGUGCAACACAUUUUUAGGAUAUGGACACGCAUGAUUAAUAUGCUUGGACUAGUAUACAGGUCAUCUUUGGAUGAGUACAUAUGAAUGCCAGGGAGGGACUGAUGGAUAUAAGGAAAAGGGACCAUGCAUAAAUAAUGACAUAUGUAACAUGGCAAUCUUCAUUGCCAUGCAACUCCUAUCAACAAUCAUGGAAUACAUACUACUGCUCCAGAAGGGUGGUGUGCAAAUUUAUUUUACCUCGCGGUGAAAAUCUCCAGAGCAGGCCUGAAGUUAAAAUAAGAGGCAGUCACUAUCGAUCAUGACAGUCUCGAAACUGUACAGCACUAUGCUAGUCCUAGUCCUCAUGUCGUUCGUGCUGUCGUGUAGCAUGAUGGAUUAUUAACUGGGCAGGACACGGAGAUGGCUAGCGAUGACAGAGGAUGACGUACAUGAUAUUCACCUCUGAAAUGAAGCGUAGGCUAAUGAAGCACAAUUGCAUGUGAGUGUGGCAGAUAUUUAUACAGGACAGUGAUUGCAAUAAUCGACCAUCGAGAUCGAAGACAGGGGCGAUGGGGUUGCCUCAUCAAUAAUUCGCGCAACCAGACAAGCUGCAGACUCAAUAUGGUACGAAGCUAUUUGGUCAGCCCACAUGCUCUGAUAUAACAUUGGCAUCUGCUGAUCUACAGUAUAUAUGACCAGAAAUAUUGUGCCACCUCAAUAAUUUUCCGAAGUAUCGUUGGGGAAGCACCUACAUACUAUGCCUCGGAACUAACUGACAUGUUGGCCUAGGCGGUCCAGGCCGAUUGGACAGGCUCUUCCUUAUGGCUCCUCACGUCCCCUUCGUUUCCGAGUAAUCUCAGGUGUUCUGAAGUUUUCUUUUCACUUGCAUGUGGACCUUAUAUAUCAAUAGCUUCGGGAUAAGAAUGCCUCUUGAUAACCUUCCAAAUCGUCGCUUGAUUCACUUUGAUUCCAAAAUCAUCUUGCCAUAUCUUUUGAGACUUAGGCCCUAAGGCAUCAUGGAGGAUUGCUCGCCAAGAAUGAGCACCAUUGGGCUCCUGAGGACCCUAGGCCGAUCAGCCUGGGCUCUAUAGGUUGAUUGGCCCAGGCCCUCUCUGGGCCCAUUGGCCUUCAUCUUUCUCUGAGUCGACGCUUAUUGAGGGCUUUGUCCAAUUAUAGUCCAUUAUAGUCUAAUUUCCAAAAAAAUAGAAUAUCCUCCAAAAUACAAUACAUUUGUGAAAACAGCCCAAUUAUUAGGUAUGAUCAAUAGUCUAGGUAUUAAAUUAAUGUUAUUAUUUAAGAUAAAUAGGGAUAAAGGGUGUCAUUAAUAACGAGCACCAACCAGCGUACCAGCUGUUAACACUAACCGAUGCUAAUAUGUACCCUUUAGUACCGGCUAUUUCACCCGGUACUAAACGAGACAAGAGCACCCUAACAGAGGUUAAUACCAUCCAUUUCAUGAGUAAAAUACUAUGAUUCAAAAAUAAUUCAAAUCCCUUAAGACAAUACCUAUCAAAUGAGUAGAUUGUAAAUAGAGUAAAACAAUGUCCUAAUGAAACGGAACACUUCUGGUUCGUGUAGAGCACAAUAUAGAAAACAGUAGGGUAGCUGUACGAUUGACACGUGGUCCAUUAAUUAUUGAGCCAUCACUAUGGACAUGUCUUCAUGAGUAGUGUACUAGUCAUGACACAUGGUAUGUAGUAGGUGGAGGUAUUGAGUUAGCCAUGCCAUGAGCACUUAGUUACAACAAACACUUUGCCAUUAUCGAGCAUCCCAAAUCACUACAAAAUCCAUAGUUUACCAUAUACUACAAAAUCUGAGUUAAAAUAAGAGCAUACACGGAAGAGUCCGAAUGCACCGGUUUAGGACCAGGCACAUUGAAUUACUAGAAAAAGUUAUCGGACAAGGUUUUGGGUAACCGCAUGAAAAAUGUUGGAUUUUACUGAACACUUAGUUACAAUUACCAUGCCGUGAGCACUUAGUCACCACAAACAUUUAACCACUUUAGAUCAUCCUGAAUCCCUAUAAAUUCUGUACCUUACACCGUACCAUGAAAACGACAAGAACAGAGACAGAUGCAGUGAAAAUCUCCAGAGCAGGCCUGAAAUUAAAAUAAGAGGAGGCAGUCUCUAUCGAUCAGGACACGGAGAUUGCUAGCCAUGACAGAGGAAGACAUGAUAUGAUAUUCACCUCUGAAAUGCAGCGUAGACUAAUGAAGCACAAUUGCAUGUGAGUGUGGCAGAUAAUGGACCAUCGAGACCAUCGAAUGGUAUGAAGCAUGAUUAUCACCUAGACAUGAUAUCCUAGACAGGACGGUGAAUUGUAAAAAGAGUAAUCUUGAUCAAAGAAUGUCCUAAUGAAACGGAACAUUUUUGGUACGUGUAGAGCACAAUAUAGAAAACAGUAGAGUAGUUGUACGAUUGAAACUGCAUCCAUCCACGUGGUCCAUGAAUUGUUGAGCCAACACUGUGGACAUGUCUUCAUGAACACCAUCUAGUGAGGACAGGAUGCAGAAAAAUAUAAAAACAUGUCAUAGGGAGGCAGACCAAUCUUGCAAGGAGGUAAACGAAACGUGAUACACGAUCUGCCUACCUUGUCGUGGAUACCCCAAGAGAAGAUGUCAUAGAGGUGCAGACCAAGCUAGCAAGGAGGUAGAUGAAACGUGAUACACGGCCUGCCUACCUUGCCGUGGAUAUUAGCCCUGAUAUCAUUCUAUUGUUCAAGGAAUAACACUCAAUGCUGCUGCUGCUGCUGACCUGGCUCCAUAAAGUUGUAUUCCUCUAGCCGCUUGCACUAACUUUAUCUGAAGUAUUAUUCUCUCUGCCCUGAUAUCUGAAGUAUUAUUCUCUCUGCUGACUUUGCUGAAGAACCUACAUAAUAUGUCUUGGAACUAACUGACAUUGAUUCACAGACAAACUCUACAAGGUGCUGUUGUUGCCAUAUUUUAGAGCAUCCCAAAGGACUAUAAAUAAUAUAGUUUACCAUAUACCGUAUACCAUUAUAUGUUAGCUAAAAUAAGAGCAUAACAUGUCGCAGGAGUCCAAAAGCACCGGUUGAGGACCAGGUACAUUGAAUUACUAGAAAAAGACAGGGGGCAAUGUUUAGGUAGCCACAUGAAAAACAUUUGAAUUUACUGUUCCAUGAACACUUAGUUACCAUGCCGGGAGCACCUAGUUAACACUAAAAUUUAGCCACUUUAGAUCAUCCCGAAACACCCUCAAUAGCGACAAAUUUUGAUUUAAAUGCCGUCACCAAUGAUCCUCAAUAGCGACGUGUUUAGGUUUAAAUCCCGUCACUAAUAACCCUUGGUAGUGACGUGUUUUGGUUUAAAUCUCAUCCCACUGAUCCUCAAUAGUGACGUGUUUUUAGCAACACACGCUAUGAAUGACUUGUCAUUGGUGACAUGUUAAAUGCGUUAUCUCAAUGGCAAAUCAUUGGUGACGUGUUUUAAAAAAACAUGUCACUGUGAGAGUUAUUGGUGAAGGGUAAUUAAAAUGCAUCACUAAUUUUGUAGCAUUAGUUAUGAUAUAAUUUAGUAACGCAAAAAUCUACCAUCAGUAAUGAGGUUUAGAGCCGUCGCUAAUGUGGGUUUCUUACGAGUGAUGCAAGCUCUACAAGGUGCUGUUGUUGCCAUUUUAAAGCAUCCCAAGUGACUACAAGUUAAUAGCAUAGUUUACCAUAUACCAUAAAAAUAUUAGUUACAAUAAGCACAUCCGCAUGUGGAAGAGUCCGAAUGCACCAGUUGAGGACUAAACACAUUGAAUUACUAGAACCAAAUGUAAGACAAAGAAAGGGGUCAAGGUUUGGGUAACCGCAUUAAAAACAUUGGAUUUUACUGUACCAUGAACACUUAGUUACCAUUACCAUACCUUGAGCAUCUAGUUACCACAAACAAUAAUUUAGCCACUUUAGAGGUUCCAGAAUCACUAUAAAUAAUAUACCAACACCGUACCAUGAAAACAUCAAGAAGAGAGACGGGUACAUGGACCACCAUCAAGUGAGUAGUGACAGCACGCACAAGAAUACCCGGAACCUGUUAGCUUGUCUGUAGUGAUCUGUUUUCUUCCCCAUAAAAUCCAUGAGUAUUGCCACAAAUAAUGAAAGAGGCUGACCAAGCUAACAAGGAGGUAGAGAAAACGUGAUACACGUAGGUUUCAUUCAAGACAUCCAUGUAAGAUUCAUUCAAAACAUUCAUGGAAAUUUCUUGUAAGUUUUCAUGUAAAUUUCAUUCAAGACAUUUGUUAGAGGUGUUGUAUAUAUAUACCUUAACGUACAUAUAUCUAUGAUUUCAUGGUUGUUAGUGAUGGCAGAUGAGGAGCAUGCAAGGUAUUUAAUGGAGCAGAUUAUUGCUAGUGGUAGUGGCUCCAACCUGCCCGUAACGUACACCAACGAAGAGAGCAGCCAGGCGGACAUGUUCCUCAACAUAUCCGGUGAUGGCAAUGAAGAGCCCGAGCAAAACCUUGCCGUGACGGAAGGUUCCAGUGAGGUAUAUAUCAUUUCCAUUGUUUUACCCCAUCUAUAAUUUCAUAUUCAUUAUUACUAUGUACUAAUUAAUGGAUCUUGAACCAUUAGCCCUCUAGAUCAACGAACCGAAAUAAGCCCCGAGGUCUUACAAAGAUAAUGCAGGGAAGGCAUCACAUCACGGAAGUCACAGAAGAGGGCACAUCAGUUGCUCCCGAACAUGUGGCAAGAAAGUACGUGAGUCAAACCGGGCAAUGUGCCCAUCAGCAUUAGGGAAUGAAAGGGCAAUAGAAAUGAUCUAUACACGCCCCCGGAUACACAAAAGGAUAUGCUGUGGGCAAAUAUCAAGAAACACUUCACAUUUCCCAAAGGAUAUGUUGAAAAAGAUGUGAAAGCGUGGAUGCUGAAGAAGAUGGUCACCGAAUUCCAGACAUUCAAGAAGAUGUUGGAUGUCAACUUCAUCAAGAAGGGUCGAACUCCGGGUUUCGAUGAGUGGCCAAAGUUAAGGGACCACUGGGAGUCAUUUGUCAAAUACAAGACGAGUGAAGGUGGUGCGAGUAAGGUUCGCAUCAAUGUUGCCAAUGCUAGCAAGGAGUACCAUCAUCAUCUAGGGCGACGUGGUUACAGCACUGCAAUUCCCAGAUGGCGCAAGAUGGAACAAGACCUGAUCGAUCGGGGUAUCGUACCAGCAACUCCUGACUGGCCUGAUCGAUUGAAAAAUUGGUAUUAUGCUCAUGAAGGCAAUCUGAGCCAACAGGAUGCGACAUUGGUCUUCAAUAAAACAAUACGUCAGAAGGCCGGAAGGCUUAUUAGGAACAUUGAAAAUGCUAAAUCUGGGAGGUUCAAGGUGGAUAGAGAGAAUGAUGAGCUCACAUUGGCCCUUGGGACUAUCAUCUCUAGCAUUUCCAGCUCCAGGACUGUCGUCACCACCGGGACCGUCGCUUCUUGCUCGAUCACAGUCUCCAUCUCCAGCACAUCCUGGUGGUGCGAACGAUGACGACAACAACACCCCUCCCUGCCCACCAUCGCCGGGACUAAGACCCGCAUCGAGUAAGGAACCUGCAGCACCACUGAAGAAGUCGCGACCACCGCCUUCCAAGCCAAGUCAGCAAAAGAAGAAAGCAGAGAAGCCUAAGCCCACUGAGAAGCCAACAACCGAUAUGACCGAUGCGGAAAGAUGGAAGGCACUCAAAGAAGAAUGCAGGGAGUGGUUCUGUAAAAAGAACCAAAGAAAGAAAAGGAAAGCAGAUGGAGCCACCGCCAGUAGAUCCAAGAAAAUUAUAAUUUUUUAUUAAGAUGUCAAAAGGAGCCAAGAAGAUGAUUCCACAACUAUCAAACUACGACCGGGCGUUAGUCAAGGCUGAUGAGAGUUAAAAAAGGAAAGGAAAGUCAUCUUCAAGUGGUACUGUCCCCCACCUCGAGGAUCUACCAGAAAAAGACGCUAAAAAGAUAGUAGCAAUGCUCUUGGAUCAACAAACACAUAUAUCAUGAGAUUCAUGCAAGAAACAGGUAUGUGCCUUGCUGAAUGUCUAGGGCAAGUUGAUAUGCUAGCUCUAGAGCCAUUUGUACCGAAAUGGACCUUUGAGCUAGGCAAGCCUCUAGUAAGGCCUGAGCUGGUACAGAAGCUAUCCACAUAGCUAUAUGAAUACCAUGAAUGGUACAUGAAGCAGUCUGCCAAUGAGAGGAAAAUGUUCGGUCUCAGGGAAAAACUGAUAUUUUUUUUCGGCGAAGGCGAGAAAGUCUUGUGAUGGAAUUCAAGGAUAUAUAUGAAGUGUACCAUCAGGAUGCCCUUGAUGUCUCUCUCAUCAGCGCCUAGGUUAUGUAAGUGUAUGUUUAUCUAUACGUAAUUUUUGUCUCAUAUCAUUAUUUCUUUUGCGUGCGUCACCCUACUAACUUCGUCUUCCAUUUUAUGUAGGAUGCUAAUUCAGAUGUGCCGCAUAGAAGCGCACUUCCAUGUUGGCUUCAUGGAUCCAUCCCUAGUUAACCAAAAGCAGAUACGGAAGUAGCUAGAGAAAAUGUUGGAGGUGGUAUACAACUUCCUGGACAAACAAAACUAUAGAAUAGGGGCAAUAUGUGAAGGUCUUGUAGGAUUCCUAGUGGACAAGGUGAUAAAUCCAUAAGGAGAAUAUCAUUACAACGGACGAGCAUUAGACACACUGAGCAACACCUAGACGGGAGGAUCCUAGGAAUGACCUAGACAGAUUUUGGUAUAAAUAGUAAUUGUGUAAAUACUAGUUUGAUUUGUAUAGGAAUAUACUAAGAAUUGUAUAUAUAGUAAUUGUACAAAUACUAGUUUGAUUUGUAUAAAUACUAGAUUGAUUUUAUUAUAAAAAAGUUUUAAGUCGUACGUGCAUGCGCCUACAAAGGCGCGUAUGCCCUUUAAUCCCGGUUGGAAAAACAAACCGGUACUAAAGGGGCUCGUGCCGCACCUGGCAUGACCGCCCCUUUAGUCCCGGUUGAACGACCCAGGACCAAAGAUCUGCCCCGUCUCAUAAAUUUUAUCCUGGAUGCUUUUUAGAGAGAUUUGAGGCCUAUCAACCAAGACUAAUAUCGAGUUUUCUACCAGUGGAACUAACUAACGUUCACAUGCUUCUGACAUUCACCUGCCAUUUGGUGUAGACAAGGGCACCCUAACAUAUGGUUAAUAUUAUUCAUGAAAGAAAAUCCUUUGAUUCAAAAAUACUUCAAACCUAAUAAUACAAUACUUCUCACAUCUGAAAAAUAUGAGAUGGCCCGACAGUAUUCUAACCGACGCAAUAAUAUUUUGAGGGCAGCACUACUACAGCGACCCUCAUUCGUGCCGGUGCUGGAACCCCUAUCACGACCCUGAUACAAAUGAGGGUACAUUAUUGUUGCCAGUGCUAGAAUAGCCACGAAUAACUUGCUAAACAUGCUGUUACACUCACUACUAGAAAAAUAACCUCUCGUCCUGAGGCUUAGUACCGGUCACUUUUUUGCCCAGUACUAAUGUUAGUAUUAGUACCGGAUCCAAAUUUGGGAUCCCCCAGAGACCCUUUAGUACCAGGUGGAGUCUCCACCCGAUACUAAAGGCUUUGUUACCGGGUGAAGGAUCCUCCCGGUACUAAUGGGGGAUUUUUAGUACCGGGUGGGAACCCCACCCGAAACUAAAAUCUCCCAUGCGGACCCCUCCCCCCCCCACGCGUUGCCUCUGUCCUCCCUCCUCCUCCUCUGAGUAGUUAUCCCUUCCUCAUCCCUCCUCCUCCUCCCACACGUGGGGUGAGGUGAGGUGGCAGUAGCAACGACAGGUGGUGUGGCGGGUCACGGCGGGCCGGAUGCGGAGCCGCAACGGUGGUCGGCGGGAUGGGGUGGGGCAGAGCGGCAUGGCAGGGCGGAGCGGUGGGACGGGGCCGAGGUGGAGGUGCCGGGCGGAGGUGGAGUGGCAGGACAGAGGCGGAGGCGGAGCGGCGGGUCGGCGAGCGGGUGGAGGGUGGCGACGAUGGGGCGGGCAGAGGCAGAGGGGUGGGUGGAGGGGCGGCGUGGUCCACCGGCGGGGGGGGGGGGGGGAGAGGGAGGCGUGGGGGGUGCGGUUGGUGAUUUCAAUUUUCUUUUAAUUUUUUAACACCCUUCAGUACCAGUUAUUUUAACCGGGUCUAAAGGGAUCCCCUCUUGUACCGAAUUGCUAGUACAGGAUGCACAACCGGUACUAGAGGGAGGUUCCCAACCGGUACUAGAGCCACUUUCCCCGGUAGUGACUUUUUCACCGAUUAGAAUAUGUUAUUAUUCUAAUCAGCUUUUGUUGAUCUCCUGUAUAAUUUAGUACCUAAUUCUACUAGCAAUUGUUAACGCCGACACGUAUUGGGUAUAGUCCUAACAGUGUCUAACUAGGGCACUACAUUUGUUAACCUAUAACUACUGGUAUCGAUUAGCCCUGGUUAGAAUACUGUCAAGGCAGCCAGAAAAAAUUGUUUGCCAAUUCUGCUAUCCAUCAGAACCAUGACUAGUACCGUAUUGUAAUAAACGAAUUACACAAAUAACUGAUGCACACAAAGGAAUAUGCACUCGCAUGUGCUAGACGUUCGUAGCAACAACAAAUUACUCUCAUCAUCAAUUAAACAUAAUAGAUUAAACAUUAACUGAACAUAGUUCAACACGUACAUCAACAAGACAAAGCAGUUUAAACAUCAACUGAACAGAACUGAAAACAUACAUCAACUGAUGAUAAACUUCGACAUGAACACAACACAUAAACAUCAACUUCAAUAGAACUUAAUAGAGCAUAUUAAACAACAACAUCGACAAAACAUAUAAACCCAGCUCAGUAGCUCAAGCAUCAACUAAAACUGCUGAAUUAAAAUAACAUAACAUAGUGUAGUUCAUCAUGAUGAUAACUAACAGAACCGAAAAGCCUAACUGGGUAAAAGAGCAAUUCAUUCAUAAUGCUUCAGCACUUACAUCACCGGAGUAUGCAACUGGCGGCGUCGCUUACGUCACUAUCACCGCGCUUGGCGAGUAAAGGAGGAGGAGGUGGCAUAGUAAUCGAAGAGGAGGCCGCUGUCGGCGGGUUUAGACUACGUGGAGGUGUGGGUAGGGUUAAGGUGGCUCUGUGGACGAGUAUAUAUAAGAGGUCUGGGCUUGUUAGAAUAAGAUAACAUUCUAACUGGCCAAAUUCGGAUCCGGUUAGAAUAAAUUGUUCUAACCAGCCUUAAUUCGAGGUGGUAAGGAUAAGUUAACAUUCUAAUCAGCUCUAUUUGGAGCCCGAUUGAAUGUUCUUGUUAUUCAAAAAAAGAUCAAGUUCAUCAAUUUUUUUCUAGAAAAACAUCAAGAUAAUUUAAACACGAUAUAUAACAAGAUUAAUACAUUUAAAAAUUGUUUUCUCCAAUAAUUAACGAUAUUUAACAAAUUCAAAAAAAAUCCAAAUUAACAGAACAUAAUAACCAAUUGUUCGAAAAAAUCAAAAUAGUCCACACAGUAUCAUAUUACAAAUUCAGAAAAAUAUCAAAAUAAUCCCUGAUCCACUCGAUACCGUCGUAGAACUUUGAAAUACUGAGCUUCUUGAUUCAUCUGAGGUCCACGUACUCGUCUCAGUAACACUAGUGGUGGCCAUGCAUCUUGUAGAUGUCUUCUAAUGAAUUAAGCUUGACAUACAAGGUCGUGCCUUCCACUCCUUGAGGAUUGCUUAUGACGUUUCUGCAAAUAACGAAGCAUUGCUUUCUCCAACAUGAUUAUUUUCUUCGGCUUAUCCCAAGGGACAACUAUGGUUUUCCCCUUGCCGGAAGAGGAACGAUGAUCGCCCCCACCAUCGCCACUUCCUCCAGUAGCAGAAGCCAUCUAUGUACAAAAAUUCAUACCUUAGCACUACAGAACUUGUUGAACUUGAAGACUGUGAUCAUUAGGCGAGCAUGUUCUCAACUAGGUGGCACCGCACUUCGUCAUGGAAGAGCUUCGAUUUUACAAAAAAGGGGACAUGAUCUUCCAUGAUGUCCGUAUCCGCUCUUUCUCGUAGAAUCAGAGCUCCUCCUUGAUAUACGAUGCUGCUCGGCGGAGAACAUGCUCACCGAGAUGAACACGGUAUGCAAGUUCAACAAGUAUGGAUUUGAAAAACCAUAUUGAAUUUGACAAGACAAACUAUCUAGAUAAGCGUAGCAUCAUUCUUAAACCACUGCAAGGAUACGUACUAUAUAUGACACAUCAAUCUCCCUCACAUUCUAGCUCAAAAUACCUCUCCAUUUUCUACUUCACAUUCUAGCAAAUAAACUAUCUAUCUCCAUUCUACACAUCAAGUUGUUUUAACUAAUACAAAUCGUAUAUAACAAGCAAAAUAUCCAUCACAUUCUAGCUCAAAAACAUGUAUAAAUACAAAUCCUCUUCAUUCUCCCUUUUUCUAACAAACAAACUCAUUUUUCUCCCUCUCCAAAGCAUAAAUUAAAGCGUAACAUGAGGAUGAGGUAGCAAACCUUCACAACACAUUGGAUGAGUGAAAUUCCCACGAAAAUGAGGGAAAAAAAUUCGGGCAGCACCUCCCUUGCUUCGGCACCUCUAGAGAGUAGGUGAAGCUCAGUUCUCUAUUUUUGUGGUGGACUAGCUUGGGCUGGAGGAGGAAGAAAGGCCUCUGUCUUGGUAUAUAAUGGGGGAUGAGUUUUUAUCCCAGUUAAAAGCUCCAACUGAGACAAAACGGCCAAUCUUUUGUCCCGGUUGGAGCCUCCAACCGGGACAAAAGGGGCACGCCAUCGACGCACGGGAGCUAGCCGUUACAACCGGGACUAAAGGGGGGCCUUUAGUCCCGGUUGCAAAUACCAACUGGGAUUAAAUCUCCCCUCCAUUUUUGCCUACCGUGGUGCGCCCCCUUUUAUCCCGGGUCAACUUUAAACCGGGACAAAAGGGGGCGUCGAAGAUCAGUUCUCUACUAGUGACCCCUCCCCACCUAUCUCUCUCCCUCCAUGCUCCUCGAUCUGUGCCUCCCCUCCCCUCCCCUUCCACUCGCCCCUCACCGACGGUAAGGAGCAGCGGCGGGGCGAGGUGAGGUGGCAGCAGCAAUGGCAGGUGGUGGGUCGCAGCGGAGCGGCUACGGUAGGCAGCCGGACGGGGCAGAGCGGCGGGGCGGGGUGGAGGCGGAGGUGGCGGGUAGAGGCGGAGCGGCGAGGCGGAGGCGGAGGUGGAGGCGGAGUGGUGGGACGGCAGGGCCGGGCGACUAGUAUAGGUGGGCGGGCGGAGGGCGGCGACGGCGGAGCGGGCGGAGGCAGAGGGGCAGCGGGGGCCGCCGGCGGGGGGUGUGAUCGGGGAUUUCAAUUUUUUUUAAAUUUUUUAACACCUUUUAGUCCAACUGGUUCUAAAGGGACCCCUCUAGUAUCAAAAUUGCUAGUACCGGUUGCACAACCGGUACCAGAAGUGGUUCCUAACUGGUACUAGAGCCACUUUCCCUGGUAGAGACUUUUUUACCAGUUAGAAUAUGUUAUUAUUUUAAUCAGCUUUCGCUGAUCGCCAGUAUGAUUUAGUACCUAAUUUUACUGGCGAUUGUUACCGCUGACACGGAUUGGGUAUAGUCCUAACAGUGUAUAACUACGGCACUACAUUUGUUAACCUAUAACUACUUGUAUCGAUUAGCCCUGGUUAGAAUACUGUCAAGGCAGCCAGAAUUUUUUUUUUUUGCCAAUUCUGCUAUCCAUGAGAUCCAUGACUAGUACCGCAAUGUAAUGAAUGAACUGCACAAAUAACUGAUGCACACAAAAGAAUAUGCACUUGCACGCUAGACGUUCGUAACAACAAAUUACUCUCAUCACCAAUUGAACAUAAUAGAUUAAACAUUAACUGAACAGAAUUCAACACGUACAUCAACACGACAAAGCAGUUUAAACAUCAACUGAACUGAACUGAACACAUACAUCAACUGAUGAUAAUUAUCGACAUCAACAGAACACAUGAACAUCAACAUCAAUAGAACUUAAUAGAGCAUAUUAAACAACAACAUCGACAAAACAUAUAAACCCAGCUUAGUAGCUCAGGCAUCAACUAAAAUUGCUGAAUUAAAACAACACAACGUAGUGUAGUUCAUAAUGCUUCGGCGCUUACACCACUGGCGGGUCGCUUACGUCGGCAUCACCGCGCUGGCUGAACCUCCGACACCCCCACCACGGCAAACGGAGGUGAUGGCGGAAGGUGAGGCAACGACAGUAGCUGGUGAGCUCCCGCUCCAAUGUCUCGCGAGUAAAGGAGGAGGAGGUGGCAUGGGAAUCGAAGAGGACACUAGUAGAGAAACGACUUUCCAUCCACCCCCUUUUGUCCCGGUUUAAAGUUGGCCCGGGACAAAAGGUUCACCAACCGGGAUUAAAACUCGGUCACUGGUGGGGGGCUCACCAACCGGGACCUUUUAUCCCGGUUGCAAAGGCUAGUGGGAAAAAAUUACUCUGAGAGGCCUUUUAUCCCGGUUUGAAACACCAACCGGGAUAAAAGACCCCCCCUUUUAUCCCGGUUGGUAACACCAACCGAGAUAAAAGGGUCAAGAGCCUUUUAUCCCGGUUGGAAACACCAACCGGGAUAAAAGGGGGUCUUUUAUCCCGGUUGGUGUUUCCAACCGGGAUAAAAGGGUCCCCCACGAGUUAAUACAAAAGGAUAGUAUCCCCUACAUAGUCAGAUGUGGUGUGUAGGUGGGAUGGUAAGGAAGCUACGCGCGAGGCUGGAGGUUGUGGGUUCGAAUCCCACGAACCGCGCACGCGCAUAUUUCGCGUGAAAAAUCGCGUGACUUGCGACUUGCGCGUGUGGGGGGGCCUCCUGGGAGCUCGGGAAUUUUUUUUUUUUGCAGCGCCGGCCGUGGGUGAACCCUUUUAUCCCGGUUGGUAUUACCAACCGGGAUAAAAGGGGGUCUUUUGUCCCGGUUGAGUGACCCGGGAUAAAAGACCCCCCCUUUUGUCCCGGUUGGUUUAUCCCGGAUGCAUUUUCGAGAUCUUUGCACCCUACCAACCGGGAUAAUAGGUGAGUUCUCCACCAGUGGGAGGCCGCCGCUGGCGGGUUUAGACUACGUGGAUGUGUGGGUAGGGUUAAGGUGACGGUGUGGACUAGUAUAUAUAAGAUGUCUGGGCUUGUUAGAAUAAGAUAACAUUCUAACCGGCCAAAUUCGGACCCGGUUAGAUUAAAUUGAUAUUCUAACCGGUCCUAUUUCUAGGUGGUAAGAAUAAGUUAACAUUGUAAUUGGCUUUAUUUGGAACCCGAUUGAAUCUUCUUGUUAUUCAAAAAAACAUCAAGUUCAUCAAUUUUAAUCCAGGAAAACAUCAAGAUAAUUUAAGCACGAUAUAUAACAAGAUUAAUACAUUUAAAAAUUGUUUGAUUCACAAAUUAACGAUAUUUAACAAAUUCAAAAAAUCCAAAUUAACAGAACACAAUAACCAAUUGUUCGAAAAAAUCAAAAUAAUCCACACACAUUAAUAUAUUACAAAUUCAGAAAUAUAUCAAAAUAAUCCCCGAUCCACUCGAUACCGUCAUAGGACUUUUAAAUACUGAGCUUCUUGAUUCGUCUGAGGUCCACCUACUCGUCUCAGUAACACUAGUGAUGGCCAUGCAUCUUGUAGAUGUCUUCUAACGAAUCAAGCUUGACGUACAAGGUCAUGCCUUCCGCUCCUUGAGGAUAACCAUCUUUGGUGAUCUUGAAAUGGCAGACGGUGGAUGUGCCAAAGGUACGUGACGAUCCUUCUAAAUGUAUGCCACCACAACUUCCGUCUGAUCGCCAUGGGUGACACCAAGAAGAGCUACCAUGCGGCAAGGGACGAACAAUUUAUCAAUUAGUGCCGCUGUCCAUCGCCAUCAUCUAAUCCAGCCAUAUCUUGUUGUAUAUUUAAGUAUAGAAAUUAAGAUUUAAAAAUAAACAGAAUAAAUUGAGAUCGAUUAUGUAUGUAUAUCAGAACAUUAGCUUUUGGAAAAAGGGCUUCGAUGGAAGAGAGGCACGGGGCAUAGAGACAACAACGAGUGACAAUAUGUCAGAAGAAUACCCGAUCACAAUUAUUGGCACACACAGCCGAUAUUUACAGUAGUCAAUACCCCUGGUAAAUAACCACACCAUCAAGAGUAAAUAGUGACAAUAUGCAGUAUAUACACGACAUAGCCUUGGCUGCCGUGGAAGCACCAGAAGGGAGACAAAUAACAGGGACCACUACAUCAAGUAGAUAGUGACAAUAUGCAAAAGAAUACCCGCGCCUGUUAGCAUGUGUGAACUGACCACACCACGAAACGUGAUACACGGCAAGCGUACCAAGGCCUUGCUGUGCAGACUAUGCAUGGACAACACAUGGUACCUGACCGCUUUUGGCCUCAGACACAUCAAAAACUGCAUCGUUCCACGUUGUACAUCCAUUGCUAGUUUAUCUAUAUUACAUAAUAUAUUAUUAGCUAUUUGAAUAGAAUGAACCAAUUAAAAAAUUACGUUGUAUUUUAGUACCGGCUGCAGGAUGGUGUUACCAACCAGUACUAAUUGGCCUGUAGGAGUGAUGGUUAUUAGACUUGGUACUGUUGUUAGCAUCAUUAACCUAAUUGUGCGCCGUAUGAAUUUGGGGAUGCAAAGCUAGCUCUCUAUGAAUGUGAGGGAUGGAAAGCUAGUUCUCUAGUAGUAAUUAUAUAUAUGACAGUCAGGAAAUCGAACACUAUGCUGCUACGAGUCACCAUCAUUUCCUUCAUUGACAAUCUGACAUAGGUGAAGCUGCUUCAAUAAUUUCCUUCGCGCAGUCGUGGAGCUUAUUGGAUUAUCACCAGGACGGGACACGGAAAUGGCCAGCAAUGAAGCUGAUUGCCGUCUGAGGAAGACUACAUACUUACCUAUGAAAUGAAGCGAUUGCAUAGACUAAUGAAGCAUUGCAUAUUUGCAUGUGAGUGUGGCAGAUAAUUCUGCAGGACAUGAUUGCAAUCCACGCACCAUCGAGAAGACUGGGGCGAUGGGGUUGCCUCAUCAAUAAUCACGUGGAUGCAUGCAUGCAUGUUCCCUCAACCGGACAAGGGUCUGAUAUAUGGCUAUAGUAUUACUGAGCCCACAUCAAUAAUUUCCGCUGGUGUAUCGUGUGGGAAGAAUCAACAUACUACACCUCUGAGUUCUUGGAACUAACUGACGUUCACAUGCAACCUCCACAAGGUGCUGUAUGCUUUUGACAUUCACCUGCCAGUUCGUGUAGAGGACACCCUAACGUAUGGUUAAUAUUAUCCAUUUCAUGAGUAAAAUACUGUGAUUCAAAAAUACUUCAAAUCCCUUGAGACAAUACUUCUCACUUGACUAACCACUAACCAACCCCGAAACCCUAACUCAACUCCGAACCCUAACCCCUAACGGCAUAACCACUCCGUUUUGCCGGCGAGAUGGAGGAACUGGCUGGAAGGUAGAGAGGGCAGCGGUCCAGGGUUGAAAACGACGGGCGAGCGCAGUAACAUGUGGAGGAGGAAGUGCCACGUAUUCGUUCACCGCUAUUGGGCAGCGACACACGACACGCCCAAUAAGAUCUUCGCACGGUAGAAGGACGUCAUGUAUUCAAUAAUGUUAUUGGUCCCCCAUGUGCAGAAGGGCGCGCGCGUAUGGAAUAACAAGUAGGGACACUGCAACUAAUCUACUCUGCUCGUCCAGUCCCUAGCCUAUAAAUAGAUGCCAUGCUAGCUCUUGUUGUGCUCACAAUUAAUCCGAUUACACACGAGCUUCUCUCCCUGGCCAAGACACAACCAUAGUAUGAUGAAGAACAUGGCACUAGCCGGCAAUGGUAUGAAGAAGUUAAUCCUCGCUGUUCUCUUACUGUGUCUAGUUAUAGGGCAGAUACAAGUGGAAGCUAAGAGCUGCUGCCCAUCCACCACUGCAAGAAAUGUCUACAAUACCUGCCGUUUCACGGGUACAUCCCGUCCAACGUGUGCAAAACUGUCAGGCUGCAAAAUUAUCAGCGGGAACAAAUGCAAGCCCCCUAACGACCACCUCACCCUUGACCCGGACACUGGUAAAUAAUAAAUUUAUCUCACUUGAUUUCUUCGUGAUUUGAGUCGUUAAUGUAUUUUCCAUCUGAUGAAACGUAUUGGUUUUGCAUUGAAGAGGAAGUUAAUGUGCUUAACUUCUGCAAGUUGGGGUGUGCGUCGUCUGUGUGCAACAACAUCAACGCUGGUAAGCAACUUUUGCUCAGACAGAGAAAACAAUAAUCAUUAAUUAGCGGCAGCUAGAAUCCUAUAAUCUAAUAUAUAUAUAUAUAUAUAAUUUUAUCAGCUCUGGGAAAUGAAGAGGCGAACGAUGCCGUUGAGAGUUGCGACCAAGCCUGCUCUAGCUUCUGCAGCGUGCAUGUUGGCAGCGCCACCGUGGUUGCUUAAGCAAAUGCAUCCAACUAGAUCGUCCUUGUGCUGAAUAAUUGGAUAUCGUAUCCACUUAAAGCUGCCUUGUGUAGUACGUCUUUGUGUCUCUCUUUAUAUUCCAAUAAGGUCGGUGAUCUUGAUGCCACACACUCAGAUGUGUGUUCAUCUCCAGAUACUACUCCAUGCUACCUGCCCUUUGUGUUUUGUUCAAUAACUGGGUAUCAUAUCCCAGCCAGUAUGCCGUCUGUUUUGUGUUUGUUUCCUUCUAGUUCCAAAGGGGUCAUCAUGAUGUUACCUUCUUUCAAUAUGGUGCUUUGCAUGACUACUGUUGUAUGGUACCAUCUUGUGGCCAAUAAGUACAUCUUAUCCUAUGACCUUUGCUAUGACCCUUUGCAAAUAAGUAGAAGAUUGUUAUAAGCGUCAAUACUCCGUAUAAAUUGAUCGCUGCUGUGAGUUCCCUUUCAGCUUAUCGUAGGCAUACAUUAUUGCUAGCACGGUAAAGCCAACCAACACGAAUGAUGAAGUAAACGUAGCGGUACUUCUGUAUACCAACACCCUUACUUAAAUGUACCGGUGUCAUUCCCUACUGGCACAUAUAUUCUUAUAUGCUAGCCAGCUUGUAAAAUUAACCAAUUAAAAUAAUUAUUUCAAGAUAGAAAUAACUUAUCGGUUUCUGGAAGCAUGUGUAAUGUGAAUUCAAGGACUCGACGGAAGUUGAAUCACUUCAUCUAUAUUGCUUUCAGUAUUUUGGGUAACUAAAUUUAACAUUUGCACAUACAAAUGUUAAAGUACAAAUGUUAAAUCUAGUUACCCAAGCAGAAUAUGAAGAUAGUUUAUAGUAUAUAUAUACUAUAUAAAUCUAGUUAACAUUUAGUCUAAAUGUUAAAUCUAGUUACCUAAAAUCCUGAAAGCAAAAUGUAUAAAUAUAUAUCUUUUAAGGCAGUAUAAGCUUCGAUUCCUAUUGCUGCUCUGUUAAAUCUCAUCUUUCGUUGUGGCCCAACACUCUAGUAUGCAUGUUGCACCAAGCUUCUUUGAGCCGCUCUGCCCUCUGAUUUUGCUGCGUAGGGGAAUCUUUAUCAGGUUGGGCUACUUCCAGUUGUGCGAUGUAAAGAUUCGUAUUUUCUAGAAGGUAGACAAAAAACUCGCGUUCUCUUAAGGCAACAACCGGAAGAUUCUGCAGCGCACAGGGCAUACCAUUAUUGUAGAAACGACCUUUAGUACCGAUCUCCAACCCCCUUUAAAACUGGUUUUGCAACCGGUACCGUUAUGUCGGUCCUUUAGUACCAGAUCAAAUAAGUACCGGUUGGUAACCAGUAUCAACUUGUUUUGCGGCCAAAAAAAUAAAGAAAAAAACAGUCAGAAGGCUCGCGCACACGCGCAUCACAUGAAAUAUGCGUGUGCGGGGUCCAUGGGAUUCGAACCCAUGAAAUCAAGCUGCGCGCGACCCUUCGUUACCAUCUCACCUACAUAGCGCAUAUGCUUUCCUGAAGUAACCCGUGGAGGAGGCUUUAGUACCGGGUCAUAACACCACCCGGUACUAAAAAUGACUCUUCAGUACCGGGUCAUAACACCACCCGAUACUAGUAUCGGAUGGUGUAAUGACCCGAUACUAAAAGGCCUCUAGGGACCCUCAAAUUUGAACCCGGUACUAAUGCUAAUAUUAGUAGCGGGUCAAAGUGCAGCCAGAACUAAAGCAUGGGAUGAAAGGUCAUAUUUCUAGUAGUGUAUAGUUGUUGUGAAGGACUGACUUGGCUGUCCUCUCUCUUCUCCAUCCCCUUGGUCUUACGCCGCCGCUCGCACGCGAGCCGGUGCCCAACCAGAGGAGUGAGAGCUAGGGGCAGGUUGGGAGGUGGGGAUAGUGACUGGUGGCCAGGGUGAUGGUUGAUCCUGGUGGGGUUAGGGUUUUAGGGUUUUCGAGCUUCCUAUGGUCGGCGAACCUAGAGGAGGAGCUCAACAUCAGCUGCAACCCGCGAUGGUGGUGGUUUGGCCGGCGCCCGAGGCGAGGCAGCGCGGGAGUGCUGCCGGUGGGUUGGUGUUGGCACUCAUUAUUGACAACUAUUUUGUUCAUAAAAUAACACUCAAACUUGCUGCUGCUGCUGCUGCUGCCAUCGCCACCCUAGCCAUAAUAUAAAGGCAAAAUUUGCUAAAGGACAUGCAAAAUGAUGCUAGUUUGCUGGCGGGCAUCGUUGACCUUGUAAUAUGCUACAAGACACUCUAGUUGUGUAUCAAUUUGCUGAAAGACAUUGCUAUGACUAAAAUAAUGUUUCUGGACUGAGUUGGAGAGAGAGAUGGAGUGAAAUGUCUGUUUUGCCCAUGACCCCACUGGUCAGAUCCUUCUUCUUCCACCCUCCUUUGUUCUUUCUUCAACCAUUACCCAGCUCCAGCGUGUUGCAGAUCUACGAGGGUGGCGGCCUGGGGCGAGGGGCAUCGCUCGCCCUUGGAGGAGCGCUGCGAGCGACGGCGCGGGGGCGGCAACAGCGCGUCAGAACCUGACUGUUCGUUAGCUCCUCUCGCUGCUGGGGAAGGAGGGGGAUGGGCCAUGGACGGGGUUCCCUUGAAAACCUCAGCGUCGAGCUCGGGCGGCUACGCGCAGGCAGCACUAGGCUGCUUCACGGGGAGGGGGCGCGGCCAAUCAUUGGCACCCCACUGGUCCAAUGCUGAUGAAGAUGGUGCCAGCGUCGUGUGAGGACAUCUCAUCUCCUCGAGUUCCAUGGCCAGCACAGGUGAGCUGCCGCUACCACAAAACAGAGGUUUCGUGAGAGUCAAAAAACCUUAUGAAAAUAGCUAAAACCAUCAUGAAAAUAAUCCGUGACAUGACACUCUCACGAAAAUCCUCUCACAAAUAUGGUGCCAUGAAAAUACCAUUUUCAUGAGAGUGAACUGUCAUGAUUUUAUUUCGUGAGAGUAUUUCCUAUCAAUGACCUCCACGAAAUACUUUGUGCCACCAGGUCUUCAAGAUCAUUUUCAUGAGAGCUGAACAUCAGGAAAAGUCCGCCACAAAUGUUUUUCUUGGAGCCCCUAACUCUCAUGAAAAUCAUGCGGGCCGCCACGAAAAACAGCAUGACCAAAUGACAAAUUUCAUUUUCAUGUGUUCAUACCGCCAUGAAAAUGGUCAUUUUCAUGAGAGUUGAUGAAACAAAAAAUAGUGCCAUUUUCAUGAGAGUUCAAGCAACCAGGAAAAGACACUAAUAAACAUCCAGAUCCCAUCCAGCACACAUCCAUGCACAUAUAUAACCCACAUAUUGCUCCAGCACACAUCCAUGCAUAUACAAGAUCCAAAUGUUAAUAUAGUAGACAUCCAUGCCUGAACUAGUCUGCCACACAAGUCAUUGAUGCUACAAAUCCUACAAUCGCAGCAUGUGCAUACAAGUCACAGAAUGAGACAAUGUACCCAAAACUAAAAGGUUAGCAUCAACUGUGCUUCAACCAAAGUUGUCAUCCCAACUCUCCUCUUCAUCCAUGCCAUUCUUGUCGUGGCCGUCACUGUCAGUCCCCAUGGCAUUGCCAAUGCUGUGCAUGUCUUGGUAGGAACCUACAUGUGAUGAACUAGUAACCUGCAAAAAGAGCUCAAAGGAUCUUGUUCUCAUAUUGUAGCUGUGAAAUUCUUACAAGUAGUGUUGCAAUCAGUUCACUUUGAACCAAAAGAGCUCAAAGGAUCUUGUCCUAAAAGUUCCUCAUAAAGCUUAUGGGUUUGCUGGUGGAACUGGAAGGGCUUGAUGCAGCAGAUGCCAUUCUGCAAUAGAGAAAAAUUUAGAGAGCAGUACUAGUUAAAAUUGGAUGCAGAAGAUACACAUGAAACUAGUAUUUAUACAAGUCUAUACAAUUAAAAUCUAAGGAGACUUAUCAUCGUUUUCAUGUGUUGUGAAUUAAAAUAAUGAAGGAUACACUGUUAGGUGAAAAUUCAAGAAACAAAAUUUUGCAUAGAGAUAAAGGUCCAACAUUAUUACAAGUUAAGGUAGUUUUAAAUAUCCUUGUAAUCUUCCUUUGGUUUCCUCAACGAUUCGAAGACAAUAACCUUGCUUCUAUCAAUGAUAAUUAUAAGGAGAAUCCAGUGGAAACUGUGUAUUCGUAUUAGAACUACCUAAGGUUAAUUAGGUUAGGAAAGGAAAUUGAAAAUAGAUGGUACCCACACUUACUUAAAGUUGUCGGGCAAUAGUAUGUAAUGCUUGUAAUUCCGUUGCUCCAAGAAUUUGUAUAUGUGGUCCAAUGUAGACUUUGGUUGAUCCCGUAUCUGCUGUUGGUUAAAUAAGUGUUUCUAGCCAUUUCUAGCCAUUAGAACCGGGACUAAAGGGGGCUCUUUAGUACGGGUUGAUAUUACUAACCGGGAUUAAAGAGCCCCCAUUAGAGUUGGUUUUUGGAUGCGGAACUAACAACUCCUUUAGUCCUGAGUACGAAAACAACUGACAUAUUUGUUGCUGGAUGGAAGGUCCUUUCUCUACCGUGAAUAUUGCCAGAAAGAAUUGAAAGAGACUGCUUGCUAAAAAUAUGUCAUAGAUGUAGACCAAGCUACCAAGGAGGUAGACCAAACAUGAUACACACCAUGCGUACCUUGCUGUGCAGACUAUGCAUUGACAAGAUACCCGACCACAUGUUGGCCUCGGUCACAUCAAAAGAAUCAUGUAGGCCACCAAUAAACUACUUGAAGCGGCAUUCCGUAUCGUAUAUGCAUUGCCGGUUCAUCUGCAUUACAUUACAUAAAGCACUAUUAACUAUUUGAAUAAAAUGAACCAAUUUAAAAGUAAUGUGUUGUACUCUACUAUAGAAAGCCCUAUCACUGCCGGAUCCAAAAACAUCAUUGUUAAUGGUGGUUAAGUACCAAAUAUGACGGUCAAUAUUCUCAAGAAUAAUGGAGAAUUAGCAUUUCUUAGACACAUAUUUGGUUUUGAACAAUGUAGUUCCACAUGUCUUUGGAGAUUAUUUGGGUGUGGGUGAAAUAAUACAAAAAUAAGGAGAAAACACACUCCCAUGGCGAAGAAACACAACUCCAACCAAUGAGAGAUAGCCACAGGGGCAGCACACGGAUCCAUGGGCCCACUAACCGCAUCAAACCAUCUUACCAAGGCAGGUAGCACCCACAACCGUCAUUAGGACCCACCUGGAAGUCUACCAAGAAGAAGGUUGCGAGUGGGGCCAGGAGGGGUUCGGUUGAAUCAUCUCUAGCUAGCUCCCCUCAUCCCCAGCUGGUGGGUGGUGGUGGUUGAUGGUGUCCCUACAUCAGUUAGAGGAGAUUCCCCCAAAUAUUCCUCCUGUAAACCACCUCUAUGGACCUAUACAUAGAGGGGUGUGCUCUCCAUUCCAACACACACCACAAGUUGAAUCACUCUCUCCCUCUUUAGUUUCCAAGUUUAUGGAGUUAGGCUAGAGUAGCUCUGCUCAAGGUUCCAAGUCCACUUGGAGUUAAGCAUAUGUCUCUUGUAUCGUUAUUUCCUAAAUUGACUUUAUGCUUAGUUCUUAUAUGCAUGAGUUAGUCUAAUACCCUUGCUAUAUUGAUAUGCUCGGCUUAUAUGCUCGUAUGCUAGUCAUAUACCCUUGCUGUCGUAGUAUAGGCUUAUAUGCUCUCAUGUGUGCCUGUAGACCUUGCUAUAGUAUAUACUUGUUGUGCAUACAUACCAUGUAUAGGCUAGUCGAUCUAUACCAUGGCAUUGGUUCAAUAGCCAUGUUUUUGGUGGCUCCAACCCUAGUCACAAUAGCUCGGGACAGCUGGAGUGUUGUUAAAAAUGCAAGAGUGGUGCUUGGGUUGUUUAGCAUCGUUGGAUAUGGGUUUGCCCCACGGGUUUCUAACGGUAGGCGGCAGCUAGUGACAUCCCUGUCCGUCCUUCGUAAUCCCCCCACAUUCAGGUACGCCAUAAAUGUUCGUAAAUUAGCAGUAACUACGCCGGUACACCUGUAGGGUAUUGUCUCCCUGUAGUACCUUGGUGCAUAGAACUAAGUCCUAUACACUGUGUGUGUAUGUUUACGCUGAUAUGAUCUGUGCAGUAUAUAGGAUGUAUAUAUGAACCUAGAGCUAACUCCUAGUCCGUUCUCCAUAGCUUAGUUAUCUUGAGAUGAUUCUUCUGUAUGUGUAACACUACCCAUCUUAUCAUUAUCCUUGAUCCUGUCUUGUGUAAUAUAUCUACUCAUCCUAUGAUAUACUCAUAUGCAUAGUAAACUAUUUUGACCUACCCGCCUUCCUUUGGGAAAUAUGAUACCUUGGAAUAAUCCUAGGUGAAAUCCUACAACGGUAUAUCCAUGUAAAUGCGGAUUUAUUCAUGACCAUUAAAUAUACCAACAAUCAUCACUGUGAGUUUUGGGCGUCGUUAGUGAAGGGUUGGUAGUGAUGGGCAUCCCCUUCACCAAUGGACCUGGAACCGGCGGUGAUGGCUAUUAUAAAAAAGGGGACACCACCCAGCGUACCCCACGACCCGGCCGGCCGCACCUCCCAUCAUCCCCGCCAGCCGCCCUUCCUUUUCGCCGGCCGAGCAUGGUCCCGGCCUUUGUCCCUACCACCUCGCCUCCACCGCGACCCCCCGCCGAUGCCCUCGUGCCUGGCCCCCCUCAUCUUGCCGGCCACCCUCCCGAUGCGUCCACUGGGGCCCUCGCACCACCAACCGCCCUUGCUUAGAGAGGGAGAGAGAGGAGGGAGGUGAGGCCACGCACCUCGUCCUACACCGCCGCUGUUUCUCCUCGGCCCACCGCGCCUCACCCCACACCACAGCCGCGCCUUGCCAUCUUACCGGCUGUGACGCCUCAUCUCACCGGCCACCGUUCCUCACCCCCACUUCGGUCGUCGCCGCUCCUUGCCCUACCGCUGCUCUUUGCCGCUGCGAAUGAGCGCCGAGUGGAGGAGGAGGGAUGGGGCAGGAGGAGGGCAAGAUCCGGGAGGAAGGGAGAGAUCUCGGGAGGUGGAGAUGGAAGGAUAUGGCGGAAGGGAGAGAUCCAGAGGGAGAGAGCAGGGGAGAGAGGGGGGCGUGUGGGGAGAGAGCGCGUGUGGGGUGGGGCCGGGCUGGUGGGAUGGAAGGGAGAGGGGCUAGACGGGCGCAGUGCAUUCAACUGGAUGAAGUAAAUAUUUUGGAUUCGAGACCCCAGCUUUAUUAUCACCGCUGGUCCGUAGUACCAUCCGGUGCCUGCUCGUAAUUUAAUUUGAAUCUGCGGUGAUGUUUUAUUAUCACCAUCGGAUCAUAUAAAAAUCCGGCGGUUAAAAAUCCGCUGGUUUCGAUGAAAACCGACGGUGAUAGGAUGACUGUGAUAGUCUCUUCUCUAGUAGUGGUAUAUUAGUACCGGCUGCCGGAUGGUGUUGCCGACCAGUACUUCUCCGGGGGCGAUUCAGUACUGCUGUUAGCAAAGCUUGUUCUCUAUGAAUUUGGGGAUGGAAAGCUAGUUCUCUAGUUGUGAUUUGUUACAUAUAUAUCUAUGAUAGUCUAGAAAUUGCAUGUCCUUCGUUGACAUAGUUGAAGCUGCUUCAAGAAUUUACUUCGUGCAGUCGUGCAGCAUAUUGGAUUAUCACCUAGACAGGAUACAUAGGUGAAGCAUUGGAUGUGAUUGUGGCCGAUAAUUAUGCAGGACGCUGUUGCAAUCAACCACCAAGAAGUCUGGAGUGAUGGGGUUGCCUCAUCAAUAAUUUUUAUAUAUGGCUGCAGUAUUAUUAAGCCCACGUCAAUAAUUUUUUGUCCGCACCAUAUAUCGAUGGGGUUGCCUCAUCAAUAAUUCGCGCAACCAGACAAGCUGCAGACUCAAUAUGGUACGAAGCUAGUUGCUCAGCCCACAUGCUCUGAUAUAACAUUGACAUCUGCUGAUCUACAGUAUAUAUGACCAGAAAUAUUGUGCCCACCUCAAUAACUUUCUGAAGUAUCGUGGGGAAGAACCUACGCGUACUAUGCCUCGGAACUAACUGACAUAUCGGCCCAGGCGGUCUAGGCCGAUUGGACUGGCUCUUCCUUGUGGCUUCUCACAUCCCCUUCGUCCCCAAGUAAUUUCAGGUGUUCUGUAGUUUUCUUUUCACUUGCAUCUGAGCCUCCUAUAUCAAUAGCUUCGGGAUAAGAAUGCCUCUUGAUAACCUUCCAAAUCCUCGCUUGAUUCACAUUGAUUCCGAAAUCAUCUUGCCAUAUCUUCAGAGACUUAGGUCCUAAGGCAUCAUGGAGGAUUGCUCGCCAAGAAUGAGCACCAUUGGGCUCCUGAGGACCCUAGGCCGAUCAGCCCGGGCUCUAUAGGUCGAUUGGCCCAGGCCCUCUCUGGGCCUGUUGGCCUUCAUCUUUCUUUGAGUCGACGCUUAUUCAGGGCUUUGUCCAAUUAUAGUCCAUUAUAGUCUAAUUUCCUAAAAAACAGAAUGUCCUCCAAAAUACAAUGCAUAUGUGAAAACAACCCAAUUAUUAGGUAUGAUCAAUAGUUUAGGUAUUAAAUUAAUAUUAUUAUUUAAGAUAAACAGGGGUAAAGGGUGUCAUUAAUAACAAGCGCCAACAAGCGUCCUAGCUGUUCAAUAAAUUUUUUCUAGUACCGAUUGGUAACACUAACCGGUGCUAAUAUGUACCCUUUAUUACCGGUUAUUUUACCAGGUACUAAAGGAGACAAGAGCAUCCUAACAUAAGGUUAAUAUCAUCCAUUUCAUGAGUAAAAUACUAUGAUUCAAAAAUAAUUCAAAUCCCUUAAGACAAUACCUAUCAAAUGAGUAAAUUGUAAAUAGAGUAAUCUUGAUCAAACAAUGUCCUAAUGAAACGGAACACUUCUGGUUCGUGUAGAGCACAAUAUAGAAAACAGUAGGGUAGCUGUAUGAUUGACACGUGGUCCAUUAAUUAUUGAGCCAACACUAUGGACAUGUCUUCAUGAGUAGUGUACUAGUCAUAAUACAUGGUAUGCAGUAGGUGGAGGUAUUGACUUAGCCAUGCUAUGAGCACUUAGUUACAACAAACACUUUGCCAUUAUCGAGCAUCCCAAAUCACUACAAAAUCCAUAGUUUACCAUAUACUACAAAAUCUGAGUUAAAAUAAGAGCAUACACGGAAGAGUCCGAAUGCACGGCACAUUGAAUUACUAGACAAAAUUUAUGGGACAAGGUUUUGGGUAACCGCAUGAAAAAUAUUGGAUUUUACUGAACACUUAGUUACAAUUACCAUGCCCGUGAGCACUUAGUCACCACAAACAUUUAACCACUUUAGAUCAUCCUGAAUCCCUAUAAAUUCUAUACCUUACACCGUACCAUGAAAACGACAAGAACAGAGACAGAUGCGGUGAAAAUCUCCAGAGCAAGCCUGAAAUUAAAAUAAGAGGAGGCAGUCACUAUCGACAGGACACGGAGAUUGCUAGCCAUGACAGAGGAAGACAUGAUAUGAUAUUCACCUCUGAAAUGCAGCGUAGACUAAAUGAAGCACAAUUGCAAGUGAGUGUGGCAGAUAAUGGACCAUCGAGACCAUCGAAUGGUAUGAAGCAUGAUUAUCACCUAGACAUGAUAUCCUAGACAGGACGGUGAAUUGUAAAAAGAGUAAUCUUGAUCAAAGAAUGUCCUAAUGAAACGGAACAUUUUUGGUACGUGUAGAGCAAAAUAUAGAAAACAGUAGAGUAGUUGUACGAUUGAAACUGCAUCCAUCGACGUGGUGCAUGAAUUGUUGAGCCAACACUGUGGACAUGUCUUCAUGAACACCAUCUAGUGAGGACAGCAUGCAGAAAAAUAUAAAAACAUGUCAUAGGGAGGCAGACCAAUCUUGCGAGGUAGACGAAACGUGAUACACGAUCUGCCUACCUUGUCGUGUGGAUACCCCAAGUGAAGAUGUCAUAGAGGUGCAGACCAAGCUAGCAAGGAGGUAGAUGAAACGUGAUACACGGCCUGCCUACCUUGCCGUGGAUAUUAGUCCUGAUAUCAUUCUAUUGUUCAAGGAAUAACACUCAAUGCUGCUGCUGCUGCUGACCUGGCUCCAUAAAGUUAUAUUCCUCUAGCCGCUUGCACUAACUUUAUCUGAAGUAUUAUUCUCUCUGCACUGUAUAUAUGGUUACGGAGUUUGCUGGAGUAUCCGGGGGGAAGAACCUACAUAAUAUGUCUUGGAACUAACUGACAUUGAUUCACAGACAAGGUGCUGUUGUUGACAUGGUACAGUAAAUAAUAUAGUUUACCAUAUACCGUAUACCAUUAUAUGUUAGCUAAAAUAAGAGCAUAACAUGUCGCAGGAGUCCAAAAGCACCGGUUGAGGACCAGGUACAUUAAAUUACUAGAAAACAAAAGGGGACAAGGUUUAGGUAGCCACAUGAAAAACAUUUGAAUUUACUGUACCAUGAACACUUAGUUACCAUGCCGGGAGCACCUAGUUAACACUAACAUUUAGCCACUUUAGAUCAUCCCGAAACACCAAUGACCCUCAAUAGCGACAAAUUUUGGUUUAAAUGCCGUCACCAAUGAUCCUCAAUAGUGACGUGUUUAGGUUUAAAUCCCAUCACUAAUAACCCUUGGUAGUGACGUGUUUUGGUUUAAAUCUCAUCACCACUGAUCCUCACUAGUGACGUGUUUUUAGCAACACACGUUAUGAAUGACUUGUCAUUGGUGACAUGUUAAACGCGUUAUCUCAAUGGCAAAUCAAUGGUGACGUGUUUAAAAAAACAUGUCACUGUGAGAGUUAUUGGUGAAGGGUAAUUAAAAUGCAUCACUAAUUUUGUAGCAUUAGUUAUGAUAUAAUUUUGUAACGCAAAAAUCUACCAUAGUAAUGAGGUUUAGAGCCAUCACUAAUGUGGGUUUCUUAUCGUAGUGAUGCAAGCUCUACAAGGUGCUGUUGUUGCCAUUUUAAAGCAUCCCAAAUGACUACAAGAGUCCGGUUGAGGACUAAACAAAUUGAAUUACUAGAACCAAAUGUAUGUCCAGAACAAAGAAAGGGGUCAAGGUUUGGGUAACCGCAUUAAAAACAUUGAAUUUUACUGUACCAUGAACACUUAGUUACCAUUACCAUGCCUUGAGCACCUAGUUACCACAAACAUUAAUUUAGCCACUUUAGAGGUUCCACAAUCACUAUAAAUAAUAUACCAACACCGUACCAUGAAAACAUCAAGAAGAGAGACGGGUACAUGGACCACCAUCAAGUGAGUAGUGACAGCACGCACAAGAAUACCCGGAACCUUUUAGCUUGUCUGUAGUGAUCUGUUUUCUUCGCCACAAAUAAUGAAAGAGGCUGACCAAGCUAGCAACGAGGUAGAGCAAACGUGAUACACGUAGGUUUCAUUCAAGACAUCCAUGUAAGAUUCAUUCAAAACAUUCAUGGAAAUUUCUUGUAAGUUUUCAUGUAAAUUUCAUUCAAGACAUUUGUUAGAGGUGUUGUAUAUACACUUAACGUACAUAUAUCUAUGAUUUCAUGGUUGUUAGUGAUGGCAGAUGAGGAGCAUGCAAGGUGUUUAAUGGAGCAGAUUAUUGCUAGUGGUAGUGGCUCCAACCUGCCCGUAACGUACACCGACGAAGAGGGCAGCCAGGCGGACAUGUUCCUCAACAUGUCCGGUGAUGGCAAUGAAGAGCCCGAGCAAAACCUUGCCGUGACGGAAGGUUCCAUCGAGGUAUAUAUCAUUUCCAUUAUUUUACCCCAUCUAUAAUUUCAUAUUCAUUAUUACUAUGUGCUAAUUAAUGAAUCUUGAACCGUUAGUCCUCUAGAUCAACGAACCGAAAUAAGCCCCGAGGUCUUACAAAGAUAAUGCAGGGAAGGCUUCACAUCAUGGAAGUCACAGAAGAGGGCACAUCGGUUGCUCCCGAACAUGUGGCAAGAAAGUACGUGAGUCAAACCGGGGCAAUCGUAAGGGACAACAUGCCCAUCAGCAUCAGGGAAUGAAAGAGCAAUAGAAAUGAUCUAUACGCACCCCCGGAUACACAAAAGGAUAUGUUGUGGGCAAAUAUCAAGAAACACUUCACAUUUCCCAAAGGAUAUGUUGAAAAAUAUGUGAAAGCGUGGAUGUUGAAGAAGAUGGCCACCCAAUUCCAGACAUUCAAGAAGAUGUUGGAUGCCAACUUCAUCAAGAAGGGUCGAACUCCGGGUUUCAAUGAGUGGCCAAAGUUAAGGGACCACUGGGAGUCGUUUGUCGAAUACAAGACGAGCGAAGGUGGUGCGAGUAAGGUUCACAUCAAUGUUGCCAAUGCUAGCAAGGAGUACCAUCAUCAUCUAGGGCGACGUGGUUACAGCUCUGCAAUUCCCAGAUGGCGCAAGAUGGAACAAGACCUGAUCGAUCGGGGUAUCGUACCAGCAACUCUUGACUGGAUCGAUUGAAAAAUUGGUAUUAUGCUCAUGAAGGCAAUCUGAGCCAAGAGGAUCCGACAUUGGUCUUCAAUAAAACAAUACGUCAGAAGGUCGGAAGGCUUAUUAGGAACAUUGAAGAUGCUAAAGCUGGGAGGUUCAAGGUGGAUAGAGAGAAUGAUGAACUCACAUUGGCCCUCGGGACUGUCAUCUCUAGCACUUCCAGCUCCAGGACUAUCGUCACCACCGGGACCGUCGCUUCCUGCUCGAUCACAGUCUCCAUCUCCAGCACAUCCUGGUGGUGCGAGCGACGACGACAACAACACCCCUCCCUGCCCACCAUUGCCGGGACUAAGACCCGCAUUGAGUAAGGAACCUGCAACACCACUGAAGAAGUCGCGACCACCACCUUCAAGGCAAGUCAGCAAAAGAAGAAAGCAGAGAAGCCUAAACCCACUGAGAAGCCAGCGACUGAUAUGACCGAUGCGGAAAGAUGGAAGGCACUCAAAGAAGAAUGCAGGGAGUGGUUCAGCGAAGGCGAAGGUGAGAAAGUCGUAUGAAUCGAAUUCAAGGAUAUAUAUGAAGUGAACCAUCAGGAUGCCCUUGAUGUCUCUCUCAUCAGCGCCUAGGUUCUGUAAGUGUAUGUUUAUCUAUAAGUAAAUUUUGGCUCAUAUCAUUAUUUUUUUUGCGUGCGUCACCCUACUAACUUCGUCUUCCAUUUUAUGUAGGAUGCUAAUUCAGACGUGCCGCAUAGAAGCGUACUUCCAUGUUGGAUUCAUGGAUCCAUCCCUAGUUAACCAAAAGCCGAUACGGAAGUAGCUAGAGAAAACGUUGGAGGUGGUGUACAACCUCCUGGACAAACUAAACUACAGAAUAGGGGCAAUAUGUGAGGGUCUUGUAGGAUUCCUAGUGGACGAGGUGAUAAAUCCAUAAGGAGAAUAUCAUUCCAACGGACGAGCAUUAGACACACUGAGCAACACCUAGAUGGGAGGAUCCUAGGAAUGACCUCGACAGAUUUUGGUAUAAAUAGUAAUUGUGUAAAUACUAGUUUGAUUUGUAUAGGAAUAUACUAAGAAUUGUAUAUAUAGUAAUUGUACAAAUACUAGUUUGAUUUGUAUGAAUACUAGAUUGAUUUUAUUAUAAAAAAGUUUUAAGUCGUACGUGCAUGCGCCUACAAAGGCGCGGAUGCCUUUUAAUCCCAGUCGGAAAAACAAACUGGUACUAAAGGGGCUCGUGCCGCACCUGGCAUGACCACCCCUUUAGUCCCGGUUGAACGACCCAGGACUAAAGAUCUCCGCGUCUCAAAAAUUUUAUCUCGGAUGCUUUUUAGAGAGAUUUGAGGCCUAUCAACCAAGACUAAUAUCGAGUUUUCUACCAGUGAAACUAACUAACGUUCACAUGGUUUUGACAUUCACCUGCCAUUUGGUGUAGACAAGGGCACCCUAACAUAUGGUUAAUAUUAUUCUUGAAAGAAAAUCCUUUGAUUCAAAAUACUUCAAACCUAAUAAUACAAUACUUCUCACAUCUGAAAAAUAUGAGACGGCCCGACAGUAUUCUAAUCGACGCAAUAAUAUUUUGAGGGCAGCACUACUACAGCGACCCUCAUUCGUGCCGGUGCUGGGACUCCUAUCACGACCCUGAUACAAAUGAGGGUACAUUAUUGGUGCCAGUGCUAGAACAGCCACGAAUAACUUGCUAAACGUGCUGUUACACUCACUACAGGGACCAAGAAGGUAGAUAAAUUACACGACAUAGCCUUGGUUGCCGUGGAAGCGCCAAGAAGGGAGACAAAUUACAGGGACCACACCAUCAAGUAGAUAGUGACAAUAUGCAAAAGAAUACCCGCGCCUGUUAGCAUGUGAACUGACCACACCACGAAACGUGAUACACGGCAAGCGUACCAAGGCCUUGCUGUGCAGACUAUGCAUGGACAACACAUGGUACCUGACCGCUUUUGGCCUCAGACACAUCGAAAAACUGCAUCGUUCCACGUUGUACAUCCAUUGCUAGUUUAUCUAUAUUACAUAAUAUAUUAUUAGCUAUUUGAAUAGAAUGAACCAAUUAAAAAAUUGCGUUGUAUUUUUAGUACCGGCUGCAGGAUGGUGUUACCAACCAGUACUAAUUGGCCUGUAGGAGUGAUGGUUAUUAGACUUGGUACUGUUGUUAGCAUCAUUAACCUAAUUGUGCGCCGUAUGAAUUUGGGGAUGCAAAGCUAGCUCUCUAUGAAUGUGAGGGAUGGAAAGCUAGUUCUCUAGUAGUAAUUAUAUAUAUGACAGUCAAGAAAUCGAACACUAUGCUGCUACGAGUCACCAUCAUUUCCUUCAUUGACAAUCUGACAUAGGUGAAGCUGCUUCAAUAAUUUCCUUCGCGCAGUCGUGGAGCUUAUUGGAUUAUCACCAGGACGGGACACGGAAAUGGCCAGCAAUGAAGCUGAUUGCCGUCUGAGGAAGACUACAUACUUACCUAUGAAAUGAAGCGAUUGCAUAGACUAAUGAAGCAUUGCAUAUUUGCAUGUGAGUGUGGCAGAUAAUUCUGCAGGACAUGAUUGCAAUCCACGCACCAUCGAGAAGACUGGGGCGAUGGGGUUGCCUCAUCAAUAAUCACGUGGAUGCAUGCAUGCAUGUUCCCGCAACCGGACAAGGGUCUGAUAUAUGGCUAUAGUAUUACUGAGCCCACAUCAAUAAUUUCCACUGGUGUAUCGUGUGGGAAGAAUCAACAUACUACACCUCGAGUUCUUGGAACUAACUGACGUUCACAUGCAACCUCCACAAGGUGCUGUAUGCUUUUGACAUUCACCUGCCAGUUCGUGUAGAGAAGGACACCCUAACGUAUAGUUAAUAUUAUCCAUUUCAUGAGUAAAAUACUGUGAUUCAAAAAUACUUCAAAUCCCUUGAGACAAUACUUCUCACUUGACUAACCACUAACCAACCCCGAAACCCUAACUCAACUCCGAACCCUAACCCCUAACGGCAUAACCACUCCGUUUUGCCGGCGAGAUGGAGGAACUGGCUGGAAGGUAGAGAGGGCAGCGGUCCAGGGUUGAAAACGACGGGCGAGCGCAGUAACAUGUGGAGGAGGAAGUGCCACGUAUUCGUUCACCGCUAUUGGGCAGCGACACACGACACGCCCAAUAAGAUCUUCGCACGGUAGAAGGACGUCAUGUAUUCAAUAAUGUUAUUGGUCCCCCAUGUGCAGAAGGGCGCGCGCGUAUGGAAUAACAAGUAGGGACACUGCAACUAAUCUACUCUGCUCGUCCAGUCCCUAGCCUAUAAAUAGAUGCCAUGCUAGCUCUUGUUGUGCUCACAAUUAAUCCGAUUACACACGAGCUUCUCUCCCUGGCCAAGACACAACCAUAGUAUGAUGAAGAACAUGGCACUAGCCGGCAAUGGUAUGAAGAAGUUAAUCCUCGCUGUUCUCUUACUGUGUCUAGUUAUAGGGCAGAUACAAGUGGAAGCUAAGAGCUGCUGCCCAUCCACCACUGCAAGAAAUGUCUACAAUACCUGCCGUUUCACGGGUACAUCCCGUCCAACGUGUGCAAAACUGUCAGGCUGCAAAAUUAUCAGCGGGAACAAAUGCAAGCCCCCUAACGACCACCUCACCCUUGACCCGGACACUGGUAAAUAAUAAAUUUAUCUCACUUGAUUUCUUCGUGAUUUGAGUCGUUAAUGUAUUUUCCAUCUGAUGAAACGUAUUGGUUUUGCAUUGAAGAGGAAGUUAAUGUGCUUAACUUCUGCAAGUUGGGGUGUGCGUCGUCUGUGUGCAACAACAUCAACGCUGGUAAGCAACUUUUGCUCAGACAGAGAAAACAAUAAUCAUUAAUUAGCGGCAGCUAGAAUCCUAUAAUCUAAUAUAUAUAUAUAUAUAUAAUUUUAUCAGCUCUGGGAAAUGAAGAGGCGAACGAUGCCGUUGAGAGUUGCGACCAAGCCUGCUCUAGCUUCUGCAGCGUGCAUGUUGGCAGCGCCACCGUGGUUGCUUAAGCAAAUGCAUCCAACUAGAUCGUCCUUGUGCUGAAUAAUUGGAUAUCGUAUCCACUUAAAGCUGCCUUGUGUAGUACGUCUUUGUGUCUCUCUUUAUAUUCCAAUAAGGUCGGUGAUCUUGAUGCCACACACUCAGAUGUGUGUUCAUCUCCAGAUACUACUCCAUGCUACCUGCCCUUUGUGUUUUGUUCAAUAACUGGGUAUCAUAUCCCAGCCAGUAUGCCGUCUGUUUUGUGUUUGUUUCCUUCUAGUUCCAAAGGGGUCAUCAUGAUGUUACCUUCUUUCAAUAUGGUGCUUUGCAUGACUACUGUUGUAUGGUACCAUCUUGUGGCCAAUAAGUACAUCUUAUCCUAUGACCUUUGCUAUGACCCUUUGCAAAUAAGUAGAAGAUUGUUAUAAGCGUCAAUACUCCGUAUAAAUUGAUCGCUGCUGUGAGUUCCCUUUCAGCUUAUCGUAGGCAUACAUUAUUGCUAGCACGGUAAAGCCAACCAACACGAAUGAUGAAGUAAACGUAGCGGUACUUCUGUAUACCAACACCCUUACUUAAAUGUACCGGUGUCAUUCCCUACUGGCACAUAUAUUCUUAUAUGCUAGCCAGCUUGUAAAAUUAACCAAUUAAAAUAAUUAUUUCAAGAUAGAAAUAACUUAUCGGUUUCUGGAAGCAUGUGUAAUGUGAAUUCAAGGACUCGACGGAAGUUGAAUCACUUCAUCUAUAUUGCUUUCAGUAUUUUGGGUAACUAAAUUUAACAUUUGCACAUACAAAUGUUAAAGUACAAAUGUUAAAUCUAGUUACCCAAGCAGAAUAUGAAGAUAGUUUAUAGUAUAUAUAUACUAUAUAAAUCUAGUUAACAUUUAGUCUAAAUGUUAAAUCUAGUUACCUAAAAUCCUGAAAGCAAAAUGUAUAAAUAUAUAUCUUUUAAGGCAGUAUAAGCUUCGAUUCCUAUUGCUGCUCUGUUAAAUCUCAUCUUUCGUUGUGGCCCAACACUCUAGUAUGCAUGUUGCACCAAGCUUCUUUGAGCCGCUCUGCCCUCUGAUUUUGCUGCGUAGGGGAAUCUUUAUCAGGUUGGGCUACUUCCAGUUGUGCGAUGUAAAGAUUCGUAUUUUCUAGAAGGUAGACAAAAAACUCGCGUUCUCUUAAGGCAACAACCGGAAGAUUCUGCAGCGCACAGGGCAUACCAUUAUUGUAGAAACGACCUUUAGUACCGAUCUCCAACCCCCUUUAAAACUGGUUUUGCAACCGGUACCGUUAUGUCGGUCCUUUAGUACCAGAUCAAAUAAGUACCGGUUGGUAACCAGUAUCAACUUGUUUUGCGGCCAAAAAAAUAAAGAAAAAAACAGUCAGAAGGCUCGCACACACGCGCAUCACAUGAAAUAUGCGUGUGCGGGGUCCAUGGGAUUCGAACCCAUGAAAUCAAGCUGCACGCGACCCUUCGUUACCAUCUCACCUACAUAGCGCAUAUGCUUUCCUGAAGUAACCCGUGGAGGAGGCUUUAGUACCGGGUCAUAACACCACCCGGUACUAAAAAUGACUCUUCAGUACCGGGUCAUAACACCACCUGAUACUAGUAUCGGAUGGUGUAAUGACCCGAUACUAAAAGGCCUCUAGGGACCCUCAAAUUUGAACCCGGUACUAAUGCUAAUAUUAGUAGCGGGUCAAAGUGCAGCCAGAACUAAAGCAUGGGAUGAAAGGUCAUAUUUCUAGUAGUGUAUAGUUGUUGUGAAGGACUGACUUGGCUGUCCUCUCUCUUCUCCAUCCCCUUGGUCUUACGCCGCCGCUCGCACGCGAGCCGGUGCCCAACCAGAGGAGUGAGAGCUAGGGGCAGGUUGGGAGGUGGGGAUAGUGACUGGUGGCCAGGGUGAUGGUUGAUCCUGGUGGGGUUAGGGUUUCAGGGUUUUCGAGCUUCCUAUGGUCGGCGAACCUAGAGGAGAAGCUCAACAUCAGCUGCAACCCGCGAUGGUGGUGGUUUGGCCGGCGCCCGAGGCGAGGCAGCGCGGGAGUGCUGCCGGUGGGUUGGUGUUGGCACUCAUUAUUGACAACUAUUUUGUUCAUAAAAUAACACUCAAACUUGCUGCUGCUGCUGCUGCCAUCGCCACCCUAGCCAUAAUAUAAAGGCAAAAUUUGCUAAAGGACAUGCAAAAUGAUGCUAGUUUGCUGGCGGGCAUCGUUGACCUUGUAAUAUGCUACAAGACACUCUAGUUGUGUAUCAAUUUGCUGAAAGACAUUGCUAUGACUAAAAUAAUGUUUCUGGACUGAGUUGGAGAGAGAGAUGGAGUGAAAUGUCUGUUUUGCCCAUGACCCCACUGGUCAGAUCCUUCUUCUUCCACCCUCCUUUGUUCUUUCUUCAACCAUUACCCAGCUCCAGCGUGUUGCAGAUCUACGAGGGUGGCGGCCUGGGGCGAGGGGCAUCGCUCGCCCUUGGAGGAGCGCUGCGAGCGACGGCGCGGGGGCGGCAACAGCGCGUCAGAACCUGACUGUUCGUUAGCUCCUCUCGCUGCUGGGGAAGAAGGAGGGGGAUGGGCCAUGGACGGGGUUCCCUUGAAAACCUCAGCGUCGAGCUCGGGCGGCUACGCGCAGGCAGCACUAGGCUGCUUCACGGGGAGGGGGCGCGGCCAAUCAUUGGCACCCCACUGGUCCAAUGCUGAUGAAGAUGGUGCCAGCGUCGUGUGAGGACAUCUCAUCUCCUCGAGUUCCAUGGCCAGCACAGGUGAGCUGCCGCUACCACAAAACAGAGGUUUCGUGAGAGUCAAAAAACCUUAUGAAAAUAGCUAAAACCAUCAUGAAAAUAAUCCGUGACAUGACACUCUCACGAAAAUCCUCUCACAAAUAUGGUGCCAUGAAAAUACCAUUUUCAUGAGAGUGAACUGUCAUGAUUUUAUAAGCGUCAAUACUCGGUAUAAAUUGACUACUGCUGUGAGUUCCCUUUCAGCUUAUCGUAGGCAUACAUUAUUGCUAGCACGGUAAAGAGAACCAACACGAAUGAUGAAGUAAACGUAGCGGAACUUUUGUAUACCAACACCCUUACGUACCGGUGUCAUUCCCCACUGCCACAUAUAUUCUUAUAUGCUAACCAGCUUUGAAAAUUAAGCGAUUAAAAUAAUUAUUUCAAGAUAGAAAUAACUUAUCGGCUUCUCGAAGCUUGUGUAAUGUGAAUUCAAGGACUCGAUGGAAGUUGAAUCGCUUCAUCUAGAUUGCUUUCAGGAUUUUGGGUAACUAAAUUUAACAUUUGCACACACAAAUGUUAAUGUACAAAUGUUAAAUCUAGUUACCCAAGCAGAAUAUGAAGAUACUCUAUAGUAUAUAUGUACUAUAUAAAUCUAGUAAACAUUUAGUCUAAAUGUUAAAUCUAGUUACCUAAAAUCCUAAAAGCAAAAUGUAUAAAUAUAUAUCUUUUAAGGCAGUAUAAGCUUCAAUUCUCUGUUAAAUCUCAUCUUUCGUUGUGGCCCAACACUCUAGUAUGCAUGUUGCACCAAGCUUCUUUGAGCCGCUCUGCCCUCUGAUUUUGCUGCGUAGGGGAAUCUUUAUCAGGUUGGGCUACUUCCAGUUGUGCGAUGUAAAGCUUCGUAUCUUUUAGAAGGUAGACAAAAUACCCGCGUUCUGGAAGAUUCUGCAACGUGCACGUUGGCGCUGCCACCGUGGUUGCUUAAGCAAAUGCAUCCAACUGAAUCGUCCUUAAGCUGAAUAAUUGGAUAUGGUAUCCACUGCUUAAAGCUGCCAUGUUUAGUACGUCUUUGUUUUUCUCUCUUUAUAUUCCAAUAAGGUCGGUGAUCUUGAUGCCACACACUCAGAUGUGUGUUUAUCUCCAGAUACUACUCCAUGCUACCUACCCUUUGUGUUUUGUUCAAUAACUGGGUAUCAUAUCCUAGCCAGUGUGCCAUCUGUUUUGUGUUUGUUUCCUUCUAGUUCCAAAGGGGUCAUCAUGAUGUUACCUUCUUUUGAGGUGUCUAUGAUGACUUCGUUAAUAUCAAUAUUAACCAAUUCAAUCUGUCUUAACUAUUUGUAAGGGGUAUGAUGUAUGCAUGAUUAUAACAAUGAUUGCGCAUACAAUCGCCGCCAAAGAAACGGUCAAUACCAUUAAGACAUAUUACAGACAAUUCUCAUAAUCUAUAAUGAAUAUACAUAUUCACUACUGCAGAAGACUGUCAUUUGUAUCGGCUCAUACGUGCCAGGGCAAAGGUCACCCUUGCAUUAAGUACAUUUGCACGGUAAAGACAACCAACACGAAUAAUGAAGUAAACAUGCCGGUGCUUUUGUACACCAACACGCUUACUUAAAUGUACUGGUGUCAUUCCUCACCGGUAGCCGGCUUGAAAAUUAACCAAUUAGAACAAUUAUUUAUUGUAUCGGUGUGAUUUUUGACCUAUUGGAAUAUGAAUUUGACCGUUACUGCAUUCGUCAAGACUCAAGAGAGAAAUAACUGAUCGGCUUCUUAGAGCGUGUGCAAUGUGAAAUCAAGGACUGGAUGGAAGUUGAAGCGCUAGCACUAGUAGAGAAACGACUUUCCAUCCACCCCCUUUUGUCCCGGUUUAAAGUUGGCUCGGGAUAAAAGGUUCACCAACCGGGACUAAAACUCAGUCACUGGUGGGAGGCUCACCAACCGGAACCUUUUAUCCCGGUUGCAAAGGCUAAUGGGAAAAAAAGACUCUGAGAGGCCUUUUAUCCCGGUUUGAAACACCAACCGGGAUAAAAGACCCCCCUUUUAUCCCGGUUGGUAACACCAACCGAGAUAAAAGGGUCAAGAGCCUUUUAUCCCGGUUGGAAACACCAACCGGGAUAAAAGACCCCCUUUUAUCCCGGUUGGUGUUUCAAACCGGGAUAAAAGGGCCCCCACGAGGUGACUGGAAGGUGACUGGAAGGGGAUUAAAUCGUGGGGGACCCUUUUAUCCCGGUUGGAAACACCAACCGGGAUAAAAGGGGGUCUUUUAUCCCGGUUGGUGUUUCCAACCGGGAUAAAAGGGUCCCCCACGAGUUAAUACAAAAGGAUAGUAUCCCCUACAUAGUCAGAUGUGGUGUGUAGGUGGGAUGGUAAGGAAGCUACGCGCGAGCUCCGGAAUUUUUUUUUUUUUUUUUUGCAGCGUCGGCGCUCUCUACCCUUUUAUCCCGGUUGGUAUUACCAACCGGGAUAAAAGGGGGUCUUUUGUCCCGGUUGAGUGACCCGGGAUAAAAGACCCCCCCUUUUUUCCCCGGUUAGUUUAUCCCGGAUGCAUUUUCGGGAUAAAAGCACCCUACCAACCGGGAUUAAAGCUCACUUCUCUACCAGUGUAGCUUCAUCUUCCGCUGCAAGUUAAUUGCUUGGAUAAGAAGUUGUAGCCGCUGCAAGUUAUAAAUAGUCCCGCUGAUGCUGUGCUCCGAAGUCUAUACUAUAUAUGCGGAAACUAGAUUGCUUUCAGGAUUUUGGGUAACUAAAUUUAACAUUUGUACAUAAAAAUGUUAGUUUACGAAUGUUAAAUCUAGUUACCCAAGCAGAACAAGAAGAUAGUAUAUAGUAUAUACUAUAUAAAUCAAGUUAACAAUUAGUCUAAAUGUUAUAUCUACUUACCCAAAAUAUUGAAAGCAAAGAAAGAAUAAGUAUAUAUCUUUUGUUGGAAAAUUGGUCCACGGAGAGGCCCAUUUAGGCCUCGUUCGUUUCACCGGGAUGGGAUUCCAGUCAGGAUUACUUCCAAGUUCGGUUUGAGUGAUUCCACCCGUGUCACUCAAUCCGGCUAGGAUUCAUUCUAUGGGUGAGGAGGUAUGGUUUCAAUCCAGGCCAUCUAAUGUAGAAGGAUUCCAAUCCAGGCCGGUUUUCGUUCCAGGCCAGACUAAAACGAACAACACUUUCAAUGCAAGUCUGGUUUCAAACCGGGCCAUUUCAAACCACCCGGAAUGGACCUCGUUCCAGGCCAAUCCGGUGAAAACAAAUGAGGCCUUAAUGGAAUCCCAAAGCAAGAGUUCAGUGGCAUUCUAUAGUCCCAUGCUGCUAGUUUGAGUUGGUCGAAGCCAACUUAAAUAGGAGAGCUCUCUCACUUCUCUAAAUACGUAACUGAAGGAGAGAAGGGGGCUUGGGUUACACAACGCACGCACGCACGCAUAUUUGCGUUCUUUUCGCGUAACCAACCGCGUGACUUGAAACUUGCGACGUAGCGUGCUGCUAAGUCAAGUUGAUAUAACCUUUUUGCCGUUUGCAUGUAAUCUUUUGACAACGGUCAUUGGAGGUGAUAAGCACGCAGUCAAUACCUUAAUCUUGAGUUAAUAGGGUGGUUACUACUGCCAAUUAGUGGGGCAAUUUUGUAGGGGAAACGGUUAGCAGAGGGCUACCGUCUUCUCUAUAAGAAGUUCUGGAGACGUCCAGGAACACACAUGUACAUGUGAGAGACCCACAAAUUCCUUCCCUUCUCCCUUUUCCAUGUGGUGAAGUGUGCUGUGGUACUGAGCUGCUUGAUCUCGCCGCUCUUCUCCUUGGCAUGCACCGAGGAGGAGGGUGAGCGGUAUCUCCGAGCUAUUGCCGUCAGGAAGCCUGCACGAGGGACAACAAAAAGUUUUUGGGUAGCGCAACUGCCAGCACAACUCUCCCUCCGCCUCUUCUUCACGGUUGAUGGCCACCACAAGCAUAAACCUCGCCUUCGCAUCCACGCAAAAGGGUCGCUGGGGUGCCUUCUUGCAUCGCUUCUCAGCCUCCUUGACUUGCGGCCAGCCAAGAACUGCGCCACCACCUCGGGUGCACGCCACCACUCCAGGGCUGCUACCCCAUGCCUGCGGCCGCCGCCGGCCACCACGCGUGUGCAACCGCGUCGCACCGCUUCCUUGCUUUGUGCCACCACUGCUGCUGUACCACCAGCUCCACCACCUUGGGCUGGUCGCCAGAGUGACUGAUAACUUAUUAUCUGUAACUACUAUUAACUCAGGGAUACAUGCGUCUUUUGCUUCUCCUACUAAUAUGUCCUAAAAUAUCUAGGAUGCCUUAUAUUUCUGGACAGAGGAAGUAUUUGAAUAAAAUGAACCAAUUUAAAAAAAUGUGUUGUACACUACUACAGAAAGACCUAUCAGUGUCAAACCCAAAAAUGUUGUCACCGCCAGUUUUGGGCAUCAUUGGUGAAAGGUUGGCGGUGAUGGGCUUUCCCUUCAACAACGGCACUGGAGCCGACGGUGAUUGACAUUAGAAAACAAAAAAGGGGACCCUACCUAGCCACCCCUGCAACCCGGCCGGCCGUGCCUCCCCUCAUCCCCACCACCUCGCCUCCCCAUGACCCCCCGCCGGCGCCCUUGCGCCUAGCCCCCUCAACUGCCCAGCCGGCCACCCUCAUCACGAGAGAGAGGUGCAUGUUGUAUAAUUGCGUGAAUUUUUUAAUGUUUAAUUUCAUGUAAGUUCCGUGUAAUAAAUUGUACAAGUUUUAUUGUAUAUAUGAAUUCCAUAUAUAUAUAUAUAUAUUUAUAAUUUAAUGUAUGGUUUCAUGUGUAUAUUUCAAUCAUGUGUAUAUUUAGUAGAUUGCCGAUUUUCUUUUUCUACUAGACAAGGGUUGAUGUAUAAUUACGUGUAUAUGUUUAUUGUACGGGCAAUUAGGACAAGUUUUGUAUAAAUUUCUUUUAUUUGAUGGUUGUUGUAUGGUUUCAUGUAUAUACAUUUAUUGUACUACUUUAGACAAUUUUUAAUUUAAUGUUUCUAUGAUUAGAUGUGUGUAUAACUAAUUGUAUUAUUAGUUAAGAUGGGAGCUAAAGAGGAUGAAAGGUAUAUAAUGGAGCAGAUUAUUGCUAGCUCAAACGUUGCAAGAACCUACACCGAGGGUGAGGGUAGCUAGGUGGACAUGUACCUCAACAUGUCCAGUGAUGGCAAUGACGAUGAGGAGCACGAGCAUGACAUCUAUGAUAAUGCGGAACAAGACAUUGCAGAAUUGGAAGGUUCUAAUGAGGUGUGCUUCAUGUUGACAAUCUAGUUGGCUUUUUUUCGUUGGUCACACCUUAGUUACCAUAGAACUUCGUCUCGGGAGAAGAUUGGUGGUGGUAUGGUGAUUGGAAUUUUAUUUCCACGAAAUCUGAUUUCCAUCGAAUCAUAUCCCUUGUAUUUAUCUUCUUUUUAUUUGUGAGAGCAUCUUCUUUAUGCUUGCAAAACAAUUCAAGUGCACAUACUACCCCUAGGGUGACGAUUGGGAGUAGAAAUAAUUGCCAACAAAACAACACCACAUCCUAAGAUUCUUAACUUGUGGCAUAAUUAGUCUAGUAAAAAGAAAGAUAAAAACCUAAUGGGUGUAUGUGAGUGCAAUGUGUAUAUGCAUAUGAGUGGAAGGCAUAUAAGCAAAGACAAUAUUUACACAUAGUUCUAAACACCAUGUUUACAGCUAGGUUGCUGAAUUUCUCCAUAGCCAUAGAGAUUAAUUAACCAAGGUCAAAACACGAUGUCUAUCCCAAGAUCAGUAAUUAUUUAUAGCACAAGAAAAAGAAAGCGCAUUGCAAAGUUUAUAAACCAACCAAUACAGCAUGAAAACAAGAUGAAUAGCUAGCAAGGUUUAUUAAACUGAAUGAUGACGGUCUGUAAGCAAGUUUAAACACCAUCUUUACACAAGAUUGCAAAUGGAAAAUGCCCAUAUGAAGCACUAACAUGGAUAUGAAAUCAUUCAUCAUAAAGCGUAAAGAACAACCAAGCCAACCAUAUGCAAAGCAUGAAUGGAAUGCAAUGAAGGUGCAAGAGAACAUUUUUGGAUGAACACAUUAUGAUGAUGGCAAAAUGCAAUGCAUGCAGAAAAAAUAAAUAUGAACAUGAAUAUGAUGAUCAGGGGCGGACCCACUAUUGUGGCCUGGGUAUUCCUCGGCAUACCCAAUAUUUUUGGGAAAAUGUUUAGUAGUUUUUAAUGGCAUAUACAUGUAUAAUAUAGUUUAGGUGUUAAAAUUGAUAUUCACAGCUAUUUUGGGCUCCAAUUCGCGUCCAAACCAACCUGGCCCACAGACCGCACCCGGCCGCCCGGCCCAUCGGCCCAUCUUGUCACUGAUCCUCCCACCACCACACUCAGCCCGUCAGUUAGUCAGGUCCCGAGCUCCUGCCUGACCUAGUCCGCUACCACCGCCAGGCGCCAGGCACAGCUGUACACGCCGCCCCCGUCCACCCACGUCCGCCGCACGGCCGCGUCGCGCCCCCCCCCGGCGCCCGCUGCUGCCAGAACCCAUUAGGCCUCCACCGGCAAGUCCACCCACAGUCCCGCGCGACGCGGCAGCCUCUUGGCUCUCGGCGCUCGCGGCGCGCCAAUGCCUGCGCAGCCCCAGCAGGCGACUGCCCCCCCCCCCCCCGCAUCGGGCCUCGGCCCCUCCCCAGCUCCCCCUCCCCCCUCCACCAGGACUGCCUGCUGGCCCCCACCGCGAGGUAAUCGAAAUGGACUGCUCAAUCUCUCAAUCUGUUGACAUGAUGCACACGGUUGCAAAAAUAGAUGUGUCAAAAUAGAUGUAUUGCCAAUUGCUAUAGAUGCAUAUGGUUGACAUGAAGAAGUCAAAAAUGACAUUUGGUUCCUUGUAGGCAGUCAAAAAUGAAGAAGUCAAACAAUAUUGAUCUGAAAUCAAUGCGGGAAAGGGCUACGAAGACACACGGGUAGAUUCCCUUGUGAACUUUUUAUGUCGUUCGUCUAAAUAUAUUUUUGCAAUGGGCAUACCCUACUCUGAAAUCCUGGGUCCGCCACUGAUGAUGAUGGUCUAAACAUAAAACAAGCCUAGAUUAAUUAGCUACAACUGAAAUUAAGCAAAGGUUAAUGUCAUUGACCCUAGCUCUAUCCUAGCUUUUACUAAAGUCCCGGCACAUAUAGUGGUUGGGCCCACUCUCUCUACUUCCCUCUCUGCUGCAUGCACACACACGAGCAACUGGAGGCCCAACAAAGCCCAGAAGGGUUCGGCCGAACCCGUCCGAUCCAGUCUGAGCGCCGCUCCCUCCCAGCCUUCGCGCAGAUGCUCCUCCAACGUUCCUUGACCCCUCCCUCAGUGUCCCAUUGGGUUUAACAUUGUAGGAGAGGAGUCCCUUUUUUAAAAUCUCAACCACCUCCUCUCCUCAUUCACUCCACUCUCAUCUCCAUCAAACUCACCAAGAUCCACAUCGGAAAUACCUGCUUACCACCAUGGCUGGCAAAGCCCUCGUCCCUUUCACCAACUUGGGCUUGACCAUUGAUCUCGAUGGGAAAAUCACUCCAGCAAAUGUCAUUGUCCCUGUCGGCGAUCUGGCGAUGGAGGAGGUCCAGGCACUAGAGGUCGAGCCCCUAGCCAUCAUACCGCCCAAGGGGUAAAGCAGGAGCAUGACAGGCGCUGCUAGGGGUUCAGCCGAACUCCCAGUUCAGCCAAACGAGGACGGCGUCGCCUCGGCCUCCCGCUCGACUGCAUGCUUCCCCUUGCCAAGGAGGACUCCAGAACAGCGGGCGCGUGCGUCAAGUCCCUACAAAAGGCUGAAAUACAAUGAAUAUCCAGGGUCACCCUUGAAGAUGGGUGAACGCUACGCCGGGUCCUUGUUUGACUAGUACGGCGAUGCAUUCUGCCACCGCUAUGUCGUUGUCGAGAUUAGCGGAUCAAGACUUAGACUAGUAAAUUUCUUUUAUGCGCGUAAGGCUUCAGAUGGUGGCGUGGGAGACAUGGGUUUUAUACUAGUUCGGGCAAUGGAAUACCCUACGUCCAGUGUCUGGAGCUGCUUGUGUUGCCCACGCGGGGUUCUGUAGUAGGGGUUACAGGUGUGCGAGAGAGGGAGCUAAUCCCAGGUCUCUUAGGCGUGUUCCGGUCCUCUAGAUGGGAGAAGUGUGUUCUGUUUGCUUGGGAGUAUCGGUUGUGUCUGAGUUGUCUCCGGAGCCUCCUCCCGUCUCAGGUCCCCGAUUCUCCUUUCAUAGCACAAGGAGACCAUCGGGGUUACAGACGAGACCGAGCGUGGGGAGGAGUAAAGAGAUAAACAUAGCUAGGUAAAAAUACAACAAGAAAGGGGGGAACCAAGUUUCUAGGUCACCGGCGUCCUCGCCGGCCUUCGACUUCCGCCGGCGCAUUUGUCGGAGGAGGGUGGCCGCCAUCGCGUUCUGUCGAUGGCUUCCUCGGUGACUGUAGCCACCGGGCGUGAUGAUGGCAUUUCGUCGUGACCCUUUGUCUGUUGGGGGAGGCGGCGGAUCCUGCCAUUCUGCUGACGGCUCGCGGAGUGCGAACGUCGCAUCCCUGCCGCUGGGCACGCGGGGCGCGAGAACGUGCGAGGCUUCCCCCUACCCCAGGCGGCGCAGGCCAUGAGUGCCCUGUGGCAAAUCGGAGGAGGCCGCAGCUACUGUAGCUUGUACUGUGCAGCCACGUAUGGGUACUUGUGGCAGGUUGCGUGGUGGAUGCGGAUAUCCUUCUCCCUGACAGAUCUGCGGCGCAUUUAUGGCGAGAUCGACAUGGGGACCCACAAGACCCGCGCCCAAGGCGGAUACUUGUCUGGAGGGCCCGGGUUAGCCUGACCCCCUACGCUUGGGGUCGGGCGAGGCGGAGACUUGCGGCGGGGCGUCGGACGCUCCCGACACUAGACCUGCGGUCGCGCAAGGCGGAGCUUGGUCUUCCGGGGGUCGGGGGUGCCGGACCCCAGGAUGCGGGGUCGGGCGAGGUGGAGCGUAAUUCUUGCCUCCCAUGUUGGGCCGAUGGCAGUCUUUGUUACCUCUAGUGGGCUUGGGCCUUUAUGUUUUGUUGUUUCCAUGGGCUUCGAGAGGUCGUUAAUAUUUCCCCCCAACAGUAGCCCCCGAGCCUGUGGUGGAGUGGGGGCGCUCCUCCGGAGGCUACUAUCAUCGCCCCUAGGGAAUCCUCGCAGUUGAUCCGGGAUAGGAGGUGUUGUUUGCACGGCUUGACCGAGGGGGUCGAUUAGGCGACGCAUCCUGUGAGCGACUCGGUGCGGGAGGGUUUCUUGUUGUUCCCUUCUGUCUGAGAGCCUUAAGUCGAGACCACCUGCGUGGCCUUUGGUUGCAAGGCCAGCCCCCGAGCCCCCGCACGUUGCAGGGGACCGGUCGGAGGCUAGGUCGACUUUUGUUCAUUACCCUCAAGCGUCUGUUCGCUAGGACGGAGGGGGCGAGCCGUGCCAUGCUAUCCUCAUCGGACGAACCAUGGUGCUCAUUGAGUUACUAACGGGUUGAUUCGAGUGGGAUCCCGGUCCCCGUUCGGGGGGGGUCCGGCUUGGGCCAAGCUGGUGGCGUACCCCAGGCUCCGGUCGGCCAGUUCAUAUAGUUCCUGAGUCCGUUCGGUCGGACCGGGGGCUCAUUGCCUUUCUUCGGGGAAAAACCAUGAACUUUGAUGCCGGUCCAGACUCGAAUGUGAGAUUGAGACGCCCGGGGCUGUCGCGUGCCCGGGUGAUGGCCGCUAGCGGACCCGUCUCCUCUCACCCCUCACUCGGGGGUAUCCUGAGGCGGCUGUCGAACCCGUGGCGGGCCAGCCUUCGAACCUCUGGAUCGUAAUGGGCCGUAGGGGCGUUUUCAGCCCCGUAUCCCUUUUUACCUUUUGGUGGGCCUUGGGCCGAAUCAUGGAGGAGGUCGGGCCUUGGGCCGGAUGCGGAGGAUGUCGUGCCUUGGGCCGGAUGUGGGGGACGUCGUGCGUGUCUUCCGGGAGACGAAGUGGUGGAGGGUGCCAACCCGCGAAUCGAGGGAGGAGGGGAUGUUUCUACUGCAGGUCAUGCGCACGGUUUCCGAAAAGGCAGCGGGCGUGACGGGACGUACCUCGCGCCGCAUUUAUUGCGAUGGGGGCGUCUGUUCUGCUUCCCUCGUGCCUUCCCUAUAAAACGAGGACUUCGCCUCGCCGGUUCCGCCCGCCAUCUACCUUCAAGCCUUUUCGCCUCCUCGCGCGCCCUUAGCUUUCCUGUGCCCGCUUCGUCUUCCUCCGCCCAGUGCCGCGCCCUUUCUCCCCAUCCGCCGUCGAGUUCUUCUCCCUCCGGCGAUGGGAUCCUGGGCGCGUUCCCACUUCGGCCCCUCACGCGCCGAAGGCCUAGUGAGGAAAGGCCUCCUUUGCGAGAGGACGGAGACGGAUGAGUGGGGGUUCCCUGAGAUGGAAGAGGUGCCGACUCCGCCCACCGGCUACGUCGUUUCCUUUGCCCACUUCCACGAGAGGGGGUUUGCGACUCCGCCGAGCCUCUUCUUCCGCGGGCUUUUGUAUUACUACGGGCUUGAGCUGCAGCACCUCAACCCCAACGGGAUUCAGCACGUCGCGGCGUUCGUUGCGGUGUGCGAGGGGUUCCUGGGCAUUGAGCCCAACUUCUCGCUGUGGAAGUACUUCUUCACGGUCAGCCUAUACCAGAAGGCCGAGAAGAGGGGAAGCCAGCAGCGGUCGACCCCGGUGCCGAUAGGGUGCGUCGGAAUCCACCUCUGCCAUACUCGCGCCAAGGAGUAUAUCGCGAUGAAGACCGCGGCAUCCCACAAGGGGUGGCACCAGCAAUGGUUCUACGUGAAGAACUACUCCAACCCCCCCUGCCGGAGUUCACCGGCCGCAUUAUUGAAGCGGCGCCGGAGGUGUGGGUGUACGGCCCGGUGGAGAAGGAGAAGAAGCGGAUCACCGGCCUGCUGCAGGCCAUCGAGCACCUGAAGGAGAGGGGACUGACCGGAGCCGGAGUCAUCGGGGCGUACCACGCCCGGCGGGUGGCGCCGCUGAUGCUCCGGGUCCGCUCGCUCGCCGACAUGACCCCCGGUGCUCUCACCGAUGGCACUGUCCUCGCGACGGGUGCUCUCGCUGCCUCCGAGAUCCGGCAGCGGAUCCGGGAGGCGCUGGAGGACAAGGACGCCGAUUACCCGGUGCCCGGCCACCCUCCGAUGCGCCCGGACGAGAAUUUCAUUGAUCUGGUAAGGAUUUUGCGCGCCAGUUUCCCUCUCUUGCGUUUCUUGGUAUGCCGUUCUGACGCGAGGCCCUCUGUGUUUGCAGGGUAGCAUGACCCGGGUCGUCGACUUGCGUCCGCCAGUGUCGGAGGACGCCGAGUGGCGGUAGCAGAACCGUCUCCUUGCCGAGAAGCAAAAGUGACGCAAGGACAAGAGACAGCGAAGAAGAAGAAGAGGGCCGCCAAGGAGUUCCAGCGGCGGCGGUGGGGAUAGGUCGUGUCGGAUGACGAUGACGAUGAGAAGGAGGAGGAGGAUGACGAGGAGGAGGAGGAGUUUAUCCUGUCCCCCCGGUCAGGGGCGCUUGUUAUCCGGGAGCCGCGCUCCCAAGCGGCCAUGGGGGACAAGGCGGGCGAGCUGCCUGCCCGGACCCGAUCCUGCGAAGCUUUGGGGGCGCGCCCCAGGGGUCGGCGCAGAGCGCCCCCCGGGGGUCGACGGAGCCGACCCCCAUCCCUACACCUGCAGCCCAGGAGCAGAGGAGCAGCGACAAGCGGCCGUUGCCAGAUGCCCCGGGGUCGGCGUCCAGCUCAGAGGCGAAGCGCGCGCGCCGCCCUUGCGCUGGGGGAACGUGAGUUGAAUUUCCUUGCGAAUCUCGUUCCUUUCCAUGCAUUGUGUUUGUUUCCGCUGAUGCUGUUUGUUGUCUCACAGCACCGCCCCUCAAGGCCUUGUCCCGCCGUUGGCGCCAAAGAAGGCGUUGCGGUGUUGUCGCCUCUGCGGGGCGGACCGCGGCUCCGCCGGCGGCGAGUGGCGGGGUCACUGGUGAGACCGCGGGUCCUACCGCGGAGGUGGCCCCUGCGGCGGCAACCGGUGGAGUGGUGCCACCGCCGGGCAUGGGACAGGGUCUGGACCCCGCUCCGUCCUCCGCCUCUUCGGCCGACCCCGCGGUGCAGAGUAUCGCUCCUGGGGGCCCUCAGGCCGGGGAGGUGAUUGACCUCGACGCCGACGAGGUGGAGGAGACGGCGGCGGUGGAGACGGGGGCGGUUGCCCCAGCGGCCAUGACGGGGACGACGACGGCGACGGGGGAAGGAGAGUCUACCCCCGCGGCCACGGCGGGGACAGUGGCGACAGAGGAGGCGGGGACGCCCGCCCCGGCGGCUGCGACGGAGGAGGCGGCGGUGACGGAGACGGGGGCUUCCGCCCGGGAAGCCACAGCCGAGGUGGCAGCGGCGACGGAGGUGAAAGUGCCUGUUCUGGAGGCCACGGUGGGGGUGGGGACGCCUGCCUCGUGGCCACGACGGAGGGCGAGGCGGCCCCAGGGACACUUGCUCCGGCACCCGCGUUGGAGGCGGUGGCGCCGACGGGUUGGCCCGUGGCGGCCUCGACGGGGGCGGGGGUGCGUGCGCCGGGACCGUCGGUGAGGCCGGCGACUUCCGGGAUGGUGGUGCCCGUCUUGACGGCGGCGGCGGCGCGGUCGGCCCCCGCCCUUGCCUCUACCACUCCCAUUCCCAAGGCGUGGAGCGGAUCCGUCCUGCGUUGGUCGUCUCGUGACGACCCGCAGAGGCCCCUCUUCACGUUGGAUGAUGCCACAGAAUGGGGCAAGUGGCAGGCGCUGCAGGGCGGACUCGCUAACGUCCGCGCCGCUCUAUCUUCGGCGUUGGGGGAGCUGGACGGCGUCAUCUUCCCCGGUGGCCGGGUAUGGUGCUUUCUCCGUUGGUUAUUUUCUUCCCGUUACUUCGUCCCUGAUGGCACAUUGUUCUGCAGGCCCUCCAAGAAUGUAGCCGGGGAAAAUCUGAUUUCCUUUGGCUCGAGCAGGGGCUCUGGGAGCGCUUCAACUUGGAGUUGCAGCGGACCGGGGAGCUGACCAUGCAAGUCGCCACCGUCUAGCAUGUCAUCGACGAUCUGCGAAGGCACGAGCAGGCGGCACAGGAGGACGCGCGGCGGGCGGAGGCCAAGUUCCAGGUCGUUGCCGAAAGGGCUCGCUGCGACCGCGAGGAGUUCCAGGCCGUUGCCGAAAAGGCCCGCCACGACGCUGAGGAGCUCGCACGGCUGAAGGUGCAGCAUGAAGCUCUUCAGAAGAGCGGCAGAGGGCCUGGCAGGACCGGGACGCCGAGAAGGUCCGGAAGGAGGAGGCUGAGAAGGUGGCGGCCAACCUUGGGGCUGAGGUCAGCCAGCUCCAAGUGCAAGCGCGAGAGCUUCAGGCCUCCGUGGCCCAGGGGCUCGACCAGGAGCGCCAGCUGAAGGCCUAAUCCGAGGGUAUGACUCUGUUUAUUUCUUUGUCUUUGUGAUGUUGCGGUGAUAUUUUAUUUGGCGGGUUCUUCUGGAUGAUCCUUGCAGAUGAGCUCAACUGGCUGAGGGAGGUGCUUGACGCGGAGCGCGCUGAGCACGGCGACCUGCGGGACGCGGUCCGCGUCAUCUGUGACUUCCUUAGUGUGGUCCAGGGGGAGGGGACGAGCUCGCUGGCGGCUCGUGUCCUCGGGACGUACCGCCGGACCAGCGAGAUCGCCCUGGAAGCGCUUCGCACCGGCUUGAGGCAAGCCUUUGGGGUCUUCGGCUCCCACUAUUCCGGCAUCAACUUCGCCGGGAUGAGCGGGGGAUACGCCACCGGCUACUACGAGGCCGAGCUGGAUGAGAUCGACGUGUCGGUGCUCAGCCCGGCGGAGGCCUUGGUGAAGCUCCUCGAGGAUGAGGCCGUCCCGCCCGAAGAUCCCCGGACGAGUUAACUAUAUCGGGCUGGCGCCCCAGAUGUAAAUACGUUAGGGAAAGACUUGUUUUUUGUGAGGGCCGUAGAGGCCUUUUCUAUGAAUUGUCGUAAAAAAGUUUUUGAUUCCCUUUCUUGCUUUUUGGACUUGGAAAGUUUAGAGCACGUUGUCGGGCGUGUCAGUAAGCUUUGAUGAGCGAAGGCACCGUAGCCGCUGGGGCGUCGUUUUUUUUGCAGUCCGAUCAAUCUUGCCUGAACACCGUUCGUGCACUUUCUCCUUUUUAUGCCCAAAAGUUCAGAAAGAGGGUCGGCUCGGAAAGAGAAAGCGUUUUGAGAGGGUGUCAAGUGGCUUAGGUACUUGCGGCAGGUUGCGUGGUGGACGCGGAUAUCCUUCUCCCUGACAGAUCUGCGGCGCAUUUAUGGUGAGAUCAACAUGGGGACCCACAAGACCCGCGCCCAAGGCGGAUACUUGUCUGGAGGGCCCGGGUUAGCCCGACCCCCUACGCUUGGGGUCAGGCGAGGCGGAGACUUGCGGCGGGGGGUUGGACGCUCCUGACCCUAGACCUGCGGUCGGGCGAGGCGGAGCUUGGUCUUCCAGGGGUCGGGGGCGCCUUACCCCGGGAUGCGGGGUCGGGCGAGGCGGAGCGUAAUUCUUGCCUCCCAUGUUGGGCCGACGGCAAUCUUUGUUACCUUGGGUGGGCCUGGGCCUUUAUGUUUUGUUGUUUCCAUGGGCUUCGAGAGGUCGUUAAUAUUUCCCCCCAACACUAUGAGGAGGACUUGUGGGCAGAAAGUCAGCUACCACAAACUUGCCUCUGAAUAUUUGGAGUGCAAACAUUGGAUGGUGGUUGUGGAGAGCCCCAGCCAUACCUCGCACCCGUGGAGAGGUAAUUGUCGGAUUGCUUGGUUCGUCUCUAGAAUGCGACAAGGUCAGGCGCCACCUCUCACUGCUGCCAGUCAGAAGGCCGAGGGGCCAGUUUCAACAUAGUAAUGAGAAUCUCCGAAGGCCAAUAUGGUUAAGCAGCUAACCUCCAUGAUCAUAGACUUACGUUUAGAAAAUAGGAGGCUUAGCGAUGCGUUAACAGAGCAGAAGUUAGAAACAGAAGAACUUAAGGACGACUUCCGUGUCCUCCGCCUUGGUCUUUGUGCUAAGAUAAAGCGCUUGUACAAUGCCACGGGGAAUGACGGUCUCUACGAUGCAGCUCAAUAGACGUGCCCCUUGUAUCCUUUCCUUUAGGCACUUUAGAAUAUGUUUAUUUGUUUUCCUUCAUUUUAAUUUCCAAUAGAUUGUUAGCGCCUCCAAUUUAAUUUCAAUAAAGUGUAGACUCACCGGUCAUCCAACUUGAUGGAGUCCUUUUGUCACCUAGUUGUCUUUGGAAGAAGUAGCUGGGUACAAAAUAAGUGUGGGGGAGAGCCACAGACUCUCUAGAGCUGAAACAAUGCACAACACCCACAAAUAGAGAAAACCACGCUGCACCAGCACGUACGUGAAAGUGGAGCCAGAGCUGGACCCAUAGGGGUUUGGCCAACCCAAGGGGUGGCCCACUCGGGCCAUCUUCAUCCACCGCGUCGGUUUGUGUCUCUUUACCCCUGAUCUCCCUGAUUCAUGAGUUUGAAUGAAUUUUAAAUCUGAUCAACUAAUUCAAACUCAACUAAAAUGAAUCAACUGCUCCACCUGCUCUACAUGUUUUCUAUGGUUGGCUUGCAUAUGUUUUAUUUCAUGCUUAUCAUCUUGAUGCUUGUGAACAAAUAUCUUUAGGACAGCAUGCUCAUCUAAGUAGUUGAUGUGUAUGAUAUGGUUCGAUGAUAUGAUCUUCACUCUUAAUGCUUAAGUGCUUGGGAAAAUCUAUUUGAAAAUUUAAAAGCCUUUUUGAAAUCUCCUCUUUGAUGUGCCAAAGUCCUACCAAAGCCAUAUGAUAAGUUAUCUUGAAAAACCAUUUGCAUAUGUUGCUUGUCUUUGCAUUGAGCUUUGUCAAAUUGGUGUGACCCUUGUCACAAUUCUUUUCAUACUUUCAUGAUCAAGACUCAUGUGCACGCCAUAUACCCCUUGCUAUGCUUCUAUGAGAUGUUAGCAUUGUACCAUCCAUUCAUUCCACAAAAUAAAUGCUCCACCAUAUGUGUUGGUCUCCUUCUAAGAUUAUUGUUACAAAAGAGAUAUGGGCUAUCAAAAAAAAAUAUGAAUGUCCAAGAAAGUUGGACACAUGAAUGUCCAAUAAAAAGAAAAAGAAAGAUAGCCAUGUCCUCAGAAAUAUUUACAAAGGGAGAGAGAUCAUACAAAAAGGAGUUUCCAUUCCAUCCACCACAUCCAUACAUGUGCACAUCUUGAUCUGAUUGUAUGACUUAUUUUUCUCUUUGGAUCUGGUCUUUGACUUUGCAAUAUAUGUGAUGCAAGCAUGCCUUAUCCUUCAUAGCCUACCUUGAGCUCCACAUAUAGCCAUCAUUAGAAGUAGGAUGAAGAAAGGCAAGUCUAAUGCCUUGGUGAGGACAUAUACACAUUGAGUGAUCUGAGAGAAUCAAAUGAGGAGCUAAGCAAGGUUUUGUUUUGAAAACUAAUUGAAAAAUCCCAAGCUACUUGGCAUAAGGAGUUGAGGUGACUUGAUUCAAGACCAUUACAUUCCUCAACUACCCAAGAUGGCAUGAUAGACACUCCAAAGUUCACAAGUGCAGGUAUGGUUUGGAAUAUCUUUUAGGCUCGCUUCAUACCUUUGAAAGUUAUGUUUCACCUUAGUCCUUUCUCGUUCACUCAAGGAUAAGCAAAGGCUAAGUGUGGGGGUGUUGUUGAUGGCUCUUAAGUACAAAAUCUGCGCCAUCAACUCUUGCAUAAACACAUAAAAUAUGAGCAUCAACAAUAGUGGUAGGAGUUAUUACAAACGAAUUCCACAAGUCUUGGUGAAUAUUUGUAUGCAAGCCCAAUAGGAGAGAAAAGACACCUCAAAAGCAAGGAAACACACUCUCAACCAAUCAAGAGCAAGCACAUGGAACCAUGGGCCCACAACCAAAAGGAAAUCGACUACAUUCCAAACACCCUAUACCCACAUGAGAACCCAUAGGGCAGUGACCCAGAGCAAAGGUGAUGCCAGAGUGUAGAUGGUAGUUAGCAUGCCAAAUUUUGAACCGCAAGCGCUCGGAUUAGUUGUUUCUUUUCCCUUAGAGAUUCCCCCAAGGUUUAUCAAUCCAUGGAACAAGGGAUUUGCACGUUUCACUAAGCACUAAUCAAUGUAAUUGAAAGCUUUUCGAAUAAGAUAUGAUUAUGCUAACAAAGGAACUAAGCAAUCUAGAUUAAGAUGGAUAGAGAGUACAGGUUGUGAACAAGAUAGAUUAAACGCUUGUAGAUGCAAUCACCAUGCAUGAAUGAAUUAGAUCUAGGUGUUAUUGUGAGUGGUUGUGAACCAUGCCCAACACUUUCCCACCCGCAACAUUGUCACUACAUGUGGGUACUCAACUAUCGGAACAUAAGAACACAUCAAGAUGAUCAUUCUAGGUAAGCAAAUAAGCAACCCAAAGUAGCGCUGGCCAGCCUUUUCAUGAAAGAGCAUCAUCAAGAUAAGAUUGAUAACAAAAUAGAUCUCAACCAAAGGUUCAGCGAUUACAAAUCAAGAUCUUCGUAUAACCCCGAUGACAAAUAGAGGUAUUACCCCCAUGAUCUUACACAUGUUGAUGAAUUUUAGGGUAAAGGACACCCUGUAGAUCAACUGGACCAAAGAUGAUGAUGAACGGGGGCAGGGAAGGCCCAGGUUGAUCAGCCUGCGCACUUUUGAGCCGAUCAGCUCAGGGGGUUUCCUCCUCCCCUGGUGCUCCUCUUCGCGUGGCCUCCUCUGGAUCCAAUCUUCUCUUCAUUUCUCCUACUUGUGGCGGCAAUGGAUGGUGUUUGCAUGGUGAUUUCCUCUUCUCCCCAACUCUCCCUCCUUGAAGUCCAUGAGGGGGUAUUAAUAGUCUCCAAUAGGCGGCAGCUCUGGGUCAAUGUCAGUGAAAAAAUCCUAGAGAUCAUCGUACACUUCAUGCUGAGGAAACAAGAGGUUGACCGAGCCCUGGGAUAGACCAAGAGGAUCAUCCUAGAGGGUCCCAGGCUAAUCGGUCUAGGCCCUUCCUAGCCCUUCUAGUCCUCUCCUUCCUCGUGCUGGCUUUUCUCGAUGACCCUUGUCCAAAUAUCCAUGAAGCUCUAUAUACAUACCCCCUUGAUUAUGUUGUAUUUCCUGUCAAAAUACAAUGCUCCAAAAUACAACACAUAUGCAAUAAUAGGGUUAUUUCAGGUGCCAAUUGGUGGGUUAGUAUACGAAUAAGCAUGAAAAUACUGUUUAAAUGACACUAAAAGUGUGUCAAUAACGAGCACCAACAAUCCCCCCACGCUUAGAUCUUGCUCGUCCUCGAGCAAGUCUAGCGACUAAAAGAUCUUGAAUUAAACCUGAGCAAGCGAGUCAAGUACCUAGCCUUGAAACAAAAGAUUAGAGGAGCAGCAAAGAUAAUCAAAGUCUGGGUGUUCAAAGAUUUAUCUAAGCAAAGAUUCCCCUACAACUAUUAUUCAGAACCAAGUAACUUCAAAAAUCAACUACACUUAUUUUCUGGCUUUUUUCAGAGGGUUUUUCUUUCAUCAUAAAACAAUCUCCCUGCAACAAAAUUGAAAAAAGAAUUAUUUUCAAGGUGCUUACAUGUCGCUUAAAUGAAUGUUGGCUAUCCUACUUAUUUGCAAGCUCUCAUCUCUCAAAAUUCAUUCAAUUAUAUGGUGGAGUUUGGGUAAGGUUAGCUAGAAUCAACACGUAUAUUAUUGAAUUAAGAAAACCCUCUAACGGUGGCCUACCUUCCGAGCCAUUGAUCAUAAGAAUAUCCACAUAAUGUGAAGUUUUCAAGGAUGAGAAGAUAUAGAAUGGUGGACAUGUGCAAAGGCAAAGAAAUAUAGUGACUCUGAGGCACAAGCAAUGUCCUCGUCGUUGGAUUGCAUAUGGUUGUAAUGAAAAUAUGUUCCUUAAACAAGUCUAUCUUUUCUUUGCACCACUCUUGAUCUUCAUGACAGUAAAAACUCCUCCUUUAUUUCUUUCUCUCUUUUCCUAUUAUUUCUUUUUAUUUGUCUCAAUACUUUUAUUUCUUUAUUUCUUUAUUUUAAUCUCUUCUCUGAACCUCUUCUGAACACCACAUAAUAAAAAUAAGUUUUAGAUCCUUCCAGAGACCUUCCAGGAAUUUGCUACAUGAAAACCGAGGCAAGGAGACCCCAGGCCGAUUGGCCUAGCCACUCCUUUGCUCUCCUCUAGCUCUUCUUUCUGGUGAAGCUUCCUUAUCUUGUAUCUUUCCAAAAAUUUCAUAAAGCUCGACUAGAAACGGAACAGAUCUUCAUAUAAUGAGUUGUGUUCAAGGAAUUGGUAAUAAAAUUGAGAAAUUUGUGGUUCGGGUUUACGAAUUCAGUACAAAAAUAUGAUUGUUCCAAUGAAGAACUCUCAUUACUGAAUAUUGACGAGGCAAGCAUUCAAAGAUGGUAAAAAGGAUAUGAUCAAUUCUCAAAAUUAAAGCAAACCAAGAGAGAGCGAUCCUAAUUCAAUUCAAAGUGUCAAAUGUUGCUUAUGGUGGUAUGAAUAAAUAUUUUUAGGCAUUGGGUAGGAUAAAUAAAAACUCUCAACCUGGUUAAAAGAUAUUGAUCAAUCUUGUUUUUGCAGAGGUUUUAAAUAAAAAAUAAAAUUUUAAAUCACCUCCAAUUCAAAGCCUUACUCAUAAAUCAUAAUCAAAACUGAAGCACUUGAUCAUCAUAAAGCAUGGGUAUUGCAUAAACAAAUCGAUUACUAAAACUCCACAACUACGAUUUAGAAUUCAAGACAAUGCUCAUAAUCUAAAGUUGCAAAGAUAAAAUAAAAGACAACCAAGCCAAGGUAGACACUAAAAACACUUGCACGAUCCUUGAAUUUUAUUCAUGCUUCUUCUCACAAAGACGCUAAAGUAGCCAUGUAGGCCUAAGUCUUCCCAAAAGCUUAAGAAAACUACUACUUUAUCUACUUUUGGUUGAAAUAAAAAGACUAAUCUAGACUCUCACAUGAUUCGACUCGACCAAAUUAGAUCCAAAAACUCAUACGAGCGACGAUCUCCCCCCCCUCACGCUUAAAAUCUACGACCUCCUCGUCGUAGCCAUAUGGAGUACAAGGAAAAGAAGCUUGUAAACGCUCUAAUGACGCUACCCGCACUACUUGCACACGGGAUGGUUGCUGCUUCCUUCGCUUUGUUCUUCCUCAUGUUGCUGCACAUCCCGAAGAGCUUCCUCACGUUCCUCUGCAAGAACUUGAACUCGUCCUCCUGACGGCGAUCAUUAUCUUCUGCCUUUUGAUCCAGAGCUUGUAAGGCUUGCAUGAUGUCAUCGAACGCAUCGAAGAGGUAGUGGAUGUUCUUCCUGCAAGCUGUGGAACAUGUACGAUCAUGCUCCUCCGAUUCUGGCCCGUCGUCUUCUAGAUCCUUCUCUUUGCCCUUGUCUUGACGGUGGCUAUCUUGCUCCUUGCUCGCCUUCUUGCCUUCAGCCCAAUCCCAGUACGUGUUGUCAUCUUCUUCAUCGUCACGGCCUGCAGCACCCUAUGAUCCAUUGUCUAUCUUGUAUGAAAGAAUCAGAAGCUUGUUCUCCUCAGGGUGUCUUGCGCGGUGCAGCGUUUGCAAGUGCAAGACUUGCUAGUUCCUUUUACACAUUGUAAUGUUCAUUGCAUGCUCUAAUUGUUCUACAUUUGUAAUUUCUUGGUGAAGUUUGGUUACUGAUCCACUGUUUGAUUAACUCUUGGGCCCAAACACUGUACUACUUCUGAUUAGAUAUCUGUAUCUUGACUUUGACCAAAAAAAAUAUCCGGCAGUUUUUGCCAUUAAAGUUUCAUAAAUCAUCUUGCAAAAAUCGUACUAUACAACAAGGGACGGUUUAUUAUAAAAUAUACGUUCCCCUUAUCACAUGCCACUUCCACUCAAAAGGCAACGAAUCAGUUUUCAAUCCUGAGUGAGCAAUUUGCUUUUAUUACCGAUGCCUCCUAUUCCCUUGUGCACCAAGUUUAUUUUGGAUAGGGCUGCAAAAAACGACUAACCAGCUCGGAUUCUCCACCUGCAAAACCGCAUCUGCAGCAACCAACCCCACGCGGUGGAAAAAAAAACAAAACCUAGAAACCGGACGGGGGUGGAUGUGGGGCUCGGAGCCCAAGCAAAAAACGGAUCGGGAGCGCCGGAGCAGGCCAUCACCGGAUGUUAGAGAUAGAAAAUGGUUGAAGUUUGGAGUGGAAAUCAAACAAGCCUUGGAGCAAAGGAAAAAAAAAGAUCAAACCACUCAAGCAUUCAUUUGAUUUAGAAAAGAGAACAUUUGUUAAGGUGGGGAGUUGAAAUCAUCUUUUAAUUAGUUCCACGUAUCUGGUAUCAUUACAGUUGGUUUACUUGUGUAAGUAUAAGUAGCUCUGCCGAAGCCUUUGCUCCUAUAAUUUAGUAACUAGUACAAAUGGAUCAAUAGGAAAAUCAAGUUGCAAUCAUUUCUCAGCCAACCAAACCUAUGUAAAUCAAAUUAUUGUCCAUGCCCGGCAUGCACAGGUGCCUGCCAUGCAUGCAUUGUUGCUCCAUUGUAAUAACCAUUAUUGUCCAUCGAUGUUGCAGCGCAUGUGUGCACUGUGCAGACACCAAGCAUCGAGAUUAUGUACUAGUAAGGUGUUGAAAUAAUGGGCCUAGCCCAUAAGUAAUUUCAGAAUUUCAAAUAAAUCUCAAAGGCCCAUGUGGGCAAGAGGUGGAGUGGUGCAAGUCUUUAGUCCCACAUUGCUAGUCGAGGGGAGGGAUGACCAACUUAAAUAUGGAAGUUGUCUCCACUCCUCCAAGCUAUGUGUGAAGGGCGCGGGCGCGAGGCACUUGCGUGAAUGGUCCGCCGAAAUCUGGCCCCCCUUGCGGGGGCGCGGCUUCCUUUUGCCGUUUUAUUUUUUGGUUACUUGGUCGUUAAGUCAUGGAAUCCUAACCGGUUUAGAUCACGAUCGUGAAGGUUUUUGGGAAGCGCUCUGCGCGACUGCUCGAUCGCUUCUUCCGCUUCGUCAAGUUCUUCGUCGACUCCUUCACCACGGCUCGUCUACCUCUUCGUCGCUCGGGCCUCACUCGUCGUCGCGAACAACGUCAGGCUGCUGAUCGUCGUCGCCUGCUGUAUCCGGUAGUCGUCCAGGAGCCGGUUUUCAUCAAGAAAGAAACGUACGGUCUCUUAACUCACAUUAUGUCUUCCAUACUAGCUAUUAUGAUUGUUGCAGUCUGAUAGCUCUGGAUAGUAUGGUAGAAUGUCUGAUUCUAUUUGCAAUGAUAGACUUGUCUAGAUCUUGCGUAGACAUGUCUAGUUUAAUCUGCUGCUUGUUCAUCAUAUUCAUGAUUUAUUUCUGGAUUAAGUUAAAACUAAAAGUGCUUAUAUAUCCAACAUAAGGUACCAAGAACACGUGAAGCACCCGGGGGAGGCUGCUCCACUCCGCAUGCACAGGUGGGCACGGCACCACUACUCGUCUCCUUCAGGCUGAGGAUAAGUGAUGUACGCUGAUCAACAGACCACGACGGAACCAGCAAUAAUAGUUUCAGCCUGCCUCACAGUAAUUAAUAUAUCCUGUAUCCUCCGAGGACCCCUCCCCUUAAUCUUGGCCUAUUGCAUCCAAUAAUGAUAUGUGUGUUUAUCCAAAUUUACGGCACCUUUGGCGGGGGUUCCACCCAGCUCCGCCCUCUCCACCUUCGGUACUCCAUGGGAAACCAUUCCUUUGGAAUCAAGGAAGCUUGAACAGUAUAACGAAUAAAGUUUCAUAUAUCCAUUUGAUUUCACAUGAAAUAAAAUAUUCUGUCAGAACCAAUGGUUUCACUGAAGCUCCAGGCAGCGAGCGAAGGGGUGAGAGAGGAUAACGCUUACUGUGUGUUACCAUCGCGUGCACCAUGGAUGACCAACGCGCAGCCGAGAUGAAACGGCGGACCUAAACAGGUCCUCGCUAUUUUUGCAGGUUCUCGACCAGGCCAGUUCUUUAGGCCAACCUAUCAUUCACGAGUUAAACAUACGGUGGCUGGAGAAAUGUUCUAUUCUUUUAAACAAUACCAGCUGGUUCCUCCGUUUUUAUUCCACCAAUACAAGCACCACCUUGUAACAUUUCCUAUGUUUUUUUUCCUUUCGUCUGUUUUCUCACUACAUGCGUUGCUCUUUCAUGCAUUUUUUUCCAUUCCUGUAUUCCAAAUAGGUCUACAUGAACACAAAAUGAACUAGGGGACAGAAAAAGCCAGUGAAGUUAGUUUUGAGCUUCACCAGCUACUUGCUACAUAAAGUGUGCUAUAGUCGCAGAAAAGCUAAGCUGGAUCAGACGUGGCCGAAACAAUGCCAAAGAGCUAGGUCCCUAGCUGAUGGCAACACAUCAGAUGACUAGCCUGCUUUUCUGUAAUAAUGAUAUUGAGCAAUACACUGCAUGGCUAACCUGCUUUACAAUAAUUGUCAUUUUAUAAUAUUGGUCAUCACGAGAGAUGCACAUUGCAUACACCGGCCCAUCCCUAUAAAUAGCCAAGCCUUUCAGCCAUCUUGGGCACCUCCUCUCAGGGCCUCGUCUCACCAUCAGACAUCUCGUUCCCAGUUAUAAUUUGCGAGGUUAGAUCAGGCUGCGCCAUGGCGUCCGCAACUGCUGUCAAGAUCGUCGCCACCUUCAUGCUGGUGCUGACCAUGGGCCACCUGAUGGCCGAAGCAUCACCGCAGCCUCGGCGUGUGCUUGCAGAAACGGAGCAUGCUGCGGUGUCCGGGAAUCCUGGCCUCCCAGGUGAUGCUAGCGUCAUGCAGGUCCUCGAACCCGCCCUAGUUUCUCGGCUUGCCUGCAAACCAGAGUGCACAGUCCCUUGGCCUCCUUUUGUAUGUAUCUGCUAGAUCCUCUUCCUGGCUCAACGGAACUUCAGGGAAAUGGCUGUGACGUCGGCCAAAGAAUAAAUUGGAUGAACAUAAUAUACCCCGGGUAGUGUAGCUUGGGCUUUUGUUGAGCGUCUGGUGCUAGUUGUAUUUUGUUUGCUCAUGUGGCUUUGCUUCUGGUUGCAUAUUGGCUUUCCUAUCGCUCUCUGUUGCAGCUAUGGUUUCUGCCAGGUGUGUGUUAAUGCGGUUUGUAAGCGGUGCUUGUUCCUACCUUCUGUUUUCAAUAAAAGAAGUCGGAGUCUCCCUCCGACUCUUGUUAUCAGUCAACAAAAAUGAGUUGUAUCAUAUAUAUCUGCGUCUUUUUUCUACGUAUCUUUGGGCUGCUUCAGCUGGAAGUUUAUCGUAAGUACGUGUAUCAGGAUGAUCGUUUGAAUUAAAACGAAAUGAUAAUGUGUGGCUGCUAGAAAUGGAAUGAGCAUCUUACUAUAUUACUAAUUGGAAGCCUCCACGUGAAGCCACCUAGAAAUUCUAGGUGGACGUUUUAAAAAAAACAAAACUCAUAGAAGCCUCCACCACCUAGGAAUCCUAGGUGGACACUCUAAAAAGAGACAAAUCCUAGAAAUUCUAAAAAAAGAAAAAAAUAAUAACAAUAAGAUUUUUUUGCAGUCAAUUACAUAUAUUUUUUUGAGACACCGUGCUGCUAGCUCUUGCCAUUGCGACCAGUAAAGCAAGCAGAUAGUAAGAUGACAUGCGUGUGGAUUGAUUAAAACAAAUUCAGUUAGUUGAUUCUAAAUCGUAUGUAUCCUAAAAGGAAGAUAUGUGCGUGCAUGGUCCCUAGCGAUGACAUGUAGACAUGUAUUGCAAUUUCUUUUUUAAAAAACAUGUCUAUCUCUAAACCAACAAACAGAAAAAAUAUCAAUCUAAAUCUAAAUCUCUUCCGUUCUCACACGCCUAUUAAAGAGAAGACAACCAAUCCCAUCCAUGUUCCAUAGAAUCCAUCUAAAAGCUUGCUCACUGCGGACGGCAUUUGACGGCAAAUCAAUGAAAGAUCAUCCUCUCCAAAUAGCUGGACGGCAUCACCAUCUUUAUCUCACCAACCUACAGAGCUACAACGAUGUUGUAGAGAUCAACUAGGUAACCUACCAAUCACCCUCCCCUUUUCUAUAUGCUCUAAAGAACACGUGGAGUAAUUAUAGGCCUAUAGGAGCCGACUAACCUAGAUUAAUAUGAAAAAUAUUCCAAUAUUAAAAGCAAGCAGAUAGUAAUACUUGCCUUUGACCAUUUUUCUAGAACUGUUAUUCCUAUUGAAUGUUCAAGUGCUACGGCCAGGCAUCGAAUGCCUGCACGGAACCUUCCUAUUGAAUGGUUACUCUAGAGAUCAACGCACCGCGAGACAUUUUUAUGGAAUUUGUUUGAUUCCCCUUCUACAAUUAGAUUAAUUUUUCAUGGCAUAUAUUACUACUAUUAAAUUAUUUGUUUAUUGUCGGGCCUGCUGCAUGUGUGGUAUAUAUGACUUGCUUCUCACCAUUGUUCUCAAACUAUUAUUCCUAUCGAAUCUUUCUAUCGAAAUAUAUUUUAAUUACUUGAUUGUUGUUUGUGUACCAUAACUUCUGUAUAGAAAAAUUCCAUGUUUGUAGAUAAUGUCUUUUGUAUAGAAAAAUAGCCCAAUUAGAUCCAUCACCAUCUUUUGCUUAUGUAGUUGAACAAGUUGCAAUGUUGAACAAAACUUUAAGUGAAAUUAGACCAGGAAAAGGAAUUGUGGAACAUUAAGGCAAGGGUAACCAGAUUGUGGAAUGCAACCUUACUCAGUAGUGGCGAACAAUUAAGUCUUGACAUGAUCCUUAUUGAUCAAAAGGUAUGAUAGAUGUUCACUUUGAUUGCAUUAUUGGUAUAAUUUUUGGUUUACAAAUUAUUAAUGAUGAUGCAAAAUUAGGGAACCAUGAUCCACGGUGUUAUCAAUAAGCCCUAUAUGAAAAAGUUCAAACCAUUGAUUGAAGAAGGCAAUGUGUACAUAAUUGCAAAUGUCAGAAUCACACCAGAACCACAGAAGUAUCGGCCAGUGGAAAAUGACAGGAUAGUCAACUUCUUACCCACAACUGCACUAAAAACGAUCAAAGAUACUGAAGACAUUCCAAAGUAUAGUUUUAACUUCAUGAGCACGGAUAUGCUUUCAGCAAGAAUAAAUGUGGACAUGUACCUAUUAGGUAAAACAUUACUGGCUUUUCAAUUUUUACACUUCCACUCAUUAAAUGACCAUCUAAUAAUAAUACAUAUUUAUGUUUCAUAGAUGUUAUAGGUAUCUCAGCUCACAUUGGACCGAUAGAAGAAACAAGGACAAACUUCGGAUUUACUAAAAUCCGUGAUAUUGUGCUCCUGAUCGAGUAAUUCUCUUUUCUUUUGUAGAAAACAACUACAAAACUUUCAACAUUUACAUGUAUGUUAUAGAACUUCUGUUGAACUAAAAAAUAUCUUCUACAGUGCCCCUACAAAUAAUUAAUUUCGUAGUUGGAUAUUUAAAAUAUUUAUUAUUCACUUUUAAAUUUGUGGCCAUGAAGUUAAAGUUAGAUUUUGGGGAGACAAAGUUGAGGAAGUUGAUGAUAAGACAAAAUCCCAUGUCAUUGCAAUAACAUCUACAACUGUGAGUAAAUUUGGCAGUAAGUCUUCAUUCAAUAUGAGUUAUUCAAUAUUAGUCAUUCAACAAACUAACCUCGUAAGAAAAAUAAAUAAUUGAUGUUUUAUCAGGGUAUUCUCUAUCGUCAACCAAUGCAACAAAACUUUAUGUAGAUCUACCUAUUCCUGAAACUAAGGAUGCACAUGAUAGGUGAGAAAAAUUAGAUAUUGUUUUUCUAUUUUAAUCUAUGUAGCAUGCACUCUAACAUGAUACAUUCUUUCAUAUGAUAAAAAAAUGUUAGUUCAAUUGAAAAUAUUGUCAAAGAGAUUCAUAUUGAGGACCAUCUAAAAGGGACAUUGGAAGACCAAAUGCAGUACAAUAGAAGAACUUUAGAAGAAUUAAAUUUCAUAUUAUUUGAAACAUCAAAUCAGGUAUGGAUUAGUAUGUUCAUUGUACACUAUACUAUUUAAAGACUUACAUACAUAAUGAUGGUAUUGUUCCUACUUUCAGGAUGAGGUAUUUACUAUUGAAGCAACAAUAAAUGAAAUUAAUGCAACAUAUGGUUGGUUGUCACACCCGAUUUUAAGGACAAAAUUGAGUGCAUUAAAUACAUGUGCACCAGGAUCAAGUUACACACAUCCUAUGAGUACCGUCCUUCUUUGGCACAAAGAUAACCGGUGCUCCCCAUGGUGAUGAACUAGGCCGAAUAAACUAUUUUGCUGAUAAUUCCUCUAGUUGUUGUUUCAAUUCUUUUAAUUGUUCAACCAACAUUCUAUAAGGACGUUUGGAGAUAGGUGCAGUACCAGGUAAAAGAUCAAUAGCAAAUUCAAUGUCGCGGUCAGGUGGCAUACCUGGUAAAUCGUCGGGGAACACAUCCGGAUAGUCACACACCACUUUGAUAUCUUCCAAGGAUUUUCCAGCCAACUGAUUAACUGCACAAUCUGCUGCUGAGGGUAGAGUAGCUACAAACUCCACUUUCUCUCCAUCAGGACCUGUUAGCAGAACUGUCCUCUUGGCACACUGAAUCGUUGCAUCAAAAGCGGCUAACCACCUCAUCCCCAGAAUUACAUCGAUUCCACUGGACUCAAGGACGAUAAGAUCAGCCGGAAACUCUAUACCCAUUAUUCUCAGUUUAACUUGUGGACAGAUGUAUUGAGCCUUCAUUGACCCCCCAGGUGAACUCACUAGCAUAUGACGCCUCAUGGUAUGCAUGGGUAAAUUAUGCUUUGCUACAUAAUGACUAGUGACAAAAGAAUGCGAUGCUCCAGAGUCAAAUAAAACUGAUGCGGGGGCAGAGUUGACAAAGAACAUACCAAGCACUACAUCUGGAGCCUCCUUAGCAGUCUCGGCUUCCAUGUGGUUCACCUUGCCACAAACAAAGCUUUGCUGCCCCUGAUUGCCUUGUGGGGUCUGGUUCCCAUUCCUCGGUUGCUGCAUCUGAUUCUGCCGAGGAGCACUGCUGUUCUGCACGGGGGUAGCUGGCCCACCUCUCUUAGGACAAGAGCUGGCAUAGUGACCAACCUCGCCACACUUGAAGCAGGUAGGACCCACUGGAGCAUUGGGCCUUGUUGGAGUGCCAGUAGGGGUCAUCUGGCGGUUCUGCGUAAAGCUUGGGCGCGGAGUCUGCAUAGUCUGCAUCCCUGGAUGCUGGAACUGAGGGCUAGGGCGCUGGAAUGACUGCUGAGCAGGGCGCGGAAAUGAGUGCUGCCAAAAAUUCCCACUCGGGCCCCCUGCGCGGAACGGCGUCCCUUGCUGUGGAGCAAAGCGAGGGCGGGUGUUGCUUCCUGAAGACUACUGGGAAUUGAAUUUCCUCUUCAUCUCCCCGAGCUCGUUCCUCUUGUGUUCCAGGCCAAUUGCCUUGUCUAGCAUCUUCUGGAAACUGGGGAAGGUGUGCGACAUAAGCUGAUAUUGGAGUGGUCCAAUCAACCCAUCCAAGAAUAGCUCCUGCUUCUGCUCAUCAUCAGCAACAUCUUCGGGAGCAUAUCGGGACAACUGGACAAACUUGUCCCUGUACUCUGCCACUGUCAUGUUCCCCUGCUUGAGAGCAAGGAACUCCUUCUUCUUAAGCUUCAUCAAUCCGGAAGGAAUAUGAUGACUUCUGAAGCUAGUCCUGAAUUCAUCCCAGGUGAUGCCAUUAGCAUUGGCAUGGGUGGUGGUGUAAGCAUCCCACCAAUCAGCAGCUGGCCCUUCCAGGCGUCCUGAAGCAUACAGGACCUUCUCCCUGUCAGUACAUUGGGCGAUAUCCAGCAUCUUCUCCACUGUUUUCAGCCAAUCAUCAGCAUCUAAUGGAUCCGGAGAAUGUGAAAACGUCGGGGGCUUGUGGCUCAUGAACUCCCUAUGCCUGUCCCUUGGCGGCGGCUGCUGCUGGUUGUUGUUGUUGUUAUUGUUCAGCUGAGCUUGUAAAGCUGCCACGGUGUUGGUCAGUCCGGCGAGAAGCUGAGUCUGAGCUGCUAGAAACUGCUCCAUCCCUGCAGGUGCUUGUUGGUUCUGUUGCGGAGCGGUGUUGGGAUUGCUGCUGUUGUCCCUGUGGCGUGGCACUGUGGGACGGUCAACUCCUGAUCCGGACCUGGUGUUUACCAUCUGAGCGUUAGAGACAAUGGAUUUAGAUAGAUGUGUGAAAGAAUAACUGAGAAAGAUAAAGCGACCAGAUGUAAAAGUAACACAGAUUCUGUUAGCUCCAUUUAAUUAGGUGUGGUCGUCAGAAGAAGUGUCCAUAAAUUCUGAACAAUUACCAAGUCGUAACUUAUUAAAUUUGUAAACCAACCCAACUGGAAUCAUCUCAAUCGGACUUCUGGAUCUCGAGUUACAAAAUUAACAAGCUGACAGUGUCGGUCGAUAGGUUCAGAUUCUGAGUGCUUUACUAAUUCGCAUACACCUCCCAGACAGAUACACCAAAAAUUCUGAAAAAUUUACAGAUAGUACUCCACGAAAUUCUGAAACUAACCCCACUGGUUUCAUGUCAUUUGGACUUCUGUAGCUAGAGAUAUAAAUAAAAAAGUACUGGCGUGUCAGUUAAUGUCGAGAACAGAAUUGAAUGUCGCUUAGCUUGCGUGAUGGAUAGAUUUAGACAGAUGGUAGAUCAUGAUUAAGGAAGAUUAAAUACUGAUUUAGAACAGAAAUAAAACCCAACUAAGCACUUUAUUUAUUAAGACCAGUAUCGUGUGGCAAUUGCCCCACAUACCGCACUCAUUACAAAAUCCAACUCAAACAUGUAGCACAAAACCAAUCAUCUAAGCACACUUUAACUAACACACUCGAACGACGUCUAACGAUUACAAGAAUUUAAACUAAAACACUCCUAAUUUCCUAGAGGUCUUCUGCGGCGGUGCCGGGCGAGUCGUAGCGGGGACGCUUAGGCGACGGCGACGAAGCGGGAUGAACAGCAAACUCCUGCGGCGGCGGUGCUCCCGUCGCGGCAGCCAUAUUCGCAUCCCUCUCCCACCGGAGUUCCUGAACCUCCUGUUGAAGCUCCUGGAUGUGGUUGUUUGCUUCAUUCAAUGCGGUGAGAGCUGCCGACGUGUACUUGCGGAGGAAGUCUGUAGCCAUGUCAACCCCAUCGUUAGUAGCGAUGAAGGUUCUUGCUUCCCCACUAGCUCGGUAAGGAAGGAACCGAUGGUAAGUGUGCUGCAAUCGCGGCCGUUCCUUGUGGGAGACGACCUCAAGUGCCCUCCUGGCGGCCUCGGCAAUGCCGGAUUCCAUGGUCCUCCUUAUGGUCACAUCAUGGUGAAAAGCCUUCACCUCCCAUCCUCCCUCGUGCUCCUCACGAAGGACAACCUUCACCUCCCAAAAAGUGGGAUAGCGAGGGUGGGUGAACCGGGAGCACUUGUAGAGUGGCCUCAUGCCGUACCCCAAGCGGUGACAAGUCCACCUGAGUAUGUCGGCCAUGUGCACUCCUUGGCCAUAAUCUUCCUUCACCCAUUUGAUCCAUGUCUCGGGCUCGGGAUCUGCUUCGGGCUCAUCAUCCGUCAAGUCGACGACCGGUACGGGCGUCGGGGCUGGUGCAGGAGCGGGCGCCGGUGCUGGCGACGGUGCUGGUGACGGCGUGGUCUCCUGCUCCACGGUCACGGCGUCCCCGUCAGAGUCAUCCCCCGGAUGCUGGAAGAUCUCUUCCUCUUCUUCCUCGUCCCAAGGCUCCAUGGGGGCGUACGACGGCGCGAUGCCAUGACGCGGCGGACGGGUGCUCUUGCGUGCGGUCAACCGGGUGCGAGCCAUCUAACAGAAAGAAAGAAGAAAAUUUUAGAAUAAAAUUUUGAACAAAGCUAGAUAAUAAAAUAGCAAUAAGGAUGAGACAAAUCAAGUUUAAGAAUAAUUAAGUAGAUUUAAAUUAAGAAAGGUAGGAAUGGCUACUAGAUUAUUAUAAUCCUUAAAUACGACCAUUUUCUAACUAGGCUAACGUCCUACAGUCAACACGGCUCUGGUACCACUUUUGUCACACCCGAUUUUAAGGACAAAAUCGAGUGCAUUAAAUACAUGUGCGCCAGGAUCAAGUUACACACAUGUACGACAAUAGUGAAUAGUAAAGCCAGUGCUAAAUCGAAUAAAGAGAGUAUUAACCAUUAUUACAUGACCGAAUGUCUCAAAUAAACCACAAAGUCUAAUUAUUACGCAGCGGAACUCCAAAGAUGACGACGACUCCAUAGGCAGCUGACUGAAGAAACGUACGCCUAGAACUCCUCGAAGUCGUGGAAGUACUCCUCUUCCCAAUUAACUUGGUCUGAACAGCGGUUUUGCAAGGGUGAGUACACUUAUGGUUGGUACUCAACAAGUCGUGGGAAGUAGUGUAGUGUAAGGCUAAUUCAAGGUAUGGCUAAGGCGUAAAUAGCAUUCGCUUUUAAUUAAGUUGGUCAAAUUUUAUUAGCAUUUACUAAGUAUAAGUUCAUACCACCCGAAAUUAAACAUGAACAUAAAGUAAACCACAUGUGCAUGAAAUGAUAACAAAUUAAAUCCAUCUUCCGAUAAUAUUAUCAUGUGAGGGUCCAGGCCGCUCUUAACCGUGAGCACGGCUGAUUGAUCAGUUUAACACUCUGCAGAGGUGGCACAUCUUUACCCACAAGUCGCGUAAAAGUUCAAAAGAACUUUGGACCCAACCAUGCGGUGUUUGCAAGGCACCAUACCACACUUCCGAGGUGUGAUUGCAUAGGGACGCUACGAGGCCUUUACAAAGAUUCAUUAAUCAGUGGUAACCCGCUAAGGUUUCGGUGUCUGGCGUGCACCACCCAUCCCAGGUAAAAUGCAACGACUCAGUCCCCCCCCUUGAAUCAUCACGAGUAAGGUCACCCCAGACUAAGGUUUCUAAUUAAUCAGCCAAGACCAGAGCUAUUUAGUCUUGUGGUAGCACUGUUUUCCUGGGUGGUCGCUCCAUGUUCUGAUUAACAAAUAAUGAUCUUGUCUUAAUGAAAGGUAUAACAGAAAUAAGGCAAGAUUAAGCAUUGUUUUUAGUUAAACCACCAUGUACCAAGUAAGCACUAAGCAUGAGCUACCCAACAUAAAGUAAACCGGUUGGUCAAGGCAAAGGUAAAACAAUCUAGGCCAACCUUAAUUGGGACCCAUCAAUUUAAUCUUAAUAUGUGCACAGCAUAAAUGUUGAGUACGAGAAAGUAAAGGUGUAUAGGACAAAAAGGUAGUGAUCAAGGACACGACUUGCCUUCUUGGCCUUGCUCCUGCUGUUCGUACUCCUCGAAGGCUUGAUCGGCAACUCCCUCGAACUGCGGGGCGUCUACACGCAUCACACGAGCACAUACAAGCAAACAUGGGCAAAAGUAAGAAAACAGUAUACCAAACAUAGUCAAACAGAGAAAACAAGCUUGAAAAGAUGAUCUACGCUUUAAAACGAACACGCGGAUAUAAAGAACGCGAAAAACGGAGUUAAGAUGCAAAAGAUAUGAUUAAAACAAAAUCCAGGGACUUUUCUGUAAGAAAAACAAAACUUUUAGGGCCUAUCCGCGAAAACCGAGGGCUUAUACGUAAUUAUGCGUAUAAACCGAGGGUCUGAUGCGUAAAAACAUCAAACCCGGACGGCGGGUUGAUUUCUGGAAAGGUCAAGGGUUAAACCGAAAAAUGCGAGGGCAGAUCUGUAAAUACUUUCAACGCGAUCUGGACCGCGGGUUGAUUUGCGAAAAAGGCGGGGGCUAAAGUGCAAAAACUGCACGGCGCGGCUCGGUUGACCGGUACGCGAUCUUGAUUGACUCGCGUCCGGCCGUCGGAUUAAGAUCCGACGGUCGCGGUGAUCCGCGACAUCGCGGCGGCGGCGGCGAGCGGCGGCGAGCGGCGGCAAGCGGCGGCGGGUCGCCGGAGUUAGGCAAAAUAGCGCCACGAGGCACGGUUUAACGCGCGGGUUGCACCAAAAAAGAGAGGGGAACACGUCGAUCCCGUUUUGGGGGUUCUUGUCGACGGGGGCUCACCGGCGACGGCGAACGGCGGCGAGGAAGAGGCGGCGGCGCUAGGAGCUCGGGCGGCUAGGGUUUCGGGGAGCUGCGGCGCUGGUUUUGGGCGGAGGAGACUGGGAGGAGGCGGCGGCUUUUAUAGGGCUUGGAGAUAGAGCCGGCGCGGGUUCAAAUCCCCCGGAGGAGUCGGAGCGGAUGGAGUCCGGGGCGGAGACGGCGCGCGGCGGUUGCGGAGUUCUGACCGGAUUCGGCCGGAGGUGGGAGACGAUGGGUGGGGUCCACCCGUCAGUGGCGGAGGGGAGCGGUAGACGGGCCGGCGCGACCGUGGGCUGGCGCGCGCUCGUGGGCUGCGGGGAGCGGGAGAGAAGCGGCGAGCGGGCGCUGGCGGAGCAGGCCGAGCGGAGGUAGAGCUGGGCCGCGGAGAAAAAGGAGGAGGCCGGCGGGCUGCUUCGCAGGCCGGUAAGGAUGAGGCGGCCGGGCCGAAGAAGAAAAAGAAAAGGAGGGACAAGGAGCUUUCGGCCGAGGGAAAAGAAGAAGAAAAAGAAAAGGAAGAAGAAAAGGGAAAAGGUUUUGGAAUUUGAAUUUAAAUCUGAAAUUCAAAAUUUGAUUCAAACUCAAGCAACCAAAAAUUAUGCUCCAGCAUGAAUGCACAAAUAAUUCCUAUGAUGAAUUAAUUGAAUUAAAGAAAAUGAAUUUAAAUGCCUAGAAAUUAAAUAACACCCUAAUUUGAGCAAAUUUUAAUGAAUUUGAAUUAUUGAAAUUUUGGGUGUUACAUUGGUACUACAUCUCAUGUAGUAGAGGCGAUUGUAAGAAGCAACUUGAAAAGAAGUUUGAUCACUACUAUUGCAAUAAAUGUGACAAGAGAGCCGAACCUAAAGCCCAGUAAAUUAUUUAGUAGUUUACAAUCUUAUUAUAAUACUUCUAUUUCUAAUAGGAGAAUAAUAUUUUCAGAUUCAAAUUAAGCUUCAAAUAAGUGAUCCAACAACAAGUGCAACUUGUGUACUUUUGACAAGGAAGCAGAAAUGAUAAUUAAUGAAUGAGCAGAUUCGAUGAUCACCUCAGUUGAUCAUGAUAAUAAGUAGCUACCAAAAUCAAUUCAGGAAAUAUGUGAAGAAACAUUGAUUUCUCAAUUCAGAUUGACCGAGUACAACUUGACAAGUUUUAGACCUGAUUAUACUGUUUCAAAGAUAUUUUUUCCAAAAGAAAAGGGCAGUUCAAGAAUUGGUAUGGAAAGUGUAAAAAAGGUAACACUUUAUUAUUAAUUUUUUAUUGCACUUUUUUCUUUUGAAUCCGUAAUACUUAAUAAUUUUACUAUAUCAAUGAAACAAAUUCUAACCUAAAUUUAUUUUCUUUUUUAUUAUUUGUAGGAAGUAGAAGACAACUCAGACAAAUGCUACACGAUAACUACCGAGAAUGAAGAGGUAGACACUGAUGACUCUUUUACCGAGAAAGUAACAUUCGUAGAAGAAGCCAUAAGGACUGGGGAAAGAUUGGCUAGAAAAGUAUACUCACUUCCAUGUCAGUGUUCAUUCUAUUUACAAUACAUGCAAAAAAAAUAUUAUUCAUGCAAAAUUGCAGGUCUACUAAGCAUUAAAGGAAUAGCGGAUAGUGCAAUAUGUAAUCUGAGCAGCAUGCAUUACAAAGUGCUCUACUGCAAUUAAAUUAAAAAACAUGAUAUAUGUUGAAUUCUUAGACUUUAUUAUUAUACUUUUCUACGUGACAAUUCACAAUUUUUUAGAAAAAAGAAGAUCCCAGAAGAAGUGACCAUGAAAAAAGGUCUAUGACCAGCAAUAAGAAAAAAUGCAAGCAUAGAAACAAAUCCGUAGAAAACAUAGAAAAUAAGGUACUCCAUAAACAAAAGUAUUCUCUUAUAUUUUUAUUAAAUAUUUUUUUAACACUUGACAAGUUCUUUUUUAGGAUCAAUAUAUCAGCAAUUCAGAUGUCAUUGGAGAUGAAACCUUAGUUCAUCCAAAAGGUCAAAAAAAAACAUCUGAAGAAAGGUGUUUGGCUGAAAAGGAAAAGCAAAAAAGUGGUAAUGCAGACAAACACAUGCAGAAAAAUAUAAAAACAUGUCAUAGGGAGGCAGACCAAUCUUGCAAGGAGGUAUAGACGAAACGUGAUACACGACCUGCCUACCUUGUCGUGGAUACCCCAAGAAGAUGUCAUAGAGGUGCAGACCAAGCUAGCAAGGAGGUCGAAACGUGAUACACGGCCUGCCUACCUUGCCGUGGAUAUUAGCCCUGAGAUCAUUCUACUGUUCAAGGAAUAACACUCAAUGCUGCUGCUGCUGCUGACCUGGCUCCAUAAAGUUAUACUCCUCUAGGUGCUUGCACUAACUUUAUCUGAAGUAUUAUUCUCUCUGCACUGUAUAUAUGGUUAUGGAGUUUGCUGGAGUAUCCGGGGCGAAGAACCUACAUAAUACGUCUUGGAACUAAUUGACAUUGAUUCACAGACAAACUCUACAAGGUGCUGUUCUUGCCAUUUUAGAGCAUCCAAAGGACUAUAAAUAACAUAGUUUACCAUAUACCAUAUACCAUAUACCAUAAUAUGUUAGCUAAAAUAAGAGCAUACACAUGUUGCAGGAGUCCAAAAGCACCGGUUGAGGACCAGGUACAUUGAAUUACUAGAAAAAGACAGGGGACAAGGUUUAGGUAACCACAUGAAACAUUUGAAUUUAUUGUACUAUGAACACUUAGUUACCAUGCCAGGAGCACAUAGUUAACACUAACAUUUAGCCACUUUAGAUCAUCCCGAAUCACCAAUGACCCUCAAUAGUGACAAAUUUUGGUUUAAAUGCCAUCACCAAUGAUCCUCAAUAGUGACGUAUUUAGGUUUAAAUCCCGUCACUAAUAACCCUCAAUAGUGACCUGUUUUGGUUUAAAUCUCAUUACCACUGAUCCUCAAUAGUGAUGUGUUUUAGCAAAACAUGUUAUCAAUGACUUGUCAUUGGUGACGUGUUAAAACGCGUUAUCUCAAUGGCAAAUCAUUGGUGACGUGUUAUCUCAAUGUUAUCAAUGUUCUAUUCUUUUCAACAAUACCAGCUCGUUCCUCCGUUUUUAUUCCACCAAUACAAGCACCACCUUGUAACAUUUCCUAUGUUUUUUUUCCUUUUGUCUGUUUUCUCACUACAUGCGUUGCUCUUUCAUGCAUUUUUUUCCAUUCCUGUAUUCCAAAUAGGUCUACAUGAACACAAAAUGAACUAGGGGACAGAAAAAGCCAGUGAAGCCAAUUUUGAGCUUCACCAGCUACUUGCUACAUAAAGUGUGCUAUAGUGACGUGUUUUAGCAAAACAUGUUAUCAAUGACUUGUCAUUGGUGACGUGUUAAAACGCGUUAUCUCACUGGCAAAUCAUUGGUGACGUGUUUUAAAAAAACAUGUCACCGUGAGAGUCAUUGGUGAAGGGUAAUUAAAAUGCGUCACUAAUGUUGUAGCAUUAGUUAUGAUAAUUUAGUAACGCAAAAAUCUACCAUCAGUAUUGAGCUUUAGAGCCAUCGCUAAUGUGGGUUUCUUACAUAGUGAUGCAAGCUCUACAAGGUGCUGUUGCUGCCAUUUUAAAGCAUCCCAUGACUACAUGUUAAUAACAUAGUUUACCAUAUAUCAUAAAAAUAUUAGUUACAAUAAGCACAUACGCAUGUGGAAGAGUCCGAAUGCACCGGUUGAGGACUAAACACAUUGAAUUACUAGAACCAAAUGUAUGUUUAGAACAAAGACAGGGGUCAAGGUUUGGGUAACCGCAUUAAAAACAUUGGAUUUUACUGUACAUGAACACUUAGUUACCAUUACCAUGCCUUGAGCACCUAGUUACAACAAACAUUAAUUUAGCCACUUUAGAGCUUCCAGAAUCGCUAUAAAUAAUAUACCUACGCCGUACCAUGAAAACAUCAAGAAGAGAGACGGAUACAUGGACCACCAUCAAGCGAGUAGUGACAGCACGCACAAGAAUACCCGGAACCUGUUAGCUUGUCUGUAGUGAUCUGUUUUCUUCCCCAUAAAAUCCAUGAGUAUUGCCACAAAUAAUGAAAGAGGCUGACCAAGCUAGCAAGGAGGUAGAGCAAACGUGAUACACGGCCUGCCAAGAUUGCCCUGGAUACGCCAAUAAGAGCGACAGAUACAUGGAUCACACCAAUAUGGUGAAACGUAUAUUCAUCACACAAGCAAAGCUGGUCAGUUUAUCCAUGGUCAAAUUGUGGUCUUUGUUUUCACUUGAGAGCUAAUUGAGGCACUAUAAUAUGGGCAGGCCUAUCUUCAACAGACAUGACAGCUACAGGGAACUUGACAUAAUUUGCUGGGCCGCCUGUGCACAAUUAUUUGUUUUAUUGUCCUUGCAUAGAAUGCUAAAAUACUCUUUACAAAAUGUUGGAUCUAAUAUUUGAAAUAUAGAGUAGUAAUCAUAUAUUGAUCAACAACUUGAAAUUAUCUGUACAUUCUCGGUGAAGCUGUUGAACUAAUUUUUGCAAAUUAUUAAUUCAUCUCAUUACGUAAAGAAAAAAGUAAGUGGAUAAGAUAUUUCGUGGACCACAUCACUGCAAACAUGUCAUGGAGAGACAGACCAAGGAGGCAGGACGUGAUACACGACUUACCCUAGGUUGCCGUGGAACCGCCAAGAAGAGAUACAGAUACAUGGACCACACCAUCUUGGGAGUAGUGACAGCAUAUAUGCAGAAGAAUACCCCGUGCCUAUUUGCAUGCAUGUCUCAAGUGAUCUGUUUUCUUCAGAAAAUACAUGAGCAUUGCCAGAAAGAAUGGCAAGAGACAAACAUGUCAUAGAGACUUGCAUGUCUUGCCUUGGAUACGCCAAGAAGAGGGACACAUACAUGGAUAACACAAAUCUAGUGACACGUAUAUUCAUCACAAAGGCAAAUCUGAUAAUUUUAUCCAUGGAGCAGACCAAGGAGAAAUUGAUGACGGACAUGUGAUCUCUGUAUUCAGUUGAAAGCUAAUUGAGCUACACUAAUAUGAGCAGGACUAUAUUCAAGAGACUUGUUGAGAGCUACAGGGAACUUGUAAUAAUUUGCUGGGCGGCCUGCGCACAAUGAUUUGUUAUACAUAGUUGAAAUAUUUCAAGAAUUUAUCAACCUCAUACUCUGAAACCCUUGGUGCAAUGUACUCUGCUUUCCGAGGUAGACUGUUCACGUAAAAUGAGGUCAUGCGUAAGACGGAAUCGGAUUGGAUUCACAGGGAAUCAGAUUUGGAUAGCACCUUUUAGCAGGUUUUUAGUCAAAUGCAAAUUCGGAUCCACAUGUGGUUGAAUGCGAGUUCAAAAUUCUACUUGGAUAUCCAUUUAAUUUAGGUGAUAGCAAUUAGCACAAAAUGUUGGAUGAACAAAAUCAUAGUUAGACAUACAAUUACAUGUAUGGUUAAAGUAUAAUACAAUACACCAAGAUUAUUCCUUGAAAAUAUUUCUUAAAAAUAUUAUAAUAAAUGAAUAAAUAUAAUUGUGGCCACCAACAAAUAGUCGGUGGUCGCUAAGUUGGAGCCAUUUCUGGUUACUAAUGCGGCCUUCUCCUCGACCAGCGACGACAGCUGAGCUUGUUCCUUCUGACACUAAAUCAUCAGAGUCUUCCCUCCACUACUAUAGAAUGCACCUUUAGCACCAAUUGGGAAAUCCCCUUCAGUAUUGGAUGCUGCAACCAGUGCUAUAUAUCAAAAUGGAGACUAAAAGCCUCGGUCUUGGGUACCGGUUGCAUAACGCAUUACUAAAGGAGGCAAAAGAGAAAUGUAACAAAAAAAAUAUUUUGAAUUCCAAGAAUGUUUCACUAUUCAAGAUGACUAGCUGAGAGUCAACAGACAAGAUACUAGGAAUGUGGGUGCUUGAAUGCAUUUGUACAGAGGUCAUACUAUUUACAAACUCUUCUAUGUUUCCAUAUGACUACCUACUUCAAUGUCACGCGAGCCAUUCAGCUGGACACAUGGCACACUAGCUUGCAUGUCGAAUCCAUGAUUAAUUAUUUGCACUUGUGAUCUCUUACCAGUAUUUGUCCAGACUAGAAACGUGCAACACAUUUUUAGGAUAUGGACACGCAUAUAUUUGGACUAGUAUACAGGUCACCUUUGGAUGCGUACAAGGAUGACCGGGAGGGACUAAUGGAUACAAGGAAGGGACCAUCAGGAUUAAUAUUGACAUAUGCCACAUGACAAUCUUCAUUGUCAUGCAAUCCCUAUCAACAAUCAUGGAAUCCCUAGUGUACUAAUCCCUGGAGGGUUGUGUGGAAAUUUAUUUUACCUUGCGGUGAAAAUCUCAUGAGCAGUCAUUAGUUAAGCUGACUAGCUGAGAUAUAAUAGACAAGCUAGUAAGAUUGGGAGCAUCAAUGCAUCCAUACAGGGUCACAAUAUCCUUUCCAUUCACUUUUAUAUAUAACCCUACGAAUACAAGUCCAACGAAAUGCGGGCCUUUCGAUCAAGAUAAAUUAAAUGGCCCACUUGUAUUUCUAAUCCAGGAUUAACUAUGCCCUCUGUUCAUCUCUUGCAAGCACGUGCAACACAUUUUCACGAUAUGGACAUGCAUGGAGGUUAUUAUACUGUUUGGACAAACUCUGAUGUGCCAUGACCUAAAUGCUUAGGGCCUGUUUGGUUUGAGUUGCUUAUUAUAAGCAACUUAAAGUUGCUUAAAGUUGCUUAUUUGAAGUUGCUUAUUUUUAGUCUAAACUGUUUGGAUACCCUUGCUUAUGAGCAUUGAAUGAGUUGGACAUUGUCAAAUUUGCCCCAUGUGUUGCUACCCCUCCAAUUUGCCUCCCCACCCUUCUUCUUCCUGCACACGUCCGAUCCCGGGGGCCGACGGCGGGCAGGGAGCAGCAGCAGCUGGCCAGGGCGGCGGUGGGGCGGGAGCGGCGGCGCACACCAGCACGCGCUCGCACGCCAGGUGCUAGGGCGCGGCGAGGCAGUCGUCGUAGCCCACCGGGAGCGGGUGCUCGGGCGCGAGGCGGUACUCGACGGAGAUGCCGAGCGUCGGGCGCGCGGCGGCGAGCGCGUUGAGGAAGCGAUGGUAGUGCGGCGACGUCGCGGACUCCGCCACGAAGCCGCCGCCGUGGACGUACACCACCACGGGCAGCUUCGUCUUGCCGUCGGCGGCCGCGGCCGCGGCCUGGGGUGGCAGGUAGAGGCGGACGGAGCAGGAGCCGAGGUCGACGUCCCUGGAGUCGACGCCCGUGGCGGCGUCCAGGCUGGGCCCGACCGGCGGCGGCACGAGCGGGCGCUCGAUGCGGCCGCUCUUGUAAAUCCGACGGGUCUGUGCGGAGGCGGGCGGCGGGCGGGAGCGGCGGGUGGGAGCGGCGGCAGGUGGUGCGGAGGCCGGCGGCGGCGGGUGGCGCGGAGGAAGGGGAGCUGGUGAGUGGUGACAGGGGAGGGGGGGAGAGAGAGGGGGGGUAGGGUGCAUUGAAUGAGGGCAGGAGGUGUAAAGUGCACCUUUUAGUCCCCAUGAGCAACCAUAAGCAGCCCAAGAGUUGCUUAUUUGCUUAUAAUAAGCAACCUCAUAAGCAAGAGUGAUUGGUUUCAUAAGCAACUUAUUUGCUUAUUUUAAGUUGCUUAUGCAUAAGCAUGUGAAACCAAGCAGGUCCUUAACCUAUGGUUGUGGCACCACACAGUACAUAGUAUUUAAUAAUGCUAUUCGUUUGGUAUGUGCACAAGGGCACGCAUGAAAUGUCUGGCCCACGGUAAACAAGUACGGACGCUGCAAAUAAUCUACUCUGCUCGUCCAGUCCCUAGCCUAUAAAUAGAUGCCAUGCUAGCUCUUGUUGUGCUCACAAUUAAUCCUGACUACACACGAGCUUCUCUCCCUGGCCAAGACACAAUCAUAGUAUGAUGAAGAACAUGGCACUAGCCGGCAAUGGUAUGAAGAACUUAAUCCUCGCUGUUCUCUUACUGUGUCUAGUUAUAGGGCAGAUACAAGUGGAAGCUAAGAGCUGCUGCCCAUCCAUUACUGCAAGAAAUAUCUACAAUGCCUGCCGUAUCACGGGUACAUCCCGUCCAACGUGUGCAAAACUGUCAGGCUGCAAAAUUAUCAGCGGGGACAAAUGCAAGCCCCCUAACGACCACCUCACCCUUGACCCGGACACUGGUAAAUAAUAAAUUUAUCUCACUUGAUUUCUUCGUGUUUUGAGUCGUUAAUGUAUUUUCCAUCUGAUGAAACGUAUUGGUUUUGCAUUGAAGAGGAAGUUAAUGUGCUUAACUUCUGCAAGUUGGGGUGUGCGUCGUCUGUGUGCAACAACAUCAACGCUGGUAAGCACCUUUUGCUCAGACGGAGAAAACAAUAAUCAUUAAUUAGCGGCAGCUAGAAUCCUAUAAUCUAAUAUAUUUAUAUAUAUAUAUAAUUUUAUCAGCUCUGGGAAAUGAAGAGGCGAACGAUGCCGUUGAGAGUUGCGACCAAGCCUGCUCUAGCUUCUGCAACGUGCACGUUGGCGCUGCCACCGUGGUUGCUUAAGCAAAUGCAUCCAACUGGAUCGUCCUUGUGCUAAAUAAUUGGAUAUCGUAUCCACUUAAAGCUGCCUUGUGUAGUACGUUUUUGUUUGUGUCUCUCUUUAUAUUCCAAUAAGGUCGGUGAUCUUGAUGCCACACACUCAGACGUGUGUUCAUCUCCAGAUACUACUCCAUGCUACCUGCCCUUUGUGUUUUGUUCAAUAACUGGGUAUCAUAUCCCAGCCAGUGUGCCAUCUGUUUUGUGUUUAUUUCCUUCUAGUUUCAAAGGGGUUAUCAUGAUGUUACCUUCUUUCGAUAUGGUGCUUUGCAUGACUACUGUUGUAUGGUACCAUCUUGUUGGCCAAUAAAUACAUCUUAUCCUAUGACCCUUUGCUAUGACCCUUUGCAAAUAAGUACAAGAUUGUUAAAUACUCGGUAUAAAUUGACUACUGCUGUGAGUUCCCUUUCAGCUUAUCGUAGGCAUACAUUAUUGCUAGCACGGUGAAGACAACCAACACGAAUGGUCAAGUAAACGUACCGGUACUUUUGUAUACCAACACCCUUGCUUAAAUGUACCGGUGUUACUCCCCACUAGCACAUAUAUUCUUAUAUGCUAGCCGGCUUGAAAAUUAACCGAUUAAAAUAAUUAUUUCAAGACAGAAAUAACUUAUCGGCUUCUCGAAGCAUGUGUAAUGUGAAUUCAAGGACUUGAUGGAAGUUGAAUCGCUUAAUCUAGAUUGCUUUCAGGAUUUUGGGUAACUAAAUUUAACAUUUGCACAUACAAAUGUUAAUGUACAAAUAUUAAAUAUAGUUACCCAAGCAGAAUAUGAAGAUACUCUAUAGUAUAUAUAUACUAUAUAAAUCUAGUUAACAUUUAGUCUAAAUGUUAAAUCUAGUUACCUAAAAUCCUGAAAGCAAAAUGUAUAAAUAUAUAUCUUUUAAGGAAUCCCAAAGCAAGAGUUCAGUGGCAUUCUAUAGUCCCAUGCUGCUAGUUUGAGUUGGUCGAAGCCAACUUAAAUAGGAGAGCUCUCUCACUUCUCUAAAUACGUAACUGAAGGAGAGAAGGGGGCUUGGUUACACAACGCACGCACGCACGCAUAUUUGCGUUCUUUUCGCGUAACCAACCGCGUGACUUGAAACUUGCGACGUAGCGUGCUGCCAAGUCAAGUUGAUAUAACCUUUUUGCCGUAGGCGUGUAAUCUUUUGACAACGGUCAUUGGAGGUGAUAAGCACGCAGUCAAUACCUUAAUCCUGAGUUAAUAGGGCGGUUACUACUGCCAAUUAGUGGGGCAAUUUUGUAGGGGAAACGGUUAGCAGAGGGCUACCAUCUUCUCUAUAAGAAGUUCUGGAGACGUCCAGGAACACACAUGUACAUGUGAGAGACCCACGAAUUCCUUCCCAUCUCCCUUUUCCAUCUGGUGAAGUGUGCUAUGGUACUGAGCUGCUGGAUCUCGCCGGCUCUUCUCCUUGGCGUGCACCGAGGAGGAGGGUGAGCGGUAUCUCCGAGCUAUUGCCGUCAGGAAGCCUGCACGAGGGACAACAAUAAAGUUUUUGGGUAGCGCAACUACGCAACCGCUCGAUUCGAUCGACUAUGUUCUGCGCUGCCUCAUCUUCGAUCUGCACUGCAACACGUAACCCUGCAGCAAGUCUACACAAGGACGGAGCACUAAUCUGUAAGUCCUAGAUUGGUUUCUUACAGAGUUGUAGGUUACACAAGAUCUAGAAUUGUUACAUACUUAUUAUUAUGGGUUACAUGAUGUUUUGUACGGUUACGUCUAUUUUGCAUAUGCUAUUUUUACAUACCGUUUACAUGCAUAUGUAAUGGUUACGCCUAGCUAUUUGAAUCUAGAAUUGGGUUACAUAGCAGUAGCAAUGACUUACGUAAUAUGCCUCAUGUUUAUAUCUGGUAGAAUUUAACACGUAUCUCCAACAUAUUUUGAGGCAGUAUAAAUUUCAAUUCCUUUUGCUGCUCUGUUAAAUCCCGUCUUUCGUGUGGCCCAACACUCUAGUAUGCAUGUAGCACCAAGCUUGUUUGAGCCGCUUUGUGCUCUGAUUUUGCUGUCUGUAUCAGGUUGGACUGUUUCUUUGUCUUGCGAUGUAUAGCUUCAUAUCUUCUAGAGGUUAGACAGCAAAACCCGCGUUCUCUUAAGGCAACAACUCGAAGAAUCUGCAGCGCUCCUGAUAUAUCACUGCUGCAGAAACAAUCUUUAGUACUGAUUUCCAACCCCCUUUAGUAUCGGUUUGGCAAUCAGUACCACUACGUCGGUACUAAAGGGAGUUCUCUAGAAUCGGGUCAAAUAACUGGUACUAAAAGUGCUCCUCUACUACCAGUUGGUAACACCAAUAGGUAGUAACUUUUUUUGCACCCAAAAAAUUAAAGAAAAACAGCCGGGAGGCUCGCGCACACACGCAUCAUGAGUAAUAUGCGCGUGCAUGGUUUGUGGGAUUCCAACCCACGACCAAGCUAUAAGCACGUAGUUACAAAAAAAUUAAACACUUAGACAUUUUAGAGCAUCCCAAAUAACUACAAAUUCUUUAGUUUACCAUAUACCAUAAAAUAUUAGUUAAAAUAAGAGCAUACGCACGUCGGAAGAGUCCCAAUGCACCGGUUGAGGAUCAGACCAGGCACUUUGAAUGCACAUGCCAUAAGAUAAUUCUGCAGGACGAUGAUUGCAAUAAUGGACCAUCGAGAAGAUAGGGGCGAUGGGGUUGCCUCAUCAAUUAUGACUUGGCGCAACAAGACCAGCAAAGUCUUUAUCGACAGGGGUGGAUCAAGGGGUGGGGCGGGUAGAGCUCCAAUCUUCCUACCGCCGCUCGAACAAUGGAGCCCCCCUUAGCCCCUCCAUAAAUUUUUAGGUAGAAGAAAAAAGAAGAGAAGGGAAGGAAGGGGAAGAAUAGGGAGCCCCUCCUAAGUAGGUCGCCAUCGUGCUUCCCAACGCAUGAUCGCCGCACCGCAUCCAUUCCUCUACAAGCCUCCAGCGUCUCUCCUGCCGCUACCUCUGAACCAUGUGCAGCUGCAGACCCAACUAGUGUCUUGUCACCCAUCUCAAUCCCAACAGAGCGGCGGCUCCUGCCAGCACAAAUCUCCCUCCGCCUGUUCUUCACGAUCGAUGGCCACCACAAGCAUAAACCUCGCCUUCGCAUCCACGCAAAAGGGUCGCCGGUGUGCCUUCUCGCAUCGCUUCUCAGCCUCCUUCACUUGCGGCUGGCCAAGAACCGUGCCACCACCUCGGGUGCGCGCCACCGCUCCAGGGCCGCUACCCCAUGCGUGCGGCCGCCGCCGGCCACCACGCGUGUGCAACCGUGUCGCACCGCUUCCCUGCUCUGUGCCACCACUGCUACUGCACCACCAGCUCCACCACCUUGGGCUGGUCGCCAGGGUGACUGAUUGGUGGAUUAUUACUACAAAUAAGUUCCUUAUUAUCUGCAACUACUAUUAACUCAGGGAUACAUGCGUCUUUUGCUUCUCCUGUUAAUAUGUCCUAAAAUAUCUAGAAUGCCUUAUAUUUCUGGACGGAGGAAGUAUUUGAAUAAAAUGAACCAAUUUUAAAAAAUGUGUUGUACACUACUACAGAAAGAACUAUCAGUGUCAAACCCAAAAAUGUCGUCACUGCCAGUUUUGGGCAUCGUUGGUGAAAGGUUGGCGGUGAUGGGUAUCCCCUUCAACAACGGCACUAGAGCUAACAGUGAUUGACAUUAGAAAACGAAAAAGGGGACCCACCUAGCCACCCCUGCAACCCGGCUGGCCGUGCCUCCCGUCAUCCCCACCACCUCGCCUCCCCCGUGACCCCCCGCCGGCGCCCUUGCGCCUAGCCCCCUCGCCUGCCUGGCCGGCCACCCUCGUCACGAGAGAGAGGGGUGCAUGUUGUAUAAUUGCGUGAAUUUUUAAUGUUUAAUUUCAUGUAAGUUUCAUAUAAUAAAUUGUACAAGUUUUAUUGUAUAUAUGAAUUCCAUAUAUAUAUAUUUAUAAUUUAAUGUAUGGUUUCAUGUGUAUAUUUCAAUAAUGUGUAUAUUUAGUAGAUAGCCGAUUUUCUUUUUCUACAAGACAAGGGUUGAUGUAUAAUUACGUGUAUAUGUUUAUUGUACGGGCAAUUAGGACAAGUUUUGUAUAAAUUUCUUUUAUUUCAUGGUUGUUGUAUGGUUUCAUGUAUAUACAUUUAUUGUACUACUUGAGACAAUUUUUAAUUUAAUGUUUCUAUGGUUACAUGUGUGUAUAACUAAUUGUAUUAUUAGUUAAGAUGGGAGCCAAAGAGGAUGAAAGGUAUAUAAUGGAGCAGAUUAUUGCUGGCGGUAGUGGCUCAAACGUUGCAAGAACCUACAUCAAGGGUGAGGGUAGCUAGGUGGACAUGUACCUCAACAUGUCCAGUGAUGGCAAUGACGAUGAGGAGCACGAGCAUGACGUUUAUGAUAGUGCGGAACAAGACAUUGCAGAAUUGGAAGGUUCUAAUGAGGUGUGCUUCAUGUUGAUGAUCUGGUUGGCUUUUUUUCUUUGGUCACACCUUAGUUACCAUAGAACUUCGUCUCGGGAGAAGAUUGGAGGUGCUAUGGUGAUUGGAAUUUUAUUGCCUCCAAAUAUGAUUUCCAUCGAAUCAUAUCCCUUGUAUUUAUCUUCUUUUUAUUUGUGAGAGCAUCUUCUUUAUGCUUGCAAAACAAUUCAAGUGCACAUACUACACCUAGGGUGAUGAUUAGGAGUAGAAACAAUUGCCAACAAACGAACACCACAUCCUAAGAUUCUUAACUUGUGGUAUAAUUAGUCUAGUAAAAAGAAAGAUAAAAACCUAAUGGGUGUACGUGAGUGCAAUGCGUAUAUGCAUAUGAGUGGAAGGCAUAUAAGCAAAGAUAAUAUUUACACAUAGAUCUAAGCACCAUGUUUACAACUAAGUUGCUGAAUUUCUCCAUAGCUAUAGAGAUUAAUGAACCAAGGUCAAAACACCAUGUCUAUCCCAAGAUCAGUAAUUCUUUAUAGCACAAGAAAAAGAAAGCGCAUUGCAAAGUUUAUAAACCAACCAAUGCAGCAUGAAAACAAGAUGAAUAGCUAGCAAGGUUUAUUAAACUGAAUGAUGACGGUCUGCAAGCAAGUUUGAACACCAUCUUUACACAAGAUUGCAAAUGGAAAAUUCCCAUAUGAAGAACUAACAUGGAUAUGAAAUCAUUCAUCAUAAAGCGUAAAGAACAACCAAGCCAACCAUAUGCAAAGCAUGAAUGGAAUGCAAUGAAGGUGCAAGAGAACAUUUUUGGAUGAACCCAUUAUGAUGAUGGCAAAAUGCGCCGUGCCCCCCAGCCCCCGCGGUGAGAUCCCGCCGCUCGCUGCCGCCAGACCCUAUUAGGCCUCCACCGGCAGGUCCACCCACGGUCCCGCGCGACGUGGCAGCCUCUUGGCUCUCGGCGCUCGCGGCACGCCAGUGCUGGCGCAGCCCCACCAGGCGACUACCCUCCCCCCAUAAGGCCUCGGCCCCUCCCCAGCGCCGCCCCCCAACACCAGGACUGCCUGCUGCCCCCCACCGUGAGGUAAUCGAAAUCGACUGCUCAAUCUCUCAAUCUGUUGAUAUGAUGCACACGGUUGCAAAAAUAGAUGUGUCAAAAUAGAUGUUUUGCCAAUUGCUAUAGAUGCAUACGGUUGACAUGAAGUCAAAAAUGACAUUUGGUUCCUUGUAGGCAGUCAAAAAUGAAGAAGUCAAAAAAUAUUGAUCUGAAAUCAAUGUGGGAAAGGGCUAUGAAGACACGCAGGUAGAUUCCCUUGUGAACUUUUUAUGUCGUUCGUCUAAAUAAUUUUUUGCAAUGGGCAUACCCUACUCUGAAAUCCUGGGUCCGCCACUGAUGAUGAUGGUCUAAAAAUAAACCAAGCCUAGAUUAAUUAGCCACAACUGAAAUUAAGCAAAGGUUAAUGUCAUUGACCCUAGCUCUAUCCUAGCUUUUACCAAAGUUCCGGCACAUAUAGUGGUUGGGCCCACUCUCUCUGCUUCCCUCUCUGCUGCAUGCACGCACACGAGCAACGGGAGGCCCGACGAAGCCCAGAAGGGUUCGGCCGAACCAGUAUGAGCGCCGCUCCCUCCCAGCCUUCGCGCAGAUGCUCCUCCAACGUUCCUUGACCCCUCCCUCAGCGUCCCGUUGGGUUUAACAUUGCAGGAGAGGAGUCCCUUUUUUAAAAUCUCAACCACCUCCUCUCCCCAUUCACUCCACUCUCAUCUCCAUCAAACUCACCAAGAUCCGCACCGGAAAUCCCUGCUUACCACCAUGGCUGGCAAAGCCCUCAUCCCUUUCACCAACUUGGGCUUGACCACUGAUCUCGAUGGGGAAAUCACUCUGGCAAAUAUGCGUGUAACACUGCCCCCUUUGCCGAGGGUUAAAGCCAAAACACUCAGCAAAGUGGAUAGUACCCCCCUUUUUACCCGUUUUGUCAUGUAUAACGGACCCCUCUCAAUUCACAAUAGACAUCAUCAUAGGCAUUUAUAAUAAACAAUCACAGGCAUAAUUCACAAUCACCAUUACAAGCAUUAUUCAUAAAUAUCACAGACAUAAUCCAAAGUAAGCAUGAAACAAGCCAUAAAUCCAAGUUCAAGUCACAACUAAGUUUCAUCCAAGUUCAAGUCACAAAUGCAAUGUCUAAAUCCAUGGAGGCCAAGGAGACCACUGCGACAAAUCUUGGUCUUCAUUAUUCGAAGCCGCCGAUUGAUUCUGCACAUAGGAUAGGACAUUCUGAGCUAACAUCUAAAGUUGUCAAAAUUAAAGUAUUCAAUCUUAAGCACAAUGUGUCAAAUGACUCACAGGAGUAGUUGUGGGUGGCUGAGGCGGAGGGAACAGCAUCGAUGGCGGUGGCAAAGAUUGACCCAUGCUCGAAGCAAAAUUCUGCAUGUACUGGAACAUCUGGUCCAUCCUCAUCCGAUUUUCUUCCUCCAUCCUCUGCCGCUCGGCCUCUAACCUCCGCUGAACCAUCUGCUCCAUCCUCGCCGCCAUCUCCUCUUGUUGCUUCCUUGCUGCUUCCACCUGGGCCUACAAUAUUUCAUUGCAAUGUUACAAUGCAAAGCUAAAGUAUAGCAACCAACGAACAAUGAAUGGAAGAGAAAGAACCUGGAGAGCCUCCAUCUGGAACUGUCCAAUGGUUGGUCGUAGCCGUAUCGCCGGGCUCGAGUCCGUGCUCCUUGCUUGGAUCUGGGAGAGAGUGGCAGUAGAGGCCGUGUUGAUUACGCCGUCGCCAAUCCAAUAUCGGCCAUGCUUCUUGCCUCCUCCCACCCUCAUCACGAUUUCUCCAUCAAUAUCCUCAGAGCUUGAAUCGAAGUCUGGCCCGUGAACCUCCCUUGCCAUCACUGUAUAUUCCUUUGCCGAGUGCCCGAGAUAAAGCACUCGGCAAAUAGAAAACACUCGGCAACUUUACUGUUUCCCGUAGUGUCGCUAUUUUUGCAGGUUCUCGACCAGGCCAGUUCUUUGGGCCAACCUAUCAUUCACGACUUAAACAUACGGUGGCUGUAGAAAUGUUCUAUUCUUUUCAACAAUACCAGCUGGUUCCUCCGUUUUUAUUCCACCAAUACAAGCACCACCUUGUAACAUUUCCUAUGUUUUUUUUUCCUUUCGUCUGUUUUCUACAUGCGUUGCUCUUUCAUGCAUUUUUUUCCAUUCCUGUAUUCCAAAUAGGUCUACAUGAACACAAAAUGAACUAGGGGACAGAAAAAGCCAGUGAAGCCAAUUUUGAGCUUCACCAGCUACUUGCUACAUAAAGUGUGCUAUAGUGACGUGUUUUAGCAAAACAUGUUAUCAAUGACUUGACAUUGGUGACGUGUUAAAACGCGUUAUCUCAAUGGCAAAUCAUUGGUGACGUGUUUUAAAAAAACAUGUCACCGUGAGAGUCAUUGGUGAAGGGUAAUUAUAAUGCGUCACUAAUGUUGUAGCAUUAGUUAUGAUAAUUUAGUAACGCAAAAAUCUACCAUCAGUAUUGAGCUUUAGAGCCAUCGCUAAUGUGGGUUUCUUACAUAGUGAUGCAAGCUCUACAAGGUGCUGUUGCUGCCAUUUUAAAGCAUCCCAUGACUACAUGUUAAUAACAUAGUUUACCAUAUAUCAUAAAAAUAUUAGUUACAAUAAGCACAUACGCAUGUGGAAGAGUCCGAAUGCACCGGUUGAGGACUAAACACAUUGAAUUACUAGAACCAAAUGUGUGUUUAGAACAAAGACAGGGGUCAAGGUUUGGGUAACCGCAUUAAAAACAUUGGAUUUUACUGUACAUGAACACUUAGUUACCAUUACCAUGCCUUGAGCACCUAGUUACAACAAACAUUAAUUUAGCCACUUUAGAGCUUCCAGAAUCGCUAUAAAUAAUAUACCUACGCCGUACCAUGAAAACAUCAAGAAGAGAGACGGAUACAUGGACCACCAUCAAGCGAGUAGUGACAGCACGCACAAGAAUACCCGGAACCUGUUAGCUUGUCUGUAGUGAUCUGUUUUCUUCCCCAUAAAAUCCAUGAGUAUUGCCACAAAUAAUGAAAGAGGCUGACCAAGCUAGCAAGGAGGUAGAGCAAACGUGAUACACGGCCUGCCAAGAUUGCCCUGGAUACGCCAAUAAGAGCGACAGAUACAUGGAUCACACCAAUAUGGUGAAACGUAUAUUCAUCACACAAGCAAAGCUGGUCAGUUUAUCCAUGGUCAAAUUGUGGUCUUUGUUUUCACUUGAGAGCUAAUUGAGGCACUAUAAUAUGGGCAGGCCUAUCUUCAACAGACAUGACAGCUACAGGGAACUUGACAUAAUUUGCUGGGCCGCCUGUGCACAAUUAUUUGUUUUAUUGUCCUUGCAUAGAAUGCUAAAAUACUCUUUACAAAAUGUUGGAUCUAAUAUUUGAAAUAUAGAGUAGUAAUCAUAUAUUGAUCAACAACUUGAAAUUAUCUGUACAUUCUCGGUGAAGCUGUUGAACUAAUUUUUGCAAAUUAUUAAUUCAUCUCAUUACGUAAAGAAAAAAGUAAGUGGAUAAGAUAUUUCGUGGACCACAUCACUGCAAACAUGUCAUGGAGAGACAGACCAAGGAGGCAGGACGUGAUACACGACUUACCCUAGGUUGCCGUGGAACCGCCAAGAAGAGAUACAGAUACAUGGACCACACCAUCUUGGGAGUAGUGACAGCAUAUAUGCAGAAGAAUACCCCGUGCCUAUUUGCAUGCAUGUCUCAAGUGAUCUGUUUUCUUCAGAAAAUACAUGAGCAUUGCCAGAAAGAAUGGCAAGAGACAAACAUGUCAUAGAGACUUGCAUGUCUUGCCUUGGAUACGCCAAGAAGAGGGACACAUACAUGGAUAACACAAAUCUAGUGACACGUAUAUUCAUCACAAAGGCAAAUCUGAUAAUUUUAUCCAUGGAGCAGACCAAGGAGAAAUUGAUGACGGACAUGUGAUCUCUGUAUUCAGUUGAAAGCUAAUUGAGCUACACUAAUAUGAGCAGGACUAUAUUCAAGAGACUUGUUGAGAGCUACAGGGAACUUGUAAUAAUUUGCUGGGCGGCCUGCGCACAAUGAUUUGUUAUACAUAGUUGAAAUAUUUCAAGAAUUUAUCAACCUCAUACUCUGAAACCCUUGGUGCAAUGUACUCUGCUUUCCGAGGUAGACUGUUCACGUAAAAUGAGGUCAUGCGUAAGACGGAAUCGGAUUGGAUUCACAGGGAAUCAGAUUUGGAUAGCACCUUUUAGCAGGUUUUUAGUCAAAUGCAAAUUCGGAUCCACAUGUGGUUGAAUGCGAGUUCAAAAUUCUACUUGGAUAUCCAUUUAAUUUAGGUGAUAGCAAUUAGCACAAAAUGUUGGAUGAACAAAAUCAUAGUUAGACAUACAAUUACAUGUAUGGUUAAAGUAUAAUACAAUACACCAAGAUUAUUCCUUGAAAAUAUUUCUUAAAAAUAUUAUAAUAAAUGAAUAAAUAUAAUUGUGGCCACCAACAAAUAGUCGGUGGUCGCUAAGUUGGAGCCAUUUCUGGUUACUAAUGCGGCCUUCUCCUCGACCAGCGACGACAGCUGAGCUUGUUCCUUCUGACACUAAAUCAUCAGAGUCUUCCCUCCACUACUAUAGAAUGCACCUUUAGCACCAAUUGGGAAAUCCCCUUCAGUAUUGGAUGCUGCAACCAGUGCUAUAUAUCAAAAUGGAGACUAAAAGCCUCGGUCUUGGGUACCGGUUGCAUAACGCAUUACUAAAGGAGGCAAAAGAGAAAUGUAACAAAAAAAAUAUUUUGAAUUCCAAGAAUGUUUCACUAUUCAAGAUGACUAGCUGAGAGUCAACAGACAAGAUACUAGGAAUGUGGGUGCUUGAAUGCAUUUGUACAGAGGUCAUACUAUUUACAAACUCUUCUAUGUUUCCAUAUGACUACCUACUUCAAUGUCACGCGAGCCAUUCAGCUGGACACAUGGCACACUAGCUUGCAUGUCGAAUCCAUGAUUAAUUAUUUCCACUUGUGAUCUCUUACCAGUAUUUGUCCAGACUAGAAACGUGCAACACAUUUUUAGGAUAUGGACACGCAUAUAUUUGGACUAGUAUACAGGUCACCUUUGGAUGCGUACAAGGAUGACCGGGAGGGACUAGAAAUGGUCUAGUUUUGAUUGGACUACAAAACUUUUUGUACAGUGAAUAGAGAAUAUAUAUUAUUGUUGGAAUACGAGGUAGGCUACACUAUCGCAAUUCUGAUAUUCUACCGCGUAUAACCAAGAAGAACUGUCGUAUAAGGAUCACGGGAUUACCACUCGACGCACUACUGGUGCGGAAGAUGUAGAUAUGCGUCGAUGCAGUGAAGACGAUCACGUAGUCGUAUGUAGUCGAUCAACGUAGUCGUACAUAGUCGAUCACGUCCAGCAGCUCCUCAGCAGCUCGUCCACGUGCAGCAAGAUCGCCUCCGGUACCGCGGCUCGUCGUUGGCUUGUCGUGGCUCGUCGACGGCUCGUCGGCGGCUCGUCCAAGUGCUGCAGGCGCAACACCUCCAAGGUAUCCACACGUGCAGGGAGGAAGCGUCGCAAGCCGGACUGCUAGAUCCACGAGUUGCAACAGGCGAGGGCGUGGGAGGCGCGGCAGGUGUGUUUCGCCAAAAAGGUGUAAACCCUAGGGCGCCCCCACCCCUCUAUUUAUAGAGGUUCCUGACGGGCCUCUGGAUCCGAGGCCCAUUAGUACUUCUAAACCUAAUCCAACUCGGAUCAGAUCCGAAUUGGGCUUCCAGCCCCUUAAGUGUGUGACCCUAUAAGUUCGGAUACGUAUAGACAUGGCCCGAGUACUCCUACUCGGCCCAAUAGUCGGUAGCGGCCUCUAGCAAGACGUGCCAACUCCUAUACGCACACGAAGAUCAUAUCAGACGAACCAUCACAACAUAAUAUACAUGCUAUUCCCUUUGCCUCACGAUAUUUGGUCUAGCUUCAAGCCGACCGCUCUUUCUCAGUCCUGUGAUUCGGAAUCCCUUUGUAGGUUAACUCUUAACCGUACGUAGCAUGGCCAUGCAUUUUCGGAUCUGAUCACUCGAGGGGCCCAGAGAUAUCACUCUCAAUCAGAGAGGGGCAAAUCCCAUCUUGAUUGACCAUGUCUCAUAGCAUGCUUCUUGACAAACCUAAAAACUACCUUUAUAACUUCCCUGUUACGGCGUAGUGUUUGAUAGCUCCUAAGUAGGUCGAUCCACAUCUAGAAUACAUGCGACAAUUUCAGGUCUAAGGACAAAGCGUAUAUGUUGUUUAAAGAGAGAACUACUUCUCGUGUUGGGUCAGUCCCAGCACAUGUCUCCACAUGUGUCCACAUUAUUAGUUCAACAUCUCCAUGUCCAUGACUUGUGAAACAUAGUCAUCAACUAAUACAUGUGCUAGUCUAAUAUUCAUGUGUGUCCUCACAUGAACUCCGACUAGGGACAACUUUAGAAUAACCAUACAAGUAAAGAGUUUCACAUACAAUUCACAUAAUUGCAAAUCAAUUCAAGUAGCCUUCAAUGGAUAUUCAAUGAACACAACAUACAAAUCAUGGAUACAAAUGGAAUAUCAUCAUCUCUAUGAUUGCCUCUAGGGCAUACCUCCAACAGUCUCCCACUUGCACUAGAGUCAAUCUAGAAGGUACCUAAUACCCAUAGCUCUUACAUGCGCAUCAUGCUUAGCCUGCGGGAGUGGUUUUGUCAACGGAUCAGAAAUGUUCAGAUCCGUGUGUAUUUUGCAUAUCUUGAUCUCACCCCGGUUAACGAAGUCUCGAAUGAGAUGAAAUCGCCGCAUUACAUGUUUGUUCUUCUGGUGGUUCCUUGGCUCCUUUGCUUGCGCAAUUGCCCCAUUGUUAUCACAGUAGAGAUUCAAUGGGCUGGACCCAUUCGGGAACACACCAAGCUCAAUGAGGAAAUUCCUUAUCCAAACACCUUCCUUCGCGGCUUCCGAAGCCGCGAUGUACUCGGCUUCUGUCGUAGAAUCGGCCACCGUCUCCUGCUUGGAACUCUUCCAACUAACAGCACCACCAUUUAGCGUGAACACAAAUCCUGUUUGUGACUUUGAAUCAUCUCUGUCGGUUUGGAAACUAGCAUCGGUGUAACCUGUUACAACGAGCUCCUCCUCACCUCCAUAGACGAGGAAUAUAUCUUUAGUCCUUCUCAAGUACUUAAGAAUGUUUUUCACCGCUGUUCAGUGACUCUCACCUGGAUCAGAUUGGUGUCUGCUUGUCAUACUUAGCACAUAUGAAACAUCUGGGCGAGUACUUAUCAUUGCAUACAUGAUAGAUCCAAUAGCCGAGGCAUAUGACACUCUACUCAUGUGAUCCCGCUCAUCAGCAGUCGAAGGACACUGAGUCUUGCUGAGAUGUAUGCCAUGUGACAUAGGCAAGAACCCUUCCAUGCUGAACCGCUUCAACACUUUGUCAAUGUAAGUAUCUUGGCUUAAACCUAUAAGCCUUCUCGAUCUAUCUCUAUAGAUCUUAAUGCCCAGAAUAUAUGCCGCUUCCCCUAAGUCCUUCAUCGAAAAACUAUUUUUCAGUGAAGUCUUUAUGGACUCAAGCAUAGGAAUGUUAUUUCCAAUCAGUAAUAUGUCAUCCACAUAUAAGAUUAGAAAUACUACAGAGCUCCCACUAACCUUCUUGUAAACACAAGACUCUUCUUCGUUCUUGGUGAAGUCAAACCCUUUGACCACUUCAUCAAAACGAAUGUUCCAACUCCUAGAUGCUUGCUUCAAUCAAUAAAUGGAUCUCUGAAGCUUGCAUACCUUUCCAGCAUUUUUCGGAUCGACAAAACCCUUGGACUGUAUCAUAUACACGUCCUCAGUUAGGUUUCCAUUCAGGAAAGCUGUCUUGACAUCCAUCUGCCAUAUCUCAUAAUCGAAAUAUGCAGCCAAACUUGAUUGUCUCCCAUGGACUCUAUUUCGGAUUGCAUGGCAUUCUGCCAUUUUUCGGAGUCUGGGUCCAUCAUUGCUUCUGCAUAUGUCACAGGCUCAUCAUUGUCCAACAAUAAUAUUUCCUGCAUUUCGCGGAGCCUUGCCGACCUUCGUGGUUGUGGCGGUGCUUCUCUUGCCAUGGGUAUCUCAACUUGUUCUGCUACGUUAGCAUCACUCAUUGAUUCUUGCCCGAUCGGCUCAUCUUGAACUUCUUCAAGAUGCACUGUCUUUCCACUCUUUUCUCCUUUGAGAAACUCUUUCUCUAGGAAAACCCCGUUCCGAGCGACAAACACUUUGCCUUCUGAUCAGUUGUAAAAAUAAUAUCCCAAAGUUUCCUUUGGAUAUCCCACGAAAAUGCACUUAUCCGACUUGGGUGCGAUCUUGUCCGACUGAAGUCGCUUGACAAACACAUCACAUCCCCAAAUCUUUAGAAAAGACAAACUAGGAACCUUUCCAGUCCAUAUCUCAUAUGGUGUCUUAACUACGGAUUUAGAUGGUACCCUAUUAAGUGUGAAAGCUGCUGUUUCUAGAGCGUAUCCCCAAAAUGACAACGGUAGGUCCGACUGGCUCAUCAUUGAUCGAACCAUGUCUAACAAAGAUCGAUUACGUCGCUCGGACACACCGUUUCUCUGAGGUGAUCCAGGCGGCGUAAGUUGUGGAACAAUUCCGCAACUCUUUAGAUGAUUGCUAAACUUGUGGCUCAAAUACUCGCCUCCACGAUCAGAUUGUAAGGCCUUAAUUUUCUUGACACGCUAAUUUUCAACUUCAUUCUGAAAAUCCUUGAACUUUUCAAAGGUUUCAGACUUGUGCCUCAUCAAGUAGACAUAGCCAUAUCUACUAAAAUCAUCAGUGAAAGAUAUGAAGUAUUGGAAUCCUCCUCUAGCCGUCGUGCUCAUUGGUCCGCAUACAUCACUAUGUACGAGUUCCAACAAGUCUACUGCUCUCUCAGGAAAUCCUGUGAAAGACGUCUUGGUCAUCUUGCCUAGCAAGCAAGCCUCACAUGUCUCGUAUGAUUCAAAAUCAAACGAAGUUAGAAGUCCAUCAGAAUGGAGCUUCUUCAUGCGUUUUUCACUUAUAUGACCCAAACGACAAUGCCACAAGUAGGUAGGACUCAAAUCAUUAGGCCGAGGCCUUUUAGCACUUACAUUACAGACAGGUGAACCAUCAAGAUUUAAAACAAAUAAUCCAUUCACAAUGGGUGCAAAAGCCAUAAACAUAUUAUUCUUAGAGAUCACACAACCAUUGUUUUCACUCGCAAAUGAAUAACCAUCCUUCAUCAAGCAUGAAGGAGACAAAAUGUUUCGACUUAAACUAGGAACAAAAUAACAAUUAUUCAACUCCAUAAUAAAUGCUGACGGGAGGUGGAGUUGCAUCGUCCCGACGGUCAACGCAGCAACUCUUGCAUUAUUGCCCACGCGGAAAUCAACUUCUCCUCUUUCCACGCUUCUACUUCUUAUCAUUCCCUGCAUCGAAUUGCAAAUAUGAGCAACCGAUCCGGUAUCAAAUACCCAAGAAUUAAUAAUUGUAUCAGCGAGAAAUAUGUUGUCUAUGACAUUAACAACAAGCGUACCUGAGGUAGAAGUACUCUUACUUCCUCCAUUCUUCAACGAAGCUAGGUACUGCUUGCAGUUUCUCUUCCAGUGACCAAGUUCAUGACAGUAAAAGCACUCUUUGUCUGGAGCAGGUCCAGGUCCAGCUUUAACCUUGGGCGCUCGCUGGGUUUGGCUUGGAAAUUCCAGCCUUGCCCUUCUUCUUCCAAGAAUUGCCCUUCUUCUUAAAGCUAGGCUUGUUCUGUAUAGCCAUCACAUGGCUAGUACAAGCGCUUUUCUUGAUGUCUACCUCUGCUGUCUUGAGCAUACCACACAGUUCAUUCAAACCCUUCUCCGUCCCAUGCAUAUGGUAGUUCGAGAUGAAGUUCCCAUAGCUAGGCGGAAGAGAUGAAAGAAUGAAGUCAGUGGCCAACUCUUUGCCCAUUGGGAAGCCCAGCUUCUCCAAUCGCUGAGUGUAACCAACCAUGUUGAUUACAUGUGGUCCUACUGCUGCGUCUUCUGCUAGCUUGCACUCCAGAAAAGCUUUGGACACAUUGAACCUUUCAGUCCUAGCCUGUGUCUGGAACAUGUCCUUGAGCGCCACGAUCAUAUCGUGUGCCUCAUGAUUUGUUUCGAACUGCAUCUGCAGCUCGGGUUCCAUGCAAGCAAGCAUAAGGCAGCUUACCUCAAGAUUAGCAUCAAAUGCCUUCUUGUAAGCAGCCUUAACGGCAGCAGAUGCAUCAUCAGCAGGUACUGGUGGUAGUGGGGUAUCUAGAACAUCUUCCUUUUUAUCGGCCCUGAGAACAAUUCUCAGGUUACGGAUCCAAUCCGAGUAGUUUGUUCCAUUCAACUUGUCCUUCUCAAGGACCGAGCGCAAAGCAAACGAUGUGGUGGUGUUGCUAGGUGCCAUUUAAUCUACAACAAAAGUAAUGCAAAAUACACUAAGACAAACGUAUCCAUGAUAGAGCAAAUUACAUUAAACUAUUUUAACAGAAUCUACUCCCACUAAAAUCAAUAUCCCUCUAUUGAAACUUAGUGAUUCAGGAUCCACAACUAACAAGUCUACUAGUGAGCUUUAGCAUCACCGCUAGCAAACGAGGUAGAUCGGUAAGCAACUUUUGCUAAUCAUAUCACAUAUGACUCCUGUUGUUGGGUGACAUCUCCAUGUCUCGGCGCCCAACCAUUAUGCCCCAAGGUCCUUAACCGUUAAGAUGACCUCGUUAAGCAAACCAACCCUUAUGCGUGUAAGUGUCCGACACAAACCCGUCUAGUCAAGGAAAACUAGUGGCACCCUAAUUUCAUAGACCCACCACUAAUUGUACAAGACAUGGGACGGUGCAAGUUUUAGUUGGGAGGGCAUACUAACUUAAAUUUUUUGUGAGGGAUCGUUCUACUUCUAACAUCACAGCAUGCAGAAAGUAAAACAUAAACAGAAUAGCAUUCACACAGCUGUGACACAGUAUGGCCCGUUUUUAUAUGGUGAUCUCCAUCUCCAUAGAACCUGUUCACCAUGGUGAUCUCCAUCUCCAUGUUCCAUGUGCGCCAUCCUCCUGGUGAGGAGUCCUCCAAGAACUAGAACAUGCUAUUACACCUAAUAGCUAGUAAAGAAUCUAGUAAUGAAGAUUACAUAGUUGCUUGGAUCAUCACAGAUUGGUACGCAGACCAUUAAAUACAAUAAAGUGACAACACAUAUGGCUCCUGCCGUGUUGCCGUACGCGCGACACGCAGGUCACGAAUGAGUUACACACAUGCAUCACAUACACAAGGGGGCCAUACUGAUCACAAGAUACAUACAUACAUCCUGCAAAACAGAGUUAGGCGUCCUAACGUUCCAAACUUCGAAGGCCCGAAACUCCAUCUUCCAAGCCGAAUUUGGGAAAUCUAAUUUUGCCGAAAACGGCAAAGCGGUUGAAUUUCAUGUGUAACUUUUUCUGUAGAUCAAUUUUCAUAUAAAAUUCGCCCCGAUCCGAGAUCGUACCGAAAAGUUACGGCUGAUUUACCGAAGCAUACGCAUACGGCAAAAAUUCCGACCCCGGCAGUAGAUCCCAUCUACUAUUGCACAUCUAAUGCGCCUGGCGUAUGAUCCUGGAUUUCGAUUCGACCAAUCAUAUUGAUCUUCGCUCACUGCAACUGGAAUUACGUGUAUCACUUAACUCGUCGGCGGCUCGUCGGCGGCUCAUCCAAGUGCUGCAGGCCCAACACCUCCAAGGUAUCCACACGUGCAGGGAGGAAGCGUCGCAAACCGGACUGCUAGAUCCGCGAGUUGCAAUAGGCGAGGGCGUGGGAGGCGCCGCAGGUGUGUUUCGCCAAAAAGAUGUAAACCCUAGGGCGCCCCCACCCCUCUAUUUAUAGAGGUUCCUGACGGGCCUCUGGAUCCGAGGCCCAUUAGUACUUCUAAACCUAAUCCAACUCGGAUCAGAUCCGAAUUGGGCUUCCAGCCCCUUAAGUGUGUGACCCUAUGGGUUCGGAUACGUAUAGACAUGGCCCGAGUACUCCUACUCGGCCCAAUAGUCGGUAGCGGCCUCUAGCAAGACGUGCCAACUCCUAUACACACACGAAGAUCAUAUCAGAUGAACCAUCACAACAUAAUAUACAUGCUAUUCCCUUUGCCUCACGAUAUUUGGUCUAGCUUCAAGCCGACCGCUCUUUCUCAAUCCUGUGAUUCGGAAUCCCUUUGUAGGUUAACUCUUAACCGUACGUAGCAUGGCCAUGCAUUUUCGGAUCCGAUCACUCGAGGGGCCCAGAGAUAUCACUCUCAAUCAGAGAGGGGCAAAUCCCAUCUUGAUUGACCAUGUCUCAUAGCAUGCUUCUUGACAAACCCGAAAACUACCUUUAUAACUACCCUGUUACGGCGUAGCAUUUGAUAGCCCCUAAGUAGGUCGAUCCACAUCUAGAAUACAUGCGACAAUCUCAGGUCUAAGGACAAAGCGUAUAUGUUGUUUAAAGAGAGAACUACUUCUCGUGUUGGGUCAGUCCCAGCACAUGUCUCCACAUGUGUCCACAUUAUUAGUUCAACAUCUCCAUGUCCAUGACUUGUGAAACAUAGUCAUCAACUAAUACAUGUGCUAGUCUAAUAUUCAUGUGUGUCCUCACAUGAACUCCGACUAGGGACAACUUUAGAAUAACCAUACAAGUAAAGAGUUUCACAUACAAUUCACAUAAUUGCAAAUCAAUUCAAGUAGCCUUCAAUGGAUAUUCAAUGAACACAACAUACAAAUCAUGGAUACAAAUGGAAUAUCAUCAUCUCUAUGAUUGCCUCUAGGGCAUACCUCCAACAAUUAUUUCAUGUAAAUUUUUGACAAUUUUUUAAAAUUGUUUGAUAUUUUUUAAAUUUUUUUUAAAAUAACUUUGCCGAGUGUCCUAUUGUAGACACUCGGCAAAGCAGCCUUCACCGAGUGUUACCCCUGGGACACUCGGCGAAUUAAUGCCCGGCCGCUCAAGAAUAUGUGCCCGGCCCCCUCACUCUCCCGGCCCCCCUCACUCUCACUCCCCUCACUCCCUCCUCUCUCCCUCCUCUCUCCCUCUCGCCGCCGCCCGAAACCCCCGCCGCCGCCCGCCGCCCGGCAUGCCGCCCAGCGCCCCCCGCCGCCGCCCGGCGCUCCCGAAUCCGCCGCCGCCCGCCCGGCGCCCGGCCCCCGGAUCCGCCGCCGCCGGCCGCCCGGCGCCCCCGGAUUCGCCGCCGCCCGCCCGGCCCCCGGCCCCCGGAUCAGCCGCCGCCCGCCGCCCGGCGCACGGCGCCCCCGGAUCCGCCGCCGCCUGCCCGGCGCCCGGCCCCUGGCCCCCUGAUCCGCCGCCGCCCGCCCGGAUCCGCCGCCGCCCGCCCGGCGCCCGGCCCCCGGCCCCCGGAUCCACCGCCGCCCCCCCGGCCCCCGGAUCCGCCGCCCGCCCGUCCCCUCCACCGGAUCCGCCGGCGCCGGGGCCUGAAGAGAAGAGAAGAGGAGAGGAUGGUGGCGGCGGCGGCCGCGGCGGCGGAGCAGGUGGCAGAGCAUGCAUGAUUUUUUUUUAUUUUUUCAAUAAUUGUUCGCCAAGUGUUUUCUGGGCACUCGGCAAAGUCUUUGCCGAGUGCCCGACACAAAACACUCGGCGAACCAGUGUUUGCCGUCAAGAUUUUUGCCGUGUGUCGUUUGCCGAGUGUUACACUCGGCAAACGCUUUGUCGAGUGUUUUUGGGGUUUCGCGGAGUGACCCUGGCACUCGGCAUCACGCAUGUUUCCCUUAGUGAACUUGAAAUUAUCUGUACAUUCUCGGUGAAGCUGUUGAACUAAUUUUUGCAAAUUAUUAAUUCAUCUCAUUACGCAAAGAAAAAAGUAAGUGGAUAAGAUAUUUCGUGGACCACAUCACUGCAAACAUGUCAUGGAGAGACAGACCAAGGAGGCAGGACGUGAUACACGACUUACCCUAGGUUGCCGUGGAACCGCCAAGAAGAGAUACAGAUACAUGGACCACACCAUCUUGGGAGUAGUGACAGCAUAUAUGCAGAAGAAUACCCCGUGCCUAUUUGCAUGCAUGUCUCAAGUGAUCUGUUUUCUUCAGAAAAUACAUGAGCAUUGCCAGAAAGAAUGGCAAGAGACAAACAUGUCAUAGAGACUUGCAUGUCUUGCCUUGGAUACGCCAAGAAGAGGGACACAUACAUGGAUAACACAAAUCUAGUGACACGUAUAUUCAUCACAAAGGCAAAUCUGAUAAUUUUAUCCAUGGAGCAGACCAAGGAGAAAUUGAUGACGGACAUGUGAUCUCUGUAUUCAGUUGAAAGCUAAUUGAGCUACACUAAUAUGAGCAGGACUAUAUUCAAGAGACUUGUUGAGAGCUACAGGGAACUUGUAAUAAUUUGCUGGGCGGCCUGCGCACAAUGAUUUGUUAUACAUAGUUGAAAUAUUUCAAGAAUUUAUCAACCUCAUACUCUGAAACCCUUGGUGCAAUGUACUCUGCUUUCCGAGGUAGACUGUUCACGUAAAAUGAGGUCAUGCGUAAGACGGAAUCGGAUUGGAUUCACAGGGAAUCAGAUUUGGAUAGCACCUUUUAGCAGGUUUUUAGUCAAAUGCAAAUUCGGAUCCACAUGUGGUUGAAUGCGAGUUCAAAAUUCUACUUGGAUAUCCAUUUAAUUUAGGUGAUAGCAAUUAGCACAAAAUGUUGGAUGAACAAAAUCAUAGUUAGACAUACAAUUACAUGUAUGGUUAAAGUAUAAUACAAUACACCAAGAUUAUUCCUUGAAAAUAUUUCUUAAAAAUAUUAUAAUAAAUGAAUAAAUAUAAUUGUGGCCACCAACAAAUAGUCGGUGGUCGCUAAGUUGGAGCCAUUUCUGGUUACUAAUGCGGCCUUCUCCUCGACCAGCGACGACAGCUGAGCUUGUUCCUUCUGACACUAAAUCAUCAGAGUCUUCCCUCCACUACUAUAGAAUGCACCUUUAGCACCAAUUGGGAAAUCCCCUUCAGUAUUGGAUGCUGCAACCAGUGCUAUAUAUCAAAAUGGAGACUAAAAGCCUCGGUCUUGGGUACCGGUUGCAUAACGCAUUACUAAAGGAGGCAAAAGAGAAAUGUAACAAAAAAAAUAUUUUGAAUUCCAAGAAUGUUUCACUAUUCAAGAUGACUAGCUGAGAGUCAACAGACAAGAUACUAGGAAUGUGGGUGCUUGAAUGCAUUUGUACAGAGGUCAUACUAUUUACAAACUCUUCUAUGUUUCCAUAUGACUACCUACUUCAAUGUCACGCGAGCCAUUCAGCUGGACACAUGGCACACUAGCUUGCAUGUCGAAUCCAUGAUUAAUUAUUUGCACUUGUGAUCUCUUACCAGUAUUUGUCCAGACUAGAAACGUGCAACACAUUUUUAGGAUAUGGACACGCAUAUAUUUGGACUAGUAUACAGGUCACCUUUGGAUGCGUACAAGGAUGACCGGGAGGGACUAAUGGAUACAAGGAAGGGACCAUCAGGAUUAAUAUUGACAUAUGCCACAUGACAAUCUUCAUUGUCAUGCAAUCCCUAUCAACAAUCAUGGAAUCCCUAGUGUACUAAUCCCUGGAGGGUUGUGUGGAAAUUUAUUUUACCUUGCGGUGAAAAUCUCAUGAGCAGUCAUUAGUUAAGCUGACUAGCUGAGAUAUAAUAGACAAGCUAGUAAGAUUGGGAGCAUCAAUGCAUCCAUACAGGGUCACAAUAUCCUUUCCAUUCACUUUUAUAUAUAACCCUACGAAUACAAGUCCAACGAAAUGCGGGCCUUUCGAUCAAGAUAAAUUAAAUGGCCCACUUGUAUUUCUAAUCCAGGAUUAACUAUGCCCUCUGUUCAUCUCUUGCAAGCACGUGCAACACAUUUUCACGAUAUGGACAUGCAUGGAGGUUAUUAUACUGUUUGGACAAACUCUGAUGUGCCAUGACCUAAAUGCUUAGGGCCUGUUUGGUUUGAGUUGCUUAUUAUAAGCAACUUAAAGUUGCUUAAAGUUGCUUAUUUGAAGUUGCUUAUUUUUAGUCUAAACUGUUUGGAUACCCUUGCUUAUGAGCAUUGAAUGAGUUGGACAUUGUCAAAUUUGCCCCAUGUGUUGCUACCCCUCCAAUUUGCCUCCCCACCCUUCUUCUUCCUGCACACGUCCGAUCCCGGGGGCCGACGGCGGGCAGGGAGCAGCAGCAGCUGGCCAGGGCGGCGGUGGGGCGGGAGCGGCGGCGCACACCAGCACGCGCUCGCACGCCAGGUGCUAGGGCGCGGCGAGGCAGUCGUCGUAGCCCACCGGGAGCGGGUGCUCGGGCGCGAGGCGGUACUCGACGGAGAUGCCGAGCGUCGGGCGCGCGGCGGCGAGCGCGUUGAGGAAGCGAUGGUAGUGCGGCGACGUCGCGGACUCCGCCACGAAGCCGCCGCCGUGGACGUACACCACCACGGGCAGCUUCGUCUUGCCGUCGGCGGCCGCGGCCGCGGCCUGGGGUGGCAGGUAGAGGCGGACGGAGCAGGAGCCGAGGUCGACGUCCCUGGAGUCGACGCCCGUGGCGGCGUCCAGGCUAGGCCCGACCGGCGGCGGCACGAGCGGGCGCUCGAUGCGGCCGCUCUUGUAAAUCCGACGGGUCUGUGCGGAGGCGGGCGGCGGGCGGGAGCGGCGGGUGGGAGCGGCGGCAGGUGGUGCGGAGGCCGGCGGCGGCGGGUGGCGCGGAGGAAGGGGAGCUGGUGAGUGGUGACAGGGGAGGGGGGGAGAGAGAGGGGGGGGUAGGGUGCAUUGAAUGAGGGCAGGAGGUGUAAAGUGCACCUUUUAGUCCCCAUGAGCAACCAUAAGCAGCCCAAGAGUUGCUUAUUUGCUUAUAAUAAGCAACCUCAUAAGCAAGAGUGAUUGGUUUCAUAAGCAACUUAUUUGCUUAUUUUAAGUUGCUUAUGCAUAAGCAUGUGAAACCAAGCAGGUCCUUAACCUAUGGUUGUGGCACCACACAGUACAUAGUAUUUAAUAAUGCUAUUCGUUUGGUAUGUGCACAAGGGCACGCAUGAAAUGUCUGGCCCACGGUAAACAAGUACGGACGCUGCAAAUAAUCUACUCUGCUCGUCCAGUCCCUAGCCUAUAAAUAGAUGCCAUGCUAGCUCUUGUUGUGCUCACAAUUAAUCCUGACUACACACGAGCUUCUCUCCCUGGCCAAGACACAAUCAUAGUAUGAUGAAGAACAUGGCACUAGCCGGCAAUGGUAUGAAGAACUUAAUCCUCGCUGUUCUCUUACUGUGUCUAGUUAUAGGGCAGAUACAAGUGGAAGCUAAGAGCUGCUGCCCAUCCAUUACUGCAAGAAAUAUCUACAAUGCCUGCCGUAUCACGGGUACAUCCCGUCCAACGUGUGCAAAACUGUCAGGCUGCAAAAUUAUCAGCGGGGACAAAUGCAAGCCCCCUAACGACCACCUCACCCUUGACCCGGACACUGGUAAAUAAUAAAUUUAUCUCACUUGAUUUCUUCGUGUUUUGAGUCGUUAAUGUAUUUUCCAUCUGAUGAAACGUAUUGGUUUUGCAUUGAAGAGGAAGUUAAUGUGCUUAACUUCUGCAAGUUGGGGUGUGCGUCGUCUGUGUGCAACAACAUCAACGCUGGUAAGCACCUUUUGCUCAGACGGAGAAAACAAUAAUCAUUAAUUAGCGGCAGCUAGAAUCCUAUAAUCUAAUAUAUUUAUAUAUAUAUAUAAUUUUAUCAGCUCUGGGAAAUGAAGAGGCGAACGAUGCCGUUGAGAGUUGCGACCAAGCCUGCUCUAGCUUCUGCAACGUGCACGUUGGCGCUGCCACCGUGGUUGCUUAAGCAAAUGCAUCCAACUGGAUCGUCCUUGUGCUAAAUAAUUGGAUAUCGUAUCCACUUAAAGCUGCCUUGUGUAGUACGUUUUUGUUUGUGUCUCUCUUUAUAUUCCAAUAAGGUCGGUGAUCUUGAUGCCACACACUCAGACGUGUGUUCAUCUCCAGAUACUACUCCAUGCUACCUGCCCUUUGUGUUUUGUUCAAUAACUGGGUAUCAU
rnacentral:lncRNA from 1 species